rnacentral:lncRNA from 1 species
AGCUGCUCAACAUUUUCAUCAUUAAGCACUCGAGGAUCGAGAAUGUCGAGCAAACGGUCUUCUUUCAUCAAAGAACUGAAGUACAAUGGCAAAACUCGAUUUUCUUCCGGUCUUUUGAAACAUACCACUUUUUGUCCCGUUAACAACUCCAUAAGCACAACCCCGUAGCUGUAAACAUCACUUUUUUCAGUAAGAAGGCUUGAAAGCAUGUAUUCAGGAUCCAAGUAACCGAAAGUUCCUUGCACAAUUGUAGUUAUUUGUGCUUCGUCGGAUGGGAUCAAUCUGGAAGCCCCAAAAUCAGAAACUUUUGGGGUGUAAUUGUCAUCUAACAGUAUGUUUGCCAACUUGAUGUCUCGGUGAAUGAUUGGAAUGGAAGCUGCAGAGUGCAAAUAAGAAAGGGCUUCUGCUGUUUCAGUGGCUAUUCUCAAACGGGUCUCCCAUGAAAGAUAAGAUGUAGCAUCAUCAUUAUGCAAAUGGUGAAAAAGGGUUCUGUUGGUGAUAUAUUCAUAAACUAACAGCGGAACUUGUGUCUCCAAACAACAUCCUAGGAGUUUGACAACAUUCCUAUGGUUGAUUUUGUAGAGCACCAUUAUUUCAUUAAUGAAUUGUUCAACUUGGCUAGGAUCUCCAAUUAUUGACUUUUUGAUGGCAACAAUUUGAUUAUCAGCCAAUAUUCCCUUGUACACUGUCCCUUGCCCUCCCUGUCCUAAAAUUCUGCUUUCAUUGUAAUUGUUUGUUGCCUUCUCGAGUUCCUCAGCUGUAAAUACUUUAACAUCUUCACGGUACCCUUGUCGUUUUGAAAGUUGUUCCCGUAACAAAAUGCCACCAUUUUGCUGAAAGUUAGCUUCUCUUAAUUUGGAAAUUUGCCUUUGCCUCAGCAUCCAACAGCACAAUACUAUCCCCAAGAGAAGACCAAGAAACCCAAUGGCAACCCCUAAGGUCAAAGCAUAAAAUAAUAAUAAUAGUUACAUUAGCCAUGGUAAUGUAAUCUAAAAGUGAAAAGUCAUGCAAAAUUGUAUAUUGAGAGUAAUAAAUAACAAAAUUGUUUGUGUCAAGCAGAUCCAAUUGACUCAAGAUUGAGUUGGGUAAGUUAAGGAUGAGUCCUGCUUGUAAAUCUAGUUCCACUUGUUUACAAAUUACUUCAUAAAAAUAUAAUCGAAAUUAUUGUUAGAUAUAAAAAAUAAUUAUUCCAUAAUGGAAAAUUGUGGUUAAAGAUGAACAUGGACUCACCCCAAGGCUGCAGAGAAGUUUAUUGAUUUUUUUAAGGAUAAAUCUCAAAAUUAUACAUGAAUUAUGGUUUAUUGUGUAAUUGUAUACAUGAAAUUUUGAUUUGAUCCAUUUUUUUGUAAUUUAUUAAUAUAAUUAUUGAUAUAACAUCAUUUCAUGAUUAUGUAUUGUAUACAUAAAUAGUUGUAUUUAUUCAAUAUAAAAAUAAAUUGAUGUAUUUAUUUUUUUAAAUGCGUAUGAUUAAAUCAAAAUUAAAGUUUCAAAUAUACAUUUGAACCACAAUUAGAGUUUCAUGUGUACAAUUGCACAUUAAACCAAAGUUCAUGUAUAAUUUUGAGAUUUAUCUCUUUUUUAUUUUAAUUAUUUAUAUUUUAAAUAAUUUAACCGGAGUAAGAGAACAAGUUGGAUAUGGAUGAGUGUAUAAUAAUUUCAUGUCUUUAAAAAUUGAUAACGAGCCAAAAUUUUAUUGAUGCUUAAAAUCUUUAACUUCAUUUAAUUUUUGAAAAUAUUUUCUAUUUUUUUAAAAAUUAAAAAACAUGUUUGAUAAAGAGGAAUAAAAUUUUGUUUUCAAUAAUGAAAACAGGAUUGGUAAUUAUUUUUCUAUAAAGAAAUAUGAAAAUUGAAAAAAAAAUAAUGAAAACCAAAUUUUUCUAUUUUUAUUUACAAAGUCUUUUUAGUACAAAUAAUGAAAACAAAAUUUUAUUAUUUUUCUAAUUUUUACAUAUUUUCAUAAUUUUUUAAAAAUUAUUUUCAAAAAUUAGAACUAAACACAAUUUCUUGAAUGUUUUUCAUUUUUCAAGGAAAUGAAAUUGGAAUUUACUCCCUGAAACCAAACGGAGUAUUUUAAUGUAUAAUUCGGGGUUACUAACCUAGAGCAACAAUAAGAGGAGAUGUCUUGGACUGAUCCUUGUUGGGUAAACUGCAACCUGUUCCACUUUUCUUACCAUCGCCUUCAUAACCCAUCGGACAUGAACAAUUGUACGUCCCAGGUAAGUUGGUACAUAUUGCCGUUCCAUUGCAAGGGCUCAUACUUUCACACUCGUUUAUAUCUGAAAUUUGCAGAUUGUAUGCAAGUAAUAAAUAACACUAUCUUUAAUGUUAGAAACUACAAAUCUAUGGGGUAUAUAUACCUAUAGUUACCUUGACAUCCAUUAGGGAGGUAAGGGUUCCCCAUGUAACCCUCAAGACACUUGCACAAAUAUCCAGAGUUAUUUUCUGAAUCAACGCAUUUACUAUACUCUUUGCAUGCGAAAUUGUUUACAUCCAUAUUCGCUUCGUUGCAACUCGUAUUCCCGAUUUUCCAAUCAAGAGUGAUUGGAAACUGCCUUCUUUGAAACUCAAAACCACGAAGAUCUGAAGCAGAGAAGGUAUAAUUAUCGACCUCUGCAACAAAUGCAUAGCUGCAGGGGUUUUCGGGCAACACAUUGGUAUGGUUGGCGUAGCUUUUGAGACUUAUGUUGCAGCUCCUCACAUCCCUUGGGAUACUUGUCUGACAGCAACCAAUCCCAGAGCAAGACCCGUUUGAAACAUCAGCGAUGUUGUUACAGAACGACAAACAACCAGUUGCGUAACGUUGUCCGUAGGAAUCUUGCAGGACAGCAUAAGUGUCGCACCCGAUUGCAGUAAACUUGUUCUUGUUAUUGUUUAUUGAAAAUUCAGAAAAUCCGAAGUAGUAAAAUAACCCAUUCCCGUCUAAUGUGUUGUAACAAUCAUAGCUCGUAGGAGAAAGGAUGCGCAACUGACCAUCGGUAGAUAUGUUGAUGACUUCGACGUUACUGUUGCCUAAGAACGCUUUGUUGGGUUUAUUACUGGUGCUACAUGUGAUGAGAAAGUGUUCAGUGAUGUUGCAAUCGCCGCCGGUACCGAACGGGUAUGGGAUGAUAACAUCUCCGCAGCUUUCUCCGCAGCCAAGUUUUGCUACUGCUGGUGUUGAAGCUUUUACUGUCAAUAUAACAGUAAGCAAGAUCAUCAGCUGCAUAAGCACUAGUGAUCUGAUGGAACCCAUGGCUGUUUUUUUCUAGACUGGGGGAUACCAAUGCUUCAAUUUCCAAAUUCGGAAACAUAUAAAAAAGGUUAGGGAAGCCUGCUUGACCUUACUAAAUUCUAACAGGAGGGAGGACGUAAAGUGACCCAAUAGACGAGUGGGGAAUAUCAGUGUGGUCCGUUCUUUGGCUUUCGCUGUUGAAUAGCGCGUGGUGACUUUGGACUGUCCACAAUUUCUUGGAAUGGAUGAGAUGCUAACUUUGAUUCUGUCAAAUUAUAUUUAGUGCUUCCAUAUUUAGUGUCUGAUGGCUUUCUACGGCAGAUAUAAGCUUGUUCUCAAUGUUAGAUGAAAAAUCAUUUUGCAUUAAUUGUACAAGAUAAAUAAAUAUUGAAAAAUUAUUUGGUAAAGAAUUUUUAGAAUUCACGAGUUUCCAUAUGUGACAUAAAUAUUUAAGUAUUAGAAAAAAAAACACACAUGCGGAUUAAGCAUUGCUACUCCAAAAAAAUAUUAAGUGAUUAUUAAAAACAGAUAUUUAAUAUUAAUUUAAAAUUUAUUGAAAAGUCAUAUCUAUCAAAAUCAAGAUUGUGUAUGUUAAUGAUAAAUAUUUAAAAAGAAAAAAGAAAAUCAAAGCAACAUCAAGUUUUACUACUCCAGACAAAUAUGAAGUGAUAGAUGAAUGCAGUUACAACACAAUACUUUCACAUGGAUUAUAAAGUAAAGAUAUUAGAAUUUUUUAUGGAGUAAUGAUUUAUUACAAAUAAUAAAAGGGUUGACGUUUACUUAAAGCUGAUUGGUUAGUUUAACAAAAAAUUCUUGAAGUGGAUGUUAUCAACUCUUUUUCGCAUACUUUGAACUCAAAAACCAAGUAGGUAAGCGUGGUGGUCCAAGGCCAAGGCGAAGACAAAGAUUAACUACGAGUGAUUUUGAAAAUUUUUAAUGGUUAAAUGAUUAUUUAUGUAAUUUAUUUAAAUAUAUUCAUGUAUAUUUAAUAUAUAUGAAAAACUAAAUUAAUUUUUUAUUUAAUUUCAAUAUUUUAUAUUUUAUAUUAUUAAAAAUAUUUACAUAUUUUUAUGAAUGUAAUUAUAUCCAUCUUGCAUUUUUUCAUAUUAUUUUUCUUUUAUAAUUAUUUUUUAACUUAUUAAAUUUUAUUAACUUUAAUUUUUAAAAAUUAUUUUUCGAAACCAUACAAUUAAAAAUAGUAAAGGAUGUAUUUUAAGAUGGUAGCAUUUUUAAAGGCUUGAUAAAUUUAAAUUUUCAAAAUGUUUUAUCCACCCUAAAAGAUGAAAAGAGGAAGCAUAUGUAAUUCUAGUGGCCCAAAUCGAUGGAAAAGGAGACCAAGACGAAUGGGGAAAUGACUGAUGAGAUCAGAAAACCUAUCGAGUCACUUACCAAGUCUUUUCUUCUAGAUUUUUUUUUUCAUUUAAUUCAGUGAUAACUAUCUGAUAUUAGACAUUCAAUCCCCUUUGGUUUAUAUGCAAUUUGCUUUUAAAAUUAUUGUUUUCCUCUGCUUGCACAAGGAAUAUAUAUAACACUAAAUUAGCACAAUAAUAAAUAAAAUCAGUAAAAGAAGUGAAACACAUCUUUGUCUAGUGGAUUCCGUUCUCGUAAUUAAAUCUUAAUCUUUGAGAAAAUUAGAAGAUUGGUAAAAUAAACUUAAAUUAAGAUAAAAUAUGAAUAUAUAUCCAAAAUAAAGAUAUUUAAUUAGAAAAUAUGAAUCCGUAACUAUACAAUUCUUACAUUUAGACAUAGACAUCUAAAACUUGAUAGCAAACAUACAUGUACAAAGUUGUAAUAAGUGAAAAACUUAGGUCUUUUCACUUGGUUUUGCAUGCAAUACAAGUGGAUUUUAUGAUUUUUUUCCAUGAUAAUAUAAUAUAACAAAGUGAAGUUAAAAAUAAUUGAAAUGCGGAUAAAUUUGAUGUGAAAUGAUAAUAAAAUUAUAUAUUUUAAGUUAUCAAGGUUGACUAGGUUUUAAAUUAAGUGUUAUAUAUAUUAGCUGUAAGAUCUAACCUGAAUUCUUUAUUAAUUAAUUAUGAGAUGAAUAAAGAUGUCCUAUGUAAAUGAUAUUAAAUAAUUAAUCAAACAUAAAUCAAAUCAAAGUAAUUGGUAAAAAUAUUUUUGUUUAAGUUGAUUUGAUUUGAUUUGAAUGUUAUGUUUGAUGAUGAAUCAAUUAGUUUGAUCUUUAAAAAAUUGAGUUCCUGUAAGUAUGUUUACUUUUCUUUAAUAAAGAAAAUAAAAGUUAGAAAUAAAUAGUGAAAAAAAACUAAUCAAAUGAAGAUUUUUCAUUUUUAAAUAAAGAUGAGCUUCCAUCAAAAUACUUGGUGGAAAAUUUGUUAGGAAAUAAUAAUAGUAUGAAUGAACCACAAAAUUAAUUGCAUUCUCUUUUAUUAAAAAAUUUAUUAAAAAGUCCAAACUCCAAUCUUUAGAGUUCAAUUGUAAACUCAAAUGGAAUGAAUAAAGUACAACACAUUGAAUAGUCUUUGUUAACAUUCCAAUUGUCUUAAUCAUCACAACUGUACAUAUUGACUAACAAUCUUCAUCAUCACCAAGUAAUUACUCCAAAAUUUGUCGAAACUUAUAUUUAAAAUAUUCUUUAUCUUCCCUGUUUUAGACCCAUUCUAAGCAAUAAACUUCUUGGAAGUAAUCAUGGCUUGCAAAUGACCCUUAUAAUCAUGCAAAUUCUUAAAAGUAAUAGCAAAACGUUUCUCACUAGGACGACAAUCAACCCAAAGUCUAUUUGUGAUUAUACACAAAAAUUGUAAUAAAAGAAGCAUGCUAAACUAAACUUUUAAAAUGAGACGUUUUAUCAACAUCCUUCAAAAUUAAAUUGAUACAAGGUGUUGCGCAUGGUGACCAAAAGAUUUUAGGAUACUUCUCAUGACAAAAUUUCCUAACAACUUUAUAAUUUGCAGCAUUAUAUGUAAUUAGCUAGACCACAUUGCUCAAACCAACAAUUUUUACAAUCUUCGCAAAUAAAUUGCAAAGAGUAUUGACAUCUAAAAUCAUGUCUGAUGUGUUAACGAGUUUGGUAAAGCAUAAUCCUUUAGGAAAAUAGACUAGAAAAUUGGUUGAUGACUUUUGUUUCGUAUCUUUCUACCCACCUCCCAUUAUGGUGCAUCCACAUUCCACCCAAAUGCUGUAAAUCCCUUUUUGAGUAUUCUAGUAGAUUGGUUCACAAUGUAUGAUAUGAUAGAGUUUUGUAUCUCAAUCCCAUAGAUGCUAUGGCAUCAAGGCAUAGUUGAAACUUGUCAAUCUUUGAUUCUAUUUGUGGAGUCUAAAAGCUCCAUUGGCAAUAUACCUAAUAAAUUAUUUAUCUUUUUAAUAUUUUACUAUACCCCUAGAGAACACUUAUCAAUCUCCUGACAUUGUUUAUGGAGUCUAAAAAUUUUAUUGGUAAUAUACCAAAUAAUAUUCCAAAUAAAAAAGUAUUAACUUGACAGUGUACUUUUUUUAUUCCACAAGUAUUGUUAAAAAAUUGGCAUUGUCUUUUUUUUUAAUAUCUAUUUUUUAAAAAUUUCACUAUACUCCUACAAGACAUUUGUCCACCCCUAAUCAUGCUUAUGAAGUCUUAAAAUUCUACUAAGUGUAUCUUGUUAUAAAAUAAAGAGAGAUGGAGAGAAUAAAGAAUAAAGAAAAUAUGGAAGCAAUAGAGAAUGUACUUUAUUGAUCAAUUGGGGUGAUUACAAUGCUUCAUCAUAGUCUCUAUUUAUAGGUAUAAAAAAUAUAAAAGAAGUAGAGAUCUAAUUCUAAUAACUAUUAGAAUUAAAAGGACAUUAAAAUUUUAUCUUGAUCAUGAUGGACAUCCACUUAAUAAGGUGUUCAUAACACUCCCCUUGGAUGUCCAUUGGUAGAUAAUAUACCUCGUUAAAACCUUAUUAAGAAACCUUGUGGGAUAAAAACCUAAUGAAGGAAAAAGAGUACACGAUUUAUAAUACGCAUAAUAUGUUGCCUCAUUAAAAACCUUACCAGGAAAAUCCAAUUAGACAAAACAUCGGUUAAGGGAAAAAGAGUACAACAGGUAUUUACUCCCCCUCAUGAAAACAUCACAUACUUUCUCAUAUUUUACGUAUUCAAUCUUGAAUACUAGUUUUUCAAAUGACCAUUUGAAUGUAUUGCUUAGUAUUUAUAUCACCAUUCUUUCAAAAUUCAUGAGUGAGGGAAAUAUGGAAAUAUAUAUUUUGAUCUCUUUAGGAGAUUCAACAAUAAUCAUAAUAAACUUUAAUCAUGAUUCUUUUAUAAAAACACAAAUAGAUAUUUUGGAUCAUUUUAUAAUCCUCCUUCAACUACUAUUCACUAAGUCAAAUUUAACACAUAUAUUCAAAUUAUUUCAAUUCAUAUAAAUGAACAAUUUCUCGAGAAUUUUAAUAUGCUUCUACCAUACUAAAUCCUUCAUAUAAAGGUUGUAACAAUAACCAUUUAACGUAAGUUAAAUCUUGUAACACCCCUUACCCGAGACCGUUUCCGGAGUCGAGCAUGAGGCAUUACUUAGCUUAUCUCACUAUUUCGGAGCAUAAAAAUUUACUUUGAAAAUUAAUUUCACUAUUUAUAGCAAUCUAUCAAAUUGCGCAGCAGUUACUAAAUUAAUUAUAAAUCGAGCUACGGAGCUUGAAAUUUAACUCCGUAAAUUUUACCUAAAACUAGACUCAUAUAUAUACUUACCAUAAAAUUUAUAGAAUUUUUGGUUCAGCCAAUUAGUACAGUUUAUUAGUUAAAGUCUCCCCAGUUUCAUCACUCGACUGUCCUGACCUCUUGCCACUAAAAAUAAGUUUUCUCAUUGUAGGAUUUUCAUAUGGUGUUCUCACUUAUUUCUAAAGAAAAUAGACUCAAUAAGGAAUCUAUACAUAUAAAUUACAACUCAUAACUAAUUUUUUAAAAUUUAUAGUGAUUUUCUAAACUCAGAAUAGGGGACUCCAAAAACAGUUCUGACUCUGUCUCACCAAAAUUCACAUAUCUCAAAAUAUAAAAUUCUUUUUGAUAAACCGUUAUUUUCCCAUGAAAAUAGACUCAACAAGAUUUCAUUCUAUAUAUCAUACAUCCUCUAAUUCAUUUUAUACCAUCCUAGGUGAUUUUUCAAAUUCACGUCACUGUGCUGCCUGAAUUCUGUUUCUUUGCAAAAUUUUACCCUUUCACAAUUUUCAUGCAUAAUUUAUCACCUAGACUUUUAUAACAACAAACACCUUUAUACUUAACCAUUUUAAUAACCAUUCAUCAUCAAUUACUUAUAAAUCAUUCUUUAGCAAAAUCAUAAUUACAAACAUGCAAAAUAACUAAGUCCCUAUACAUGCCAUAACUCAAACGUGUUUCGUCAUAAAAUACCGAGUAGUUGUUCUUGAUAGUGUAGACGAUCUCCGACUGCUUUAGGAUCCCUGAAGCAGCUUUGCAAUACUAUAAGAGAAAGAAAAAUAAAAGAAGUAAGCAUUAAGCUUAGUAAGUUUACUAGCAAAUAAAUAACAACAUUUAACACAAAGGAUUAUACUCCAAUGUCAAGGUCUCUAAUUUACUCUUUAAUUAAUCUCAUUCUUAUUCUCAUUCUCUUGCUUGUUUACUUUAUUAACUCGUGAUCAUAACUUACACUUCCCUUGUUGAAACGUUGAGUAUCAAUUGAUAAUAUAAUAGUUCUUAACUCUCUUAACUUACCUGAGCUUGCCAUUUGUGCUUUUAAAUAAACUUUCAUUAACAUGAUUCGUUUACUGGCCCGUUGAACUACAUUGGAAUAAUAAGGAUACUUGGGUUUCUUCUAAUAAUAACAUGCCAAAGUCAUGUCCCAGACAUGGUCUUACAUGGGAUGUUCUCAUGUCAGUGCUCAUGCCAUGUCCCAGACAUGGUCUUACAGGGGACCUCUCAUCUCGGUGCCAACGCCAUGUCCCAGACAUGGUCUUACAUGGGACCUCUCGUCUCGGUGCCAACGCCAUGUCCCAAACAUGGUCUUACAUGGGACCUCUCAUGAUCUCAAGGAUGCCAAUGCCAUGUCUCAAACAUGGUCUUACAUGAGAUCUCUUUACCCAAAUGUCAUGACAUUCGUAUCCAGUACCAUCCUUAUGUAUCAACGGGACUUUUUAAUUUUAAUUCUCUAUCGUUUCAUGUUUGGAUCAUCAUUAAUAAAUUCAUGAAAUAAAUUCAUAGUUUCUGGUAAAUAACAAUAUUAAUAAUAAUUAUUGAAAUAUUUCAUUUAUUUACUAUAAACUUACCUCGGUGCCAAAUAUAGCCAAAUUCACCAACUUAGCCUUCAACUUUAUUCUUUCCUUUGUCUAACCUCGAUUUUCGUUCUUCUAGAUCUAAAAUAGCAAAUUUAACUCAUUUAAUACUCACAUUUAUCAAAACAGCCCUCGACUCUAACUUUGUCAAAAUUAUGAUUUUGCCCCUAAACUUUUACAUAAUUACAUUUUUGGCCCAAAGCUCAAAAAUUAAAAUUCAUCUCUUAUUCUUGUGUUUUAUAACAUUUUGAACAUUUUUCCCUUCUAUGACAACAUCAAAUUCUCACUCUAGCAUGUACUUAUGAACAUUAGGUAUUUUUACCGAUUAUGUCGUUUUACUCGUUUUCACUUAAAAUCGGCUAGCAAAAGUUGUUUAAAAUAUUUUCUAGCUUCAUAUUCUAUCAUAAAACAUCAAAAUAAACACUUUUCACCUAUGGGUAUUUUUCCAAAUAUAAACCCUAAGUUAAUUAUUGCUAGAAUAAGCUAAAUUAAGCUAUCGGGAUCUCAAAAACGUAAAAAACAUUAAAAACGGGGCUUGGGAUCACUUACUAUGGAGCUUGGAAGCUUGAAAACCCUAACUAUGACUUCUCCCUUGCUGAUUUCGUUCACCAUGGAGAAGAUGAGCACAUUUUGCCAUCUUUUUCCCUUUUUUAAUUCUUUUUAUUACUAAAUUACCAAAUUACCCCUAACUUAAAAAUUUCCUAUUUCACUUAUCUCAUGUCCAUUUUUGUCUACCAACUUAACCAAUGGUCUAAUUACCAUAUAAGGACCUCCCAUUUAAAGUUUCAUAACAAUUGGACACCUUUAACAUGUAGAAUUCAACUUUUGCACUUUUUACAAUUUAGUCCUAUUGCCUAAAUUGAGUGCCCAAACGUCAAAAUUUUCGAACGAAAUUUUCACAAAAUCAUUCCGUGAAAUCUUAGACCAUAAAAAUAUAAGAAAAAUAAAUUUUUUCUCAUCGGAUUUGUGGUCCCGAAACCACUGUUCCGACUAGGCCCAAAAUCGGGAUGUUACAAAUCUUUUAUGAAUGAUCAAUUUAAUAAUAUAUCUAAAGGUUAUUGCCUCCCCCACAAAAUAAUAUUAUAUCUUUUCAUAAUCAAUGUCAGGACUUAGUAAAAAAUUUCAUACUUUUAUUCCACUUUUGCAGAACUACUUCAAUUGAACCCUCACUAGCUUUAUACCUUUAGAUAUUUGGACUACUGGUCCAAAAACUCGAGGAAUUUAAUUGUACUUGAGUUACGUCUUUCUAUUUUGAUCAAUUUAUUCCAUAUCUAUAUUUCUCAAUAGAUUUAUUCAAGAUCUUCCUUUUAUCUCAUUAUUUUAAUAGUAAUAUUGUAUGCAAAUCAUUGUCGACCAAUUUUAUUAUUCGGUUCCACAUUUUCUCAAAUUGACAUAACUUAUCGAGAUCUCUUAUUUUCAUCAUUUUAAAAUUCAGUUUCAGGUACCUGAAUCUCUUUUAAAUUUUUACUUAUUAGUUAUGUAUUGGGUCUCUUCUAGAGUAGCCGCCUUCAUUAUAUGACUAUCUAGAAGAAUUUUCAUUUUGGAAUCGAUCAAUCUAUUAUUUGUUCUAACUGAUUGUCCUACUGGGACUUUGAUUCAAAUUAAAAUAUUUGAUGGUAUAUGACACUUGGUUGUUCUCAUUAUUCAAAUUAAAAUAAUAUCAAGAAAUGACAUUAUAAGCACAAUCAUUUCUGGUUAAUGAAAUGUAAGCAUAACUAAUUGGCUUUCUAAUUCCAGCUUGAGUUUAUCAUUUUACUUUGUAACUAAAUCUUUAAUUAAGCUUGUAAAUUGACGUGAUAUUAUGAGUUUUAUCAUUUCACUUUGUAGUUAAAUUUUUUUUAAAUGAGUUGAAAAUAAUAUUCCGACGACUGACCUUAUUCCAGUUAUAGCAACUGAUUUAUUUGGUUUACAAACUAAGUUUUUAGAUGUAUAUUUGAGGGAAAAUGGCCCCGAUAACAAUUUUUGUUCAUAAUAUCAUAGAGAAGUUAUUGAUGAAUUCAUUCCAGUGAAAAAAAAGUAAAAGUGGAAAAAAGAUUUGGUUUUGUCAGAUAUAGCAAUAUGACAGAUGCGAGAAGGGUUAUUAGUCGAUCAAACGACUAUGUGAUUUUAGGAAAUAGAUUAUUGGUGGACUUAGCCAAGUUUAAGGGGGGAUAUAGAUAUGGAAAAAAUCUUCAACGGAAGGAAAUGCAAAGCAGAGACAGAACGAAAAAAAAAAGGGAGUAGAACGAAAAGUUGCAAGAAUUUAGCAAAAUGGAAGUAGGAGAAAGUUCCUCGAGGAGUAAUAAUGAUCCGAAUAAGACAGAAAAAGAGGACGACAAGGUGAAGAAUACCAGCAUAGUGGUUCAAGGACAUGUUGAAGAGGAGCAACUUUAGAAGCUUCAUAGAUGUUUGGUGGGUACAACAGCAGCGUGUUGUGGUACGCAGAGUUUAUUUGAAAGAAUAGUUAGGAAUGGAUUAGGGGAAAUUAAAAUCAGAAGAAUUCAAGGAAGGUACUUUUUGAUUGAAAUAUCAGAUGAGGAAUUGUUUGAUGUAUUGAAGCAAAACGAUUGGGCGUACUUAAGAGAGUUCUUUAUCAACAUAUAACUUUGGUCGGGGACAAUAGUGGUAGAGGAAAGAGUGGCGUGGAUUGAAGCAUAUGGUAUCCCCCUACACUGUUGGAACUAUACAUCCUUCAAAAGAAUAGCAAGUGUAUGGGGCGAGUUAAUAUCCCUCAAAGAGAAUCUGGUAAUGGUUAACAGCUUGGAUAAAAUGUCAAUGUUGGUAUCCAUCAAGCAGCCGAAAAGAAUAAAUGAGACAAUCUAUUUAAAGGUGGGGAAGACUAAAUUUCCCAUAAGAGUCAUUGAAAUAGGAUUAUCAAAAUUUAAAGGCGAUAACAGAAAGGUCUAUGGCGUGAAAGAAAGAGAAGAGCAUGAAUUAGUAUAAGAAAUGGAUGACACUUUGUUGAAGUCAACCCCCAUGCAGCAGCCAAGGUGACCAUGCAAGGUGGCCAUGCAGGGAUCGUGCUUUAACAGCAAACCGAAACUGCAUUGUUUCAUUUGGUUACUCAAAUAAACAUUUUGUGUUCUAGUUCAUGUUAAACUAAGUAGGUAAAUGUUUUGAUAUUGAUUGACUGAAAAGUCAGCAAUGCAAGUUGUACAAGCUAAUCUUGUAAGUUUCAAUGCAAAUUAGUGGAGUUAGGUAGUUGAUUAGGUGAUUACUUGUUUGUUUUACUUGUUGACUGAUAUAUGUAAUGGCUUAAUGCCUUGUUGAUGUGUUAAUGAAAGAAAUCAGCUCAUUUUUCAUUCAAUCUUCUUCUCUCUUUUCUGUUUUUUCACUAGCUAGUUUCAUUUUUCUAUUUCUGCUUCCGAGUUUGCUUCUUCACCAAGGCUCGAGGCUUGCUAUUCAAGCAAGACACAAAACAGCUUGUUGCUGCCUCCUGCACCAACAAUUGGUAUCAAGAGCUCUUGUCUUAGUGGACCUGUUGCUUCAAAUCAAGGAACUUGAUGGCUUCUUCAGGAUUUUCACCUGCAGCCCCACCAGUCUUCAAUGGAGAAGGCUUUCACAUAUGGCUGGUCAAGAUGAAGACUUACCUACAGGCCUUCGAUCUGUGGGAAGUUGUUAACACAGAUGCUGAGCCAGCACCACUGAGGGCUAAUCCCACAGUAGCUCAGAUCAGACAACAUGCUGAUGAGAGGACCAAAAGGCACAAAGCCAUGUCCUGUAUUCAGAACUGUGUAUCAGAUGUCAUCUUUACCAGAAUUAUGGCCUGUGAGACUCCAAAACAGGCCUGGGACAAGCUUAAGGAGGAGUUUCAAGGUACUGAGAGAACAAGGCAACAACAGCUGUUGAACUUGAGAAGGGAUUUCGAGAAUUUGAAGAUGAAGGAAGAAGAAACAGUGAAGCAGUAUUCAGAUAGAAUUAUGGCAGUGGUUAACAGCAUAAGGCUCCUAGGUGAGCACUUUGAUAAGGCAAGAAUUGUGGAGAAAGUCCUCUCCACUUUGCCUGAGAGAUAUGAGGCCAAGAUAUCCUCCCUAGAGGACUCAAGAGACCUUGCUAGCAUCUCUUUGACUGAGUUAAUCAACACCUUCUAUACUCAGGAACAAAGGAGAGCUAGCAGAGCUGAAGAUCACCAAGAAGGUGCAUUUCAAGCCAAGGCCAGAGAAGCCUCGAGCACCAAUGCUCAAAGAGGCAAAAAGCCUUGGAAAAACAGGCCUAAGCCUGAUGCUGCAAGGAGCAAUGACCAGCCCUGCAGAUAUUGCAAGAAGCCUGGCCAUCCAGAAGACAGAUGCUGGUUUAGGCCAGAUGCAGUAUGCCAACACUGCAAGAAGAAGGGCCAUGUUGAAAGGGUCUGCAAAAACAGGAGUAAGCCAAGGCAGAAUCAAUUUCAGCAGUCAAAGGUUGAAGCUCGAGUAGCUGAGGACAGUAGUGACCAAGAAGAACAGGUCUUUGCUGUUUCCUGUUUAGCUGCUGAGAAGAAAUGCUCAAAAGGCUGGUUGCUGGACAGUGGUUGCACUAACCACAUGUCACCAGAUGCCUCUUUGUUUAAAACCUUGGACAGAAGUUAUAAAACCAAGGUCAAGGUUGGAAAUGGUCAGUUUAUAAGGGCUGAAGGAAGAGGAGAAGUGCUGAUAUGUACUCCCACAGGCAACAAGAUCAUUCCAAAUGUGCUGUUGGUGCCAGAGAUUGACAGAAACCUUCUCAGCAUAGCUCAACUGCUCGAGAAAGGUUAUUCUGUUGUGUUCAAGGACAAACAAUGCCACAUUGCUGAUCCAAGUGGAUCAAGCCUUAUGACAGUCACAAUGACUGAUAAAUGCUUUGAGGUUCACUGGGCAAAUGACUCAAACUCAGCAUACACAACUUCUGUUGAUGACUUCAAGCUUUGGCAUCAAAGGCUUGGACAUGCCAACUUUAGAUCAAUGGCUCGAUUGGCUAAAGAGGGCAUGGCAGAAAACUUCACCAGCUCAGUGGAGCAUGAUGAUGUGUGUGAAGUUUGCCAAAUGGGGAAACAGGCAAGACUGCCAUUUCCUACAAAUUCAGCUUGGAGAGCUACUGAAAGACUGCAGCUGGUGCACUCUGAUGUAUGUGGCCCGAUGAGGACUGAAUCACUCAGCAAAAACAGGUAUUUCAUCCUCUUUAUUGAUGACCUUACAAGGUUUUGCUGGAUUUUCUUUUUAAAACACAAGUCUGAGGUAGCUCAAGUGUUUGUGAAGUUUAAAAAUGCUGUAGAAACAGAAACAGGUUGCAAGCUGAAAUCGAUAAGGAUUGACAAUGGCACUGAGUACACUUCAGCUCAGUUUCAAGCCAUUUGCAAUGAUGCUGGUAUCAAACAUCAGCUUACAAAUUUCUACACACCUCAGCAGAAUGGGGUAGCUGAAAGAAAGAAUAGAAGUCUGAUGGAUAUGGCCAGAUGUCUUCUGUUUGAAAAGAAACUGCCCAAGACCAUGUGGGCUGAGGCAGUAAACACUGUUGUUUACCUUCAGAACAGGCUUCCUACUAAAGCUCUUGCAUCCGAGACACCUUUCGAGGCUUGGUUCAGUUUCAAGCCUUCCUUGGCACAUCUGAAGGUGUUUGGUUGCCUGUGUUAUGCACAAAUACCAGCAGCAAAGAGAGACAAGCUCUCCAAAAGGGCUCAACCAGGUGUUCUAGUAGGCUACAGCUCAGUCAAAAAGGGCUACAGGGUUCUGGAUCCCUUGACAAACAAAGUCCAAGUGAGCAGAGAUGUCAUCUUUGAUGAAAAAGCCUGCUGGAAUUGGGAGAAAAAUGAGCCAGAAAUAAUUUUAGAAGACCUAGUGCCUAAUCAAGCUGAACUUGAGCAGCUAGGACCUGAAAUGGAUGUUGAUGAUGUGCCUGUGAGAGGCACAAGGCUCCUAGAAGAUAUUUAUGAAAGGGCACAGGUUGCAAUAGCAGAACCUAGCAGUUUUGAAGAGGCUGAGGCAGAUGAAGGUUGGAAACAAGCUAUGGUUGAUGAAAUCAACAUGAUUGUAAAGAAUCAGACAUGGGAGUUGGUUGAAAAGCCUGCCAACAGAAAGACUAUCGGUGUAAAAUGGGUCUAUCGAGUGAAGCACAAUGCGGAUGGAAGUUUAAAUAAGCUAAAGGCCAGACUAGUUGUAAAGGGCUUCAGUCAAAGGUAUGGUCUGGACUACAUGGAAACAUUUGCUCCAGUAGCCAGACUCGAUACAAUCAGAUUACUGAUUGCAGUUGCUGCUCAGAACCAGUGGACAAUCCACCAAAUGGAUGUCAAGUCUGCAUUCCUCAAUGGAUUCCUAGAAGAGGAGAUAUACAUCGAGCAACCCCCAGGUUUUAUAAUGCCUGGUAAGGAACAUUUGGUGUAUAGGCUAAGAAAGGCCUUGUAUGGCCUAAAACAGGCCCCUCGAGCCUGGUAUGCUCGAAUUGACUCAUACUUGGUCAGUUUGGGAUUUGAAAGGAGUGCUAGUGAGCCAACACUCUAUGUUAAGAGGAAUGGAGCUGAAACACAGCUUAUUGUGUCACUAUAUGUUGAUGAUCUUCUAGUGACUGGAGGAGACAAGCUUGUGAUGGCUGAUUUCAAAGCAAAAAUGAAAGAAAUGUUCGAGAUGUCAGAUUUGGGGUUGAUGACUUAUUUCCUUGGAAUAGAGAUACAACAAGCUGAUCAAGGAAUCUUUUUGGGACAAAAGGCGUUUGCUUUGAAAGUUUUAUCCAAGUUUUCAAUGCAAAAUUGCAAGCCAACAUGCACACCUAUGGCAGUUGGCAUAAAACUAUCGAGCCAAGAAGAACACGAGCCUGUCAAUGAAUCAUUUUAUAGGAGCCUUGUUGGUUGUUUGCUGUAUUUAACAGCAACAAGACCUGACAUUCUGUUUGCUGUGAGCAUGCUAUCAAGGUUCAUGCACUGCUGUAACCAGCAACAUUACAAGGCUGGGAAAAGGGUGCUAAGAUACAUCAAAGGUACCUUAAACCAUGGAAUACAGUUUAGAAAGACUGAAGAGUUGAAACUGAUUGGCUACACUGAUAGCGAUUGGGCUGGUUCAAAGGAUGACAUGAAGAGCACUUCUGGCUAUGCUUUUACUCUUGGCUCAGUUAUGAUUUGUUGGAGCUCAAGAAAACAAACAAUGGUGGUUCAAUCGACAGUAGAAGCAGAGUAUGUAGCAGCUGCUAAUGCUGUUAAUCAAGCUAUGUGGCUGAGAAAAAUUUUGGGUGAUUUGAAUCUACAGCAGAAUGAUGCAACUGUGAUACAUUGUGACAACAAGUCAGCAGUUGCUAUUGCUAAAAACCCUAUCUUCCAUGGCAGGACAAAACAUUUCAACAUCAAACUCCAUGUGAUAAGAGAAAUGGAACAAGCUCGAGAGAUCAAGCUAAUUCAUUGCAGCUCAGAAGAUCAAAUCGCUGAUAUCUUCACAAAAUCACUUGGUGCAUCGAGAUUUGUAAACCUAAGGAAGCAACUAGGAGUCUGCUGCAUAGAAGCUGAGGAGGAGUGUUGAAGUCAACCCCCAUGCAGCAGCCAAGGUGACCAUGCAAGGUGGCCAUGCAGGGAUCGUGCUUUAAUAGCAAACCGAAACUGCAUUGUUUCAUUUGGUUACUCAAAUGAACAUUUUGUGUUCUAGUUCAUGUUAAACUAAGUAGGUAAAUGUUUUGAUAUUGAUUGACUGAAAAGUCAGCAAUGCAAGUUGUACAAGCUAAUCUUGUAAGUUUCAAUGCAAAUUAGUGGAGUUAGGUAGUUGAUUAGGUGAUUACUUGUUUGUUUUACUUGUUGACUGAUAUAUGUAAUGGCUUAAUGCCUUGUUGAUGUGUUAAUGAAAGAAAUCAACUCAUUUUUCAUUCAAUCUUCUUCUCUCUUUUCUAUUUUUUCACUAGCUAGUUUCAUUUUUCUGUUUCUGCUUCCGAGUUUGCUUCUUCACCAAGGCUCGAGGCUUGCUAUUCAAGCAAGACACAAAACAGCUUGUUGCUGCCUCCUGCACCAACACACUUUCGUGUCAGAAUCUGAAUCAACGAUGAUAUUAGGAUUGGAACAGAAUCCAGAAGAGAGACAAGGCUGGGAAAAUGAAGCAAUCAAUGCGAUUAUUCUCAAAAAAUCAAACGAUAAUUGCGACUGUCAGAACAUUUCUCAAAACGUGAUUAGGUUGGAAGAGAAAUUGAUCAGUGGAAUUAGGGUCGAAACUAGGGUGGGGGAAGGGUUAAAAACUAGUGCAACAAUCGGGCUAAGGAAUAUAUGAGUAAUAUGGGCUUCGCAAUAGAUUAAUUAGGAUUAGAAAAUAUGGAUAGGGUUUAAGAUAAGCAACAAAACAGUGAGGAGGGUAUGUGAUUGUUGAUGGAUAUGGGCUUACAACAAGUCAAUCCAAAUAAGUUAGAGGGGAAUAGAUUGCAACAAACAAAAUGAAAAAUCGAGUGAUUUGGGAAGGGAAGGAGUAGAUAGAGAAAAAAAGGGUUCAGUUGAAGAAUUUUAAAAAAAUUUUGAACAGAAGAAAAAAAAAGUAAUGGAAGAAAGAUUAGAUCGAUGUCUAAAAUUUAGAAUAGAAUUCUUUCAGUAACAGAGAAGAAGAAGAGAGAUCGGACGUUGAAAAAGCAGAAACGUAAAGGAAUUACAAGCAAAGAGGAAGUUUUUGUUAAUGCUUCUCUCUCAAACUCUGGCAUUAGCAAUAGAAAUAGAGUGAUUCUUAGGGAGGCAAGGAACACAUGGAAAGUGGGGAAAAAAUCUUGGGUUCAGCAUUCGGGGUGACGAACAAGAUGUUAAAGAGAAUAUGAAAUUGGAAGAAAGGUAGAUCUGAGCAACAAAGAAAAGUACAGAGGUCAAUAGGCCACAGGUUAGGUUAGUACCGAUUAUAACCGUGAUUUUUUACUGUGAAUGAGAGUGUUUAGGGGGAAAGAAUGAGGAUUUUAUAAUGGAACAUUAGGGGCAUGUCUUCAGAUUUGAAAAAAAAGUUAUCUCAAAAGAGUAAUCUUUAAAGCUAGAGUAGAUGUUUGCUUCAUUUAGGAAUCAAAAUUCGAAAAGGUUACGAAUGUAAUUCAACUAUUGUAGGGAAUUCAGAAGGUGUAAUUAUAGUAUGGGAUAAAGGCAAGUUUCGAGUAGGUAGUUAUAUAUAUUCUAAACAUUUUGUAGUAGUGGAAGGAAAAUGGUUAGAAGAAGGUUUAGAAGAUAUGUUGAUUAAUGUUUAUGCACCUAAUGAGACUUUAGAUAAAAAAUCUUUAUGGGAGGAAAUUAUAGAGUUGAAGGGUUCGUUUGCCUACUCAUGGAUCAUACGGUGAUUUUAACGCAGUAAGAAAAAUGAGUGAAAGAACUAAUUGUGUGGGACUCUUGAAUGGUUCAAAGGUAUUUAACAGUUUCAUUGAUAAUUGUAAAGUGGUGGAUUUACUUCUGACGGGUAAGAAGUUCACUUGGUUCGGGACAAAUAAUAAAAUGAGUAGAUUGGAUUGAUUUUUAUUGGAUGAACAAUGGUUAAUUCGCUUCAAAGACUUUACUCAGAAAGGCUUUUAUAGACCGGUUUCUGAUCAUAUUUCGUUACUACUAUAUAAUGAUUUUGUGGAUUGAGGGCCAUGCCCAUUCAAUUUUCUUAUUGCAUGGAUCACAAAAAAGGAGUGCACGAAUCUUAUUAAUGAAGUAUGGGGAGGGAAGGGCGAAGCUAAAAUAAGGAUGUCCAGAAAGCUAAAGAGGUUGAAACUGGUUAUCUAAGAAUGGAAUGAAAAAUCUGGUGGGAAUGAAGAUUAAAAAAUAAAAUUGAUUGAAAGAAAAUUUUCGGAAUAGGAUGAUAUUGGCGGCCACAAAAAUUUGAAUGAAAAGGAAAUGGAAGUAGUCGAUUGAAUAUAGAGUUGUGGGAUACAAUUAGGUUCAGUGAAUCAGUGUGACGUCAAAAGUCAAGGUUGUUAUGUUUAAAAGAAGGUGAUUCCAACAUUGCUUUCUUUCAUAAAGUAGUGAAAUUUAGAGCUAACAAAAACGAUUCAAAAGCUCAGAUUUGAGUCUUAUUGGUGCACAGAAUCGGAGUUACUGAAGAAAAAAAUGUUCGAGUACUUUAGCAAUCAUAUUAGUUGUCCAGUUAGAAAAUGAGAAGUGAAGAUGGAUCUGAUUUUGAAAAGAUUAACAGAGGAAGAAGCUUCAAGGCUUGAAAUGCCUUUCAUGAUGGAGGAGAUUAAAGACGCGAUUUGGUGUUGCAAUGAGUCCAAAGCUUUAGGGCCUGGUGGAUUUAAUAUGUUAAGAAAUGCUAGUAAGUGAUAAGGUAGGAUUUAUUCAAUAUGAUGAUGGGGUUAUUUAGACUUGAAAAGCUUGAAAAAAGUAUAAAGUCAUCCUUCAUAUCUCUUAUUCCCAAAACCGAUUUGUUUGUUGGGAUCUUUCUAUAAAAUAGUGGCUAAGUGAUGUCUAAACAAAUCCGAGAGGUGAUUGAUGGUGUAGUGAGCAAUACUCAAUGCGCAUUUAUAAAAGGGAGACAGAUUUUUGACAGAAUUCUGGUAGCAAAUGAAAUUAGUCACUCAAUUAUGAAAAAUUCGAGCUCAGGUGGUAGUUUAAUUUUGAAGCUGGAUUUUUCAAAAGCCUAUGAUUAUGUUAGAUGAUGCUUUUUGGUUCAAAUAGGGUUUGGGGUGAAAUGGAGAGGGUGGAUAUCUAAGUGUGUAUCCAUAGUAAGAGCAACUAUUCUUGUUAACUGAUUGACAACAAAUGAGUUCAGAAUAAGAAGGGGGCUCAGACAGGAGAUCCGCUUUUUCCAUUUCUGUUUAUUCUAGUAACAAAAGUGUUUCACUUGAUGCUUGAGAAGGCUAAAGAUAUUGGGUUAAUUGCUAGCAUUUAGAAUAUAAACCUGAAUCAAUCAUUCUCUCUUCUACAAUUUGUAGAUGACACCAUUCUCUUUGUGAAAGCUGAGGAAGAGUAUGUUCUAAAUAUUAUAUAUUUUAAGGUGUUUUGAAUCUUUUUUUGUCUUAGUAUUAAUUUCCAGAAAUCAUGCUUGGUGGGAUUUGAGAUGAAAGAGGAGUUUCUUUUAUGAAUGGUAGCAUUAUGUCGAUGUAAGAUUGGGAAUUUAGCUUUUAAUUAUUUAGGUAUUCCAUUAGGUGCUGAUCCGAGAAAAAUAGCUACUUGGGAGCCAAUUGUGGAAAAAUUUUCAGAAGAAACUAGCUGGUUGGAAAUAUCAGUCGCUCUCUUUCGUUGCAAGAGUAGUACUAACUAAUUUGUUACUAUCAUGCCUCCCUAUAUAUUUCAUGUCAUUAUUUCAAGCCCCUAUCACAGUAAUAAUUAAAAUCGAUAAAAUCAGAAGAAAAUUUAUGUGGUAAGGUUCAAAUUGUAACACCCCUUACCCGUAUUCGACACCGAAAUAGGAUAAGAGGCAUUACCAAAAAUUACGAAACAUUUACGGAUAAUUCGAGUCAUUUACAAUUCACUAUUUCUUCCUGUCAAUCCCAAUUUCAAAUGACAGAUUCAUGUAAAUGAGUUCAAUAUCAUUAGCUGUUUAAUUUCCGUCACUUAAAUUCAUAUACACAUAAUUUAUUAACAUAACCUGUCAAAACAAUCUCUGAAUGAUGAGAUCACAUAAUUGAACUCAAUUUCACUGUUCAAUAUGUUUUAUUACAUAAGAUUUGCUUAAUAGUUACCACAAUUUGUCAAAUUAGAGAACGUCUUACGGAAUUGAGUACUUCGUUUUCACAUUGCCAUAGUAUAACUAUGGUCUUGCACAUUGUCACAUAUCACACACCGAAGCCAUAGCCCAGCUAUGGUCUUACACUGAAACACAUAUCACACUAAUGCCAUAUCCAGAUAUAGUCUUACACGGAAAUCACAUAAUCAUAUUUUCACAUGUUGCCAUGGUCAAACCAUGGUCUUUUCCGUCAAUUCAUCACAUAUCACUGAACGAAAGUACUCAUUCCUGCGUUCUACUCAAUUUGACCUCUUAGUUCUUUUUUCGUACUUUUACAAUAUUCACACUUUAAAUACGAACAUAUGAAAUGAUUCGUCACUUCUUUCAUUUACUAACAAAUAAUUAUUAAAUUCAGCUAUAUGAACUUACAAUUUGAUUUUAUAACAUAACUAUAAUAAUAAUUUCAUAAUAACUAUUUAAAAUAAAACAUUAUAUCAUUUUCUAGAUCAACGUUUAUCGAUUAUAAUCGGGCAUAUGACCAAUUUAUACACAAGUCAUUCAUAUAUUUUCCUCCUCCUCCUCUCCAUUCCACAUCCUUAAUGUGUAUAACACACUUAAACAACAUUAUCCAUACUUUCACUAUUUCCUUGUAUGUAAAUUCAAAGCUGUCUAUUUGAGUCAGAGUCACUAAAUCAUUUUUAUCCGGAGCUACAAAGCUCCAAAUUAAGAUCCGUUAAUUUUACCCAAAACUAGACUAACAUAUAUACUUACCAUAAAAUUUUCAGAAUUUUUUACUUGGCAAAUUAGUACAUUUUAUUCUUUAAAUUCACCCUUGUUUCACAGCUCAACAUCUCUGUCCUCUCUUUACUAAAAAUGAAUUAUCUCAUUGUACAUAUUUUGGAUGGUUCUCUCGUUUGUUUCUCUUAAAAAUAGACUCAUUGAGGAAUUUAAGAAUGUAAAUUACAAACCAUAAUUAUUUAUUUAAAAUUUAUAGUGAUUUUCCAAAGUUGAAACAGGGGAACUCGAAAUCAUUCUGACCUUGUCUCACAAAAUUAAUUAUAUCUCAUGAUUUUCAAUUCCACUGCUUACACCAUUUCUUCUAUGAGAAAUUAGACUCAAUAAAAUUUAAUUUUAUAUUUUAUUCAUCUUCUAAUUCGAUUCCCACAAUUUUUGGUGAUUUUUCAAAGUUAGACCACUGCUGCUGCCCAAAACUGUUUUAGUGUAAAAUAUUGAUUACCAUUUUGACCCUAAACUUUGAAUACAUGUCAAUUUCAUCCCUAGGUUCAGAAAAUGAAAUUAUUUCAAUUUAAUCCUUGAUCCAAGCCUAAGAAUUCUCAUACAUAUCAAUAACAGCCCAUGGAUUCCAUGAAAUUUCAUAAUUUUUCCACAAUUUCAAUACUUUUCAAUUUAAUCUCUAAAACAUGUUUUCAUCCAAAAUUCUUUAAUAAAACACCUUUAAACAUCCAUUAACAUCUUAAUUUCAUCAUCAAAUAACAAAAAUCAUAUGAACUUAUCAAUGGUAUCUUCCAAAACUUUCAACAAAAUGAGAAACUAAUAGAAUUCUAAGUUGGACCUAAUUGUAAAAGUCUAAAAAUAUAAAAAUUUCAAGGAAAAAGCAAGAAUUAAACUUACUUGAAGCUAAGAUAUGGAAUACCAGCUCUAAACCCUCUUCCAUGGUUGUUUUCCACCGAAAUUUCAAGAAGAAAUGGUCUUGAAAUGCUUAAAAUAAAAUUUGGCUACACAAACUUUAUUGUAAUUCCAAUUUUGUCCUUAAAUACAUAAAAAUAUUUGAUUUUUUAAAUGGUAUGCCAUCUCAGCCACUUAAAUUGGUCCAUUUACUCUUUUAUUCCUUCCUUAUUUAAUUGUUAAGCUAUUUAAUCACUUUAGCAAAUUUUGCAUCUUUUCAAUUUAGUCAUUUUUAAUUAAUUAACUGCCGAAACAUUAAAAUUUUCUGACGAAACUUUAACACUACCAUAUUGACACUCCGUAAAUAUUUUUAUAAAUAUUUACAGCUUAGUUUAUAAUAUCGAGGUCUCGAUACCUCUUUUCCUCAAUUUCUUGACUUAAUAAAUUUUUAUAAAACACAAAUUACUAAUUCAAAAAUCUCUAAAAAAUCAUAUUUGGCUUGUAAUAAAAUUUACGAGCUUAUUUUUUGAAUUUGGUGAUCUCGUAUCACUGUUUUCGAUAUUUCUAAAAAUUGUGCUAUUACACAAAUGAAAGAAGAAAAAUGGAAAAAGUUGGUUGGAAUCAAGUGUGUUUACCAAAAAAAUUGAGAGGGGUUGGUGUGGUAAAUCUUAAAAUUAGAAUUGGGCUCUUAUGGCAAAGUGGGGAUAGAAAUACGCUACAAAAAAUAAUGCUUUGUGGAGAAAAGUUAUCCAUUCGAAGUAUGGCUCGCCUUUGUAACAUUAGGGAUUUAAGACAUCCAAACCAAAAGAGAUGUCGAUUGAAUGGCGCGAUAUUAUGGAAAAUUCAAAAUUAGAGGGAGUGUCAAAAUAGAUUGGGUCAGAAUCUUUUAGGUGGGUGAUUGGGAAUGGGAAAUCGUUCCUCUUUUGGAAGGAUAUUUGGUGUGGUAAUUGCCCGCUGGAGGUGGAGUUUCCUAAGUUGUUCAAACUUGCUAUUGUGAAGAAUAUUGUGGUCAAUAAUGUAGCAAAGAAUAAUGGGUUUCAGGAGGUAUAUUGGGGAGGACGUUUUCUCAAGGAAGUUGCUGGGUAAAGAGGUAAUUAUGUUGAACAAUUUGAAGAAUUUGAUUAGGAGUUUUGAACUAGAUCCUAAAGUGGAGGAUUGUAUCAUUUGGAUUCAUGAUAGUGUCAGAGAGUUUACAGUUAGGAAAUUGUCUCAAUUGUUGUCUUAUGAUGGAAUGAGAGCUAUUGAUUUCCCAUUUGAAAGGAUUUGAAAAUUAAAGGUACCACCAAGAGUCUGAAACUUUCUGUUGAUGUUGUUUAUUAAGAGUCUUGCAACAAAGGAUUUUCUGAUUAGCCAGUGGGUGAAUCUGGAUAGGAGUACAAAAAAUAUUGUGGUGGAUUUCGAUUUCAGCGUUAUGUUGGACCGUGUGGUUAGCUUGGAACGAUAAAGUGUUCGAUAGGACAUCGACGAAUCUAGAUACAAUAUUGUACCACUCUAAAAUGAGAGCUUUGAUGUGGGCUAAGGCAGUGCAAGAAGAAUGUCAAUUUUAGGAAGGUUAUUGGUGGUAUUGGCCAGCGAAAUUUAGCUCCUAAAAAAGCAUGGCAAACAUUGAUGUUUACCAUUGGAAGCCACCUCCUCUCGAAUGGAUGAAAUUCAAUGUGGUUGGUUUUGUUUUGAAGGAUGAAGCAGGUUGUGGUGAGUUUUUGAGAGAUGAUAAAGGAGUGACUUGUAUGGUUUUCUCGAGGCGGAUCAAAGCCAGGGGAGCAAAAAUGGCAGAAGUAAUAGCAAUUAAAACAAUAAUGGAUAUGGAUAUUAGAUCGAGUCCAAAGGCAGAUGUUCCAUUAAUAAUUGAAGUAUGCUCGUUUGUUGCUUUAGAAUAGCUGACAAAUAAGAGUUAUAGACCGUGGUUGUUACAAAAAUUGUUUGGUGACAAAGACUAUGGCAUUAAAUAGUUGGCUCAAUUUCAGAUCACAGUUAUUCAUCGACAAAGUAAUGGUAUGGAGGAUGCUUUGGCGAAAGCAGGUAUAUCAAGAUCUUCCUUUUUUAAAGCCUUGUGGUGAAUUUGUUAAAUGUAUCCUUUUGCUUGUUGUGCGGAGGUUUUUGUAUCUGGUUGUCUGUUGUAUUAUUGUCGUAUUCUUGCUUUUCUUAAAACAGUUGGUGGUUCCAAUGUCUUUCUUGAAUUAUUUUAUUCGAUUGAGCAAAAAAAAACUUUAAAUUAUAAUACUUUAGAAAUUCAUAUUAUUUGUUUAUAUUAAAUUAUAAAGUGAAAAUUUAAAACUUAAAAAAUACUACAAACCUCUACAAUUCGUACAUUUAAACAUGGACUUCUAAAACUUGAUAGCAAACAUAUAUGUAGAAAGUAUUAAUUAGUGGAAAACUUAUGUCUUUUCACUUAGUUUUGCAUGCAAUAAAUUUUAUGAUUUUUUUACAUGAUACUAUAAUAUAACAAAGUAAAAUUAAAGAUAAUUGAAAUGUGGAUAAAUUUGAUGUGAAAAUGGGGAUAAUAAAAUUAUAUAUUUUAAGUUAUCAUUAGGUUUUAAAUUAAGUGUAUAUAUUAUCUAGAUUUAAGUUCUAACAUGAUUUUUUUAUUAUAUUAAUUAUAAGAUGAAUCAGUAUGUAAAUAACAUUAAAUAAUUAAUAAAACAUAAAUCAAAUCAAAAUAGUAGGUAAAAAUAUUUUAGUUGAUUUGAUUUGAGUCGAAUAUUUUAUGUUUGAUGAUCAACCGAUUAGUUUGAUCUUUAAAAACUUGAGUUCCCCAAACGUAUGUUUACUUUUAACCUUUUAAUAUAAAAAUAAAAGUUAAAAUAAAUAAUAAAAGAAAAACUAAUCAGAAGAAGAAUUUUCAUUUUUAAAUAAAAAUGAGCUUUCCUACAAAAUAUUUGGUGGAAAAUUCAUUAAGAAAGGAUAUUGUAUGAAUGUACCACAAAAUUAAUCGCAUUCCCUUUGAUUAGAAAAGUAUUAAAAAGAUAAAAAAAACAUCAUAUCCAAACUCCAGUUGCGCCAUUGUCAUUUUGGAAGCGGGUAAUUUUUAAUAUUUCUUUUUGCUAUCUUAUUAACAUUUGAUUGCUUGCAAUUGGUGGCUACUCGUUUGGCUCCUUCACUUUUGUUAUCUUAGGUAACGUUAAUGGAUCUUUAAUCAUUUAGUUUUGGGGUUAUGAAAUGCUAGUGGUGUGCUAUUUUUUAUUCGUUAAUUGUUUAGUUCUACGUUUAGGUGAAGCUCAUGAGAUGUUUGGCACUCAUUCAACAUCGUAGUUUUGUAUGGUUACGGUUUGAUUAAUGGUAAGACUGUGAAAUAAUUUUGGUAUUGGAAGAGUUUAAUUCUUAAUUGCCCCGUGCCUCGUUAAUGUUAUAAUCAUUUUAUUUGUUGUAUUAGGGUCUUAGAGGUCUUGUGGUUCGUUCCCAUUAAAACCGAACCAGGUGGGUAACGAGAAACCUAAAAAUCAGUAAACUACAAAAGGUGGGUAAUGAGAAACCUGAAAAUCAGUAAACUACGAAAGCUGAAAUUGAGGCCUGUUAACGCCACACAGUCUUGGCCAUUUUGGGUCGUAUAGGCCACAUGAGCAUGUGUGGACCACACGAACAAGGCUAAUUUGGGCCGUGUGAGCUAUACGGACGUGUGGACUCAAAUUUCAAAAUUUUUCCCUAGGGUCGUACAAGUCGUCUCGAUUGACUGUGAGCCCUCCAUAUUAAGUAGAGGAAGUGUUCUGUGUGAGGCAUUAACUCGCCAUUAUACUAACAUUUGUUUGAUGAUUAGAUUCUAUUAGCUGAGUUGCAAGUUAAGCCAACUUAGAUUGAUCAGAUUCUGGAUAAACAAUUUAGGGAUGAUUCUCUGGUUCUGCGAUUCUGUUAGGUAGAAGAUGGUAGUACAUCUGAUUUUGGGCUAAAUAGUGGUAGGGUUCCGUGUUUCCGAGAACAGGUUUGUGUACCUAAUGAUUUUGAUUUGAGGCAGUCCAUUCUGAGGAAAGUGUAUAGUAGCCCUUAUGCUUUGCAUCCUAGUGGAAAUAAGAUGUAUCGAGAUCUUCGUGUUCUAUACUAGUGGCAUGUUUGAAACGGGAGGUAAAAAAUUUUAUUUUUUGUUGUCUGAACAUGCCAGCAAGUUAAGGCUAAGCACCAGUUGCCUUCGGGUUUCCUUCAACCCGUUAAGAUUCCCAUGUGGAAAUGAGAACAUGUGACUAUGGACUUUGUUAGUAGGUUACCCCUAACACUUCCUAAGAAGGAUAUUAUGUGGGUCAUCGUAGGUCAAUUAUACAAGUUUGUCGACUUUAUUCCUGAUCGAACAGAUUAUUCUCUUCAAAAGUUGGUCAAAUUAUAUGCUUUCGAGAUUAUGAGACUUCAUGGGGCACCUGUCUCAAUUAUUUCUGAUAGAGAUUCUCACUUCACUUUUUAAUUUUGGAGGAAACUUCAUGAGGCUCUAGGUUCGAGGUUGGACUUCAGUACUGUGUUCCAUCCUCAGACAAUGGUCAAUCUGAGUGAGUGAUUCAGAUACUAGGGGAUAUGCUUCGGAGUUAUGUAAUUGAUUUUCGACGUAGUUGAGAUGAUUUUUUACCGUUAGCCGAGUUCACCUACAAUAACAGCUUUUAGUCUAAUAUUCAGAUGGCGCCUUACGAGGCUCUAUAUAGUCGUAAGUGUCAUACUCCUCUAUGUUGGACUGAGUUAGGUGAGCGACGGGUUUUAGGUCCUGAGUUGGUUUCUGAGACUGAGGAUAAAAUUAGACUAAUUUGGGAUCAUUUUAAAGUGGCUUCUGAUAGAUAGAAGUCCUAUGCAAAUAUGAAAAGAGGGACAUUGAGUAUUCCGUGGGUGACUAUGUGUUCCUUAGUGUGUCUCCAUGGAAGAAAGUUCUACUGUUUGGACGUAAGGGCAAGUUGAGCCUAGGUUCAUUGGGCCCGUAUCGAAUUUUGAAAUGUACGGUAUUAGACAUGUAUUAGUUAGAGCUAAUUUUAAAGUUAGACCGUUUCCAUGAUGUGUUUUACGUCCCUAUGUUGAGGCGGUAUCAGUCACACCCAUCUAAUAUUGUUUCUGUUGAAGAGAUUGAGGUUAGACUAGAUUUAACUUUUGAUGAGGAGUCGAUUUAGAUUUUGGAUUGGGAUGUGAAAGUCUUGAGGAGGAAAUCUAUUCUAUUAGUUAAGGUUCUGUGACGGAAUCAUGGCGCAGAGAAAGCCACUUGGGAACCUGAGGACUCGAUUCGUCAGCAAUAUCCACACCUGUUUGAGUUAGGUAAAUUUCGAGGUUGAAAUUUCUUUUAGAGGGGUAGAGUUGUAAUGAUCCCAAAUAUUUAAUUAUUGCUCUGAUAAAAUUCGUCAUAGUUAAAUAAUUGCUUCAAUGGUUAAGGGCCUUGGGUGUAAAGGGUGGGUCGUGAGUUCAAGUCUUUGGGAGAGUCUUUUGCUAAGUAAUUUUUUGUUAUGUUGUUGAGUAGAAUUUGAGUUAAAGUUUAACUCAAAGAAUGGGGGGGAUAUUUGUUGCUUGAUUAUAGGGAUAGGAGGUGGGUAGUUGUGUUGGUUUAAAUUUUAAGUUUUAAUUUAUUUAAAAACAAAAAGAAAAACUUCUUCCCUCAAACCCAGAUUUCCACUUUCUUUCUUUUCUUGUUUUUAUUUUUUUUCUCUCUUCUUGCUUCACUGUCAUUUUGGAAGUGGGUAAUUUUUAAUCUUUCUUUUUGUUAUCCUAUUGACAUUUGAUUACUUACAAUUGGUGCCUACUUGUUUGGCUUAUUCACUUAUGUUAUCUUAGGUAAUGUUAAUGGAUCUUUAAUCGUUUAAUUUUGGGGUUAUGAGAUGCUAGUGGUGUUAUUGUUUUAUAUUAGUUAAUUAUUUAGUUAUGCGUUUAGCUAAAGGUCGUGAGAUGUUUGGCACUCUUUCAACAUCGUAGUUUCAUAUGGUUGUGGUUUGAUUAACUGUAAGACUAUGGAAGAGUUUUGGUGUUGGAAAAGUUUAAUUCUAGAUUUCCUUGUGCCCUGUUACCAUUAUAAUCAUUUUAUUUGUUGUAUAUUGGUCUCAAAAGUCUUCUGGUUGCAUUCCCUUCGAAAUUGAACCAAAAGGGUAACGAGAAACUCAAAAAUCAGUGAACGGCGAAAGCCAAAAUUGAGGCCUAAAAAUGCAUGUAAUGUGAUGUGAUAUGUAUGAUAUGUUAUUUAUAGGCAUGUUCAAUAUUUGUCAUAUGAGCAUGCAUGAUAUGUAAACUCUGGCCUCUGCUAUUUCUAUUAUUUUCAGUGUUUUGUUCAUAUCUGGUUAUGGGGCAGGUUAUGUAUUAUGUGGAGGAAGUGUUCUGCAUAAGGUGUUAACUCGCCAUUAUACUAGUAGCACUACUGCGAUUAUUCUGAAAAGUGUCAUAAGGAUACUAAGUGGUGUGUAGGGAUAGGUGGGUGUUUUAUACCCCACAUGGUGUGCUAGGAUGGUCAAAGCUGAUGUGUAAAGGAUGGGGGUAGGAUUAUAUUUAUCUGCACUAAUACUACUCUUAUACAAUUCUAAUUCUGUAUAAGAAAUAUGAUUAUAUCUGUUCUUUUAUGUGAUUAUAUUUGAAUUUCUGUUUCUUUUGAGUUACACACUAAGUUAUAAAAACUCACACUUUGUUUGUCUGAUAAUUUUAGGUAACCCUCAGAAUGAGGCAGGUUGGUUCGACGGGAGCUCGGUUAUGUCCACAAUUUUGUAAAACUUUAUUUAAAUAAAUUUGGCUUAUUUAAAAUUUUCGAUUUGAGAGUUUUGUAAUUUUUGGACUCUCUAGACAUUUAGGUUUGUUAUUGGUUUGGAUUUUGUUUUGGGUUUUUUCUUGAAAUUUGAUAAAAUGAUUUUUUUUUGAAAAACGGCUAUGUUUCUACGAUUAACUGUUUUUAAGAAAACAAACUCGAAUUUUUAAAAUAUAACGCUUUAAGAACUUCCGCUGCAACUUAUUUGAUUUAAUUUAGGAAAUGAAAUCAACUACCGGUUUUAACUAUUAAGUAUGUCAAACGUUUUUCAAUUAAAAUGGACUUUUAACGUUUUUCAAUUAAAAUGGACUUUUAAAUUAAAUAGCAAAGGUUCACGACAUUUUUCAAAAAUCGAAAGUUAGAUUUAUAAUUAUUUUACGCAAUAUUCCAGAUUCAGCCAUAAUGUCUAGGCUGAGUUUUAAGUGCUACGACAUUGCUUGAACCAAAAAUAUUCAUAAUCUCCACAAACAAAUUGCAAAGAGUAUCGACAUCUAAAAUCAUGUCGAAUGCAUUAAGGGAUUUGAUGAAGCAUAAUCCUUUAGGGCAAUGCACUAAAAGAUUGGUUAAUGACUUUUGUUCCAAAUCUUUCUACCCACCUCUCAUUGUGGUGCAUCCACAUUUCACCCAAAUCCUUUUGUAGAAUUCAAACAGCCAUAAAUCCCUUUUUUGAGUACUCUAGUAGAUUGGUUAACAAUGCAUAAUAUGAUAGAGCUUUCUAUCCCAAUCCUAUAGAUGCCAGCUUUCUAUCCCAAUCCUAUAGAUGCUAUGGCAUCAAGGCGCAAUUCAAACUUUGCAAGACCCUUUUGCAUUUCUUUGAUAUUUGAUUGAACUUUUUAAAAGUCUAUUUGGGUGAGAGAUUGGGAAGAAAACUUUCAUUUCUUGCAAAGUUUUAGAAAAUAUUCUGAACAUAUAUUUACUUUUUGGGGUAAACAUAAUAAAUUUUUAAGAAAUUUUAAAAAGGGUUUUGAAUAACCCAAAAUCCCCAUUCAAAUUCCAGAGAUAGUUUUUCAAAUUUCCAUUCAUUUAAUACAUGUGAUCUCACAGUGAAAUAAAAAAAAAGGCUAGCAUUUUGUACAUAUGCAAUGUACUUUUUUAUUUCAAGCAUCCUUAAAAAAUUAUCAUGUGUCUCUUUUUUAAAAUUAUAAACUUUUUGGGUAUGCAUUUGGUAUACUUGUAAUAUUUUUUUCCACAAGCAGUAUUGAAAAAUUGACAAGUCUCUUUUUAUGAAUAUCUAUUUUUUAAUAUUUUACUAUACUUGACACUUGUCAACUCUCUAAUCCUGCUUGUGAAGUCUAAAAACUACACUGAUGGUAUAUCAAAUAUUUUAUAUAACUUUAAAAUGUAAUAUUUGUUUAAUUUCAAUAUUUUUAUAUUUUAUAUUAUUAAAAGUAUUUACAUAUUUUUAUGAAUGUAAUGAUAUCCAUCUUGCAUAUUUUCAUAUUAUUUUUCUUUUAUAAUUAUUUUUUAACUUAUUAAAUUUUAUUAACUUUAUUUUUUUUAAAAAUUAUUUUUCGAAACCAAAAAAUUAAAAAUAUUAAAGGAUGUAUUUUAAAAUGGUAGCAUUUUUAAAGGCUUGAUAAAUUUAAAUUUUCAAAAUGUUUUAUCCACCCUAAAAGAUGAAAAGAUGAAGCAUGUAAUUGUAGUGGCCCGAAGCGACGGCAAAGGAGACCAAGACGAAGGGGGAAAUGAGUGAUGAGAUCACUUACCAAGUCUUUUCUUUUGGAAUUUUCGCCAUUUAACUUAGUGGUAAUUAUCUGAUAGUGACUAUUCAAUUCCCUUUGGUUCAUAUGAAAUUUACUUUUAAAAUUAUUAUUUUCCUCUACUUGCACAAGGAAUAUAUAUAAUACUAAAUUAGCACAAUAAUAAAUAAAAUCAGUAAAAGAAGUGAAAUCCAUCUUCAUAUAGUGGAUUCCGUUCUCGUAAUCAAAUCAUAAUCUUUGAGAAAAUUAGAAGAUUAAUAAAAUAAUUUAUUUAUAUUCAAACUUAAAUAAAGAUAAAAUAUGAAUACAUACCCAAAAUAAAGAUAUUUAAUUAGAAAAUAUGAAUCCGUAACUAUACAGUUCUUACAUUUAGACAUAGACAUCUAAAACUUGAUAGCAACCAUACAUGUACAAAGUUCUAAUAAGUGGAAAACUUAGGUCUUUUCACUUGGUUUUGCUUGCAGUACUAGUAGAUUUUAUGAUUUUUUUUUACAUGAUAAUAUAAUACAACAAAGUGAAGUUAAAAGUAAUUGAAAUGUGGAUAUAUUUGAUUUGAAAAUAGUGAUAAUAAAAUUAUAUAUUUUAAGUUAUUAAUGUUGAUUAGGUUUUUAAAUUAAAUGUUAUAUAUAUAUUAGCUACGAGAUCUAAUCUGAAUUUUUUAUUAAUUAAUUAUGAGAUGAAUAAAGAUGUCCUAUGUAAAUAAUAUUAAAUAAUUAAUCAAACAUAAAUCAAAUCGAAGUAAUUGGUAAAAAUAUUUUAGUUUAAGUUAAUUUGAUUUGAUUUGAAUAUUAUGUUUGAUGAUAAAUUAAUUAGUUUGAUCUUUAAAAAAUUGAAUUCGUAAGCAUGUUUAUUUUGUUUUAAUUAAAAAAUAAAAGUCAGAAAUAAAUAGUGAAAGAAAAAGAAGAUUUUUCACUUUUAAAUAGAGAUGAAUUUCCAUCAAAAUAUUUUGUGGAAAAUUUGUUAGGAAAUAAUAAUUGUAUGAAUGUAACACAAAAUUAAUUGCAUUCUUUAUUAACAUUCCAAUUGUCUUAUUAAAAAGUACAACACAUUGAAUAAUCUUUGUUAACAUUCCAAUUGUCUUAAUCAUCACAACUGUACAUGUUGACUAACAAUCUUCAUCAUCACCAAGUAAUUACUCCAAAAUUUGUCUAAACUAAUAUUAAAAACAUUCUAUACAUUCAAGACCCAUUCUAAGCAAUAAACUCCUUGGAAGUGAUCAUGGCUUGCAAGUGACUCUUAUAAUCAUGCAAAUUCUUCAUUAAUAAAAUUAAUAGCAAAACAUUUCUCACUAGGACAACAAUUAACCCAAAAUCCAUUUGUGAUUGUCGAAACCAUUUUUUAUUGAAUUUGAACAACGGGAAUUGACUUUGAAAAUAGAGUCGCCACCAAUCUUUUAUUGAGGUGUGAUCAAAUCACCUUAAAAAUGAUUUUUGGUCUACGAAUUUUGAGAAAACAAGUCCGGAAGUCGGUUACGCACGAGGAAGUGUUAGCACCCUCGUGACGCCUAAAAUUGGUACCGAAUUGAUUGUUUAAUGUCUUAGUGUCGAAACUUGAAAAGAUUUUUAAAUACGAUCCCAUGAAAUGAAAACUUAAAUAAUUGAAUUGGCUAAAUAGACGGGGACCCAUUUCAAAUAAAUAAACUGUCACACUCAGUUAGUUAGAGUACAAUAGUUCAAUCUUCGAAGUUAGAUUUGUCCUUUUUUAAUUUUUUUUAAAAACCAUAUUGUAGAGCCCAAAUAUGCCCGGGCCCAAUAAAAUUAAAACCCAAGACCCAAACAUCAAGCCCAAAAAUACCAACAGCCCAGCAAGCCCAAAGCUUAACAAAAUUUCAGCCAAAUCAAAAAUCAAAACCCUAGCCGCAUAGCAGCCACCAGCAAGACCCCAGCCGUCGCACGUCUCGGGACUGGCCUCCUCCAUGCGCGCCGUUUUCCCCCACGUUCGCCUGCAAAACGGACUCAAGGAGUCCCAUAGAGAGGAAACAGUAAAGAAUAAUAGCAAAAUCGGGACAACAGUUUGAUUUUUUUUGGCUAUAUAAAGGCUGAUUCUUAUUGUAAAAAUGGGGGGAGGGAAACUUUUGUUUUUUCAGUGUGAGAGAUAUACAAGAAAUAAAAAGAAAUACUGAGGAAAAAAUUUCUUGAAGGUGAAUUGGGUUUUUACAUUUUCUAUUCUGUUUAUUAUUAUUUUAUUUUGUUUUCUAAAGAAACGGUACAAAAGAGGAAAGGGAUAAUACCUUCGAGGAUUGGCCGUUGAACCACGUUCGCCUUGCUCAGAUCGGAGUUUGGCGGUGCGCUGGGAAUUGGCUCGCCUGAGAAUGGCGGCAGUGGGGGUUGGGGGUUAAAAGAAACCCUAGCAAAGAACUUUUUUUUUCUCUGCUGCAAAUGCUCUGUUUUUUUUAGAAAAAAAACUGCUUUAAGUAAAGACACCGAAACGGUGUCGUUCGGCUGAGGCAGGCCCGCGCGGUGACCCGACCCGGAGGGGAGGAUCCGCGCGUCUUGGGCCUAGAUGGUACAUUUCGCGUUUGGUCCCUGAGUUUUUAAAAGUGUGUUUAAAUCAAUUUCUUUGUUUCUCUUAAAUUUGGCCACGCGCUUUAUUUCCGUUUCAUUUGGAUCCCCAUUGAAACGCAACAUUUUAGGGAAAAGGGUUAAUAUCCCAUUUGAUCCCCCUCUGUUCUGUGCGUGUUCAAUAGGGUUCCUAUAUUUGUAUUUAUUCCAAAUUUGCUCUUAAAUUUUCUUGAGUUUCAAAUUAGUCAUUCUGUUAUUAUUAUUAUUAUUAUUAUUAUUAUUAUUAUUAUUAUCAACAUGUAUAUUUUUAAAUGCCCAGCCUCAUUAUAUGUACAUGUAUGCAUUUUUAAUAUAUAUAUAUUUUUUAAGUUUUAUACGCAGGCAUAUAUUUCGUUCUUACAUUUUCAAAAUUUCUUUUGUAUAGUUUUUUUUUGUUUCUUUUUUUUGUUUCAUAUGUUUUAUAUGUUAUACAUACUUACACAUUUCUUUAUUUUGUAAAUAUAGAUAUACAUAACUUUAUAUAUAUAUUUUUCACAUGUACAUAUUAUAUUUUAUUUGUUAUUAUUUUAUUUUCACCAUUCUCAUAUCUUAUAAUGCAUAUACAUUUUAUAAUUUAAAGUUCACAUAUAUUUUCUAUAAUAUAUUUACGUAUACGUUUUUCCUUUAAAAUCAUUAAAUAUUUUAUUGUUUCUAUAAUCUGCUAUUUUAUGUACAUAUACAUGUAAUUUUUGUAAAAUAAACAUACAUAUUUUCUUAGAAGUUAUUAUGGGUUUUACAUAUUUCAUUGUUUUUAUAAGUAUACCUAUAUGUAAGUGUUCUAUUAUGCAUACACGUAUUUCCAAAUUUACUUACAUGUUGUACGUAUUUAUGUAUAUAUACAUUUGUUGUAUAUAUAUAUAUAUAUUUAGCUCAUGUUAAAGUAUUUGUUUUAUGAGGUAUAUUAACUUUUUUAUCAUUUUUUCUAAAAAAGGGAAAAUAUAUUUGGUUUUGUCAAUACAUCAAAAUUAUUUUCUCUCGAUUCAAAGUUUUUUUUGAAUAAAAGCAUUAUUCGAAGUUUGGGGUUUUCAAGGGAAAUUGAGCCCUAACGUAUUGAGUUUUGAUUUUCUUUGUUAAUCUUAAAUAACCGAAGAUAUUCUUUAUUCAAAAUGCAUAAGCAUAAAAAUCAUUUUUGGGAACUUAACCUGUUGUGCCCUAACGUAUUGGGUGUGGCAUGUUACUUUCUCAAAGUGAAGAUUUUCGUAUAAAAUAAAAGUGAUAUUCAAGUUUGGGGAUUAUGAGGAAUUGUACCCUAACGUAUUGGGACUCGAUUUCUUUACAUGACUUGAACAAUUGAUUAUCCUUUUGUCAAUUUCACCAUUCAAGCUUAUUUUAAUAUCUUUUUUAACUUUCGACACAAAGACAUUAAAUAGUCAAUUUGGUACCGAUUUUUGGGUGUUACGAGGGUGCUAACCCUUCCUCGUGCGUAACUGACUCCCGAACCUGUUUUUAAAAUUCGCAGACCAAAAUGAUUUUUGAGGUGGGCCGGUCACACCUUAAUAAAUGAUCGGUGGCGACUCCAGUUUUAUUUUUUAACGUCGACAACUUAAAUUUUUGUUUUCAAAAAAACGGUUUCGACAGCUUGGCGACUCACUGGGGACAUUUGAGAGUCGAGCCAUAAACUGAUUAUAUUUGCCUUUGUGUCGAAAAUCAAAAGUUUUAAAAAAUUCAUGAGUUCCCUUCGCAUUUAUUGUUUUUUUUUUCAUGUUGGUAUGUUGGUAGUUUUGCAUUUGCAUUUUGCAUUUUACCCUUUAAGUGGGAGCGAGAAACUAGUCCUUCGUGAGGUUUUCACCUCCGUGCAGGGUAGUGGACCGCUUCCGGGAUACAUCCGUACCUAUGUCUUCGUGAGAUUUUCAUCUCCGUACAGCCAUAGGGAAAUGUAUUCCCCUGAACUGAACUCGAUUCAUAUGAGCCUAUAAUGGGUGAUGAUCGAGGAAUCUGCUGGUUCGGGUACCUUUACCUUAGUAGCCAAACCGCAUAUAGUGAACCUUAGGAACUUACCCUAGGUAGAAUUACUCUAAACCUUAGUAGAUACCUGACUAGGAGUUUUUAUUAUUUCUUGAUUGUAUUGGAUUUAAUGUUUAUACCCGAUACUAACCCGUUUUGUUUUGUUUUGGUUAUGAUUGCAUUGCAUUUGCAUUGUAGAAAAGAGAUGUUGAUUCAAGUUUGAUUACUAAUUUAGAAAGCCUAUCAUAAGAAAACAGGUUUCUUGAUAAAAUGGAAAAUAGUACGGCAGCCUGAAUAUAUUCCAAGAAAUACAAGAAGGGCGAUGGAAGAAUUCGUGACUUUACUUUAGGGCCCGAGGAUUCAAGAUGAUUUGUCUAAGAGCUUUCAACAUUCCAAAUUUCUUAAAGAAGCUAAUGAGCAUUACGGGGAUAGGUAGACAACGGAUUGCGACCAGAAUCAAGCAGAAGGAGCUAGCAGUGACAUCCAUUGGAAGUUCGCGAGGUUUAUCUUAACAUCCGGAUGAAAAAGGAGAAGAUAUCUUUGUUUCGAGUAUGAGGGAAAAGCCGUAUAUAUAUCCGCUUUAUGUAAAGAAAUUUGUCCUCUAGUAAGGUUUUCUAAAUGGAAUUGAAUCAGAAUCAACGUCUCUUUAUGCAUUCAUUUCAUGCAUUCGCAUUUCAUUACAUCAUAUGCAUCAAAGAUUAUUCAAAGAUACUAAUUAACUAAAAUCAUUGCUCAGUUAACCUGGAAUCCAACCAACCAACCCAACACCGAUACGGCACUCGAGCAAAGACAAAAGAUAUGGAUCAGAGAUUAGAAAAGCUCAAACAGUACCAGAAGGAGAUGCAAGAUCGGCUUCAGCUACAAAUGCAGGAGCGGCUAGACAAGAUGAAACAAGAGAUGUCUGAGAAGAUGCGAGAAUCCCAAGAAGAUAUAGUGGCAAAGUUAACCCGACUGAUAACUAAGGGAGGUGACAAAGGAAAGGGCCCCAUGGCAGAUGUCGAUGAAGGAAAUGAUGAUGAACUUUUCUAUCCUCCAGGUUUCACCCCUCCACAUGAGCGAGCUCAAGCUGAAUACCCACGCAAAUCAACUGUCACCAUCAUGCCUCAGCAAUUUCGAACUGGUGUUUCGAACCUCCAAACUGGGCUGGGUUUUAAUCUCGAAAAUAACCCCGUGAACCCCGCCAUUCCGGACUUUGACGAAGUGGCUGAGAAGGAAAGAAUAAAGGUGGAAUUACCGAAACAGUUAGAGGAUCGAUGCAAGUGGCUCGAGGAGAAGUUCAAAGCGAUGGAAGUCACUGAAAGUUAUCGAGGCAUUGAUGCAAAAGAGCUGAGUUUAGUGCCAGAUCUUGUUCUCCCUCAUAAGUUUAAGAUGCCUGAAUUCGAGAAGUACAAUGGGACGACUUGCCCAGAGGAUCAUAUCACCAUGUUCUGCAGGUGAAUGGCUGGAUACGUUAAUAAUGACCAGCUAUUAAUACAUUGCUUCCAAGACAGCCUUGCAGGGGCAGCAUCCAAGUGGUACAAUCAGUUGAGUCGAGCUACGAUUGGUUCAUGGAGGGACUUGGCGCAAGUAUUCAUGAAACAAUAUAGUCAUGUGACAGACAUGGCUCCUGAUAGAAUCACCCUUCAAAACAUGGAGAAGAAGCCGAGCGAAAGCUUUAGGCAGUACGCACAGAGAUGGAGGGAGGUCGCGGUCCAAGUUCAGCCGCCGCUCUUGGAAAAGGAAAUGACUAUGUUGUUUAUUAACACACUAAAAGCCCCAUUCAUUACGCAUAUGUUAGGAAAUGCUACAAAAAGCUUUCCUGACAUAAUUAUGAAUGGUGAAAUGAUCGAAAAUGCGAUAAGAAGUGGGAAAAUUGAUAUAGAGGAGAGUAACAAGAGGUAAGUCUCAAAAAGAAGAGAAAAUGAGGUGAACAACACGGGUUACUCUAAAUCAGUUACUGUUCAGCCAAGAAAGGUGGUUGGUAAUCAACAAAAUCCAUCGAGGCAAGAUUCCGGCAUAAAGACUGAAAAAUUCCAGUUUACACCAAUCCCAGUACCGUAUAAGGAACUGUAUCAAAAUUUGUUUGAUGCACAUGUUGUUUCCCCUUUUCAUGUGAAGCCUCUACAACCUCCGUAUCCCGAAUGGUAUGAUGCGAACACACAAUGUGACUACCACGCGGGAAUUACGGGACACUCGAUUGAGAAUUGCACUGCCUUCAAGAAGCAAGUUGAAAGACUUAUCAACAUGGGUAUUAUCAAGUUUGGUGACUCAUCUAACGCAGGAAAUCCGCUACCCAAUCAUGAUUGAGGAUGGAGGGACUGCAAUAUAUGAAGAAGUGGUGAGAAAUUUGCACAUCGAUGCCAUAUAUGCAGACACAAUUUAAAGGGUCAUUGUUAGAUAUUUUCCUUAGAGGUGUUCUAAAUAAUGAGACUGCGGAGGAAACCCCUGAAGUAUUUAGAGUCUGUUAGAGUAAUGUUCAGAACACACUUGUUGCUUUCAGCCUAGAAGCAAUAAGGAUUUCUUUGUGAAAUAAGCUCACGUCUGAACAUUAUUAUUUUAAUGAAAUACAUUAUUGCAAUCAUCUUUGAGCAAAUGUUCUUUCAUUCUUUACAUUUUUUUCAUUUUUUUUGGAUUUUUUCUGCCAAACCAUUCAUUCAUAUUAUUCAUACAUUCUUUUGUAUAUUCACGGAUACCUGCUAUGGGUCCCCAGAUAUCAAUGUCAUGAGUAAUGCUGCUACAGACUCAAAAUUUCCUUUUGAGUGAGACAUGUGUUUAGAGGGGUCUCAUGACUUUGAAGAUAACAUAGAUUGUAGCUUAUCUCCAGACUUGAGGAGGGUGAUAGAAUAAGAGGAUAGACAGAUCCUACAUCACAAUGAAUUAUCAGAAAUUGUGAGCUUGGUGAAGAUUGGAAUUGACAUGAUCACAAAGACGAGGCGGGACCUUAUAGAGCUACCACAAGAAUUCAAUGAUGUCUUCACAUGGUCUUACCUAGAUAUGCUCGGGUUAAGCACUAGCUUGUAAUCUGAAUAACAGCAUGAUGUUAGAAAUGGGCAGUAGGUUCAACAUCGAUGCUAUGAACGAUGUAGUAAACUUUCUUUGCUCGGGCAAUAUCCUCCUAUUUGGCUUAUCAUAGCUUUACUCAUUGAAGUCGAAUUGUCAUUUCUCUACAUUUUAUCCUAAGAGGAAGACCCGAAGGUCCGUCCCAAAGAAUUUGACAAGAGGGAACUAAUGUUGAAAAAGAUCCUUCCUAUACAAAAGGAUUUUAGAGGAAGAUAGAGGCCAAAUUAGAAGGGUCUAUAUGUUAUAAAGAAAGCCUUUUUUGGAGAAGCUUUGAUCUUGAGUGAGAUGGAUGGUAAAAAUUUACAAAGUCCUGUAAACUCAGAUUCAGUCAGGAAAUACUCUGCUUAAAAAAGGUGGGACCAAGGUGAAAGCCUACAAAGGGCGCUUUGAGUCAAAAAAAAAAGAGACCAGGGUGAAACCCUACAAAAGGAGCCUUGAGUAAAAAAAAAGGAGAGGCUAAUGUGAAAACUCGCAAAGGGCGCCUUAGACCAAAGGGGAUUUGAGUUGAAAACCCGAAAAAGGGCAGCUCAAAUGUUGAUCAGAAUGGGGCAUGAAGUAAUCAGAGCAGCUCAAAUACUGAUCAGAAUGGGAUAUACAGUGGUCUUGCUAUACCAGAAUCAGCAGGAAAGGGUAUGCGACAUCUUGGGGCAUCGAUAGAGUAUGAUAGAUCUCCUAAACACAUGUUAAGCUCAAAAUCGUCUUCAGAAAGUUUGUACAGAGAAGUUCAAGCUGCGAUGUCUGGGGCACCUAAUCUUUAUACCGUUUUUGCUAUUUUUGGAACACUUCAUUCAUUGCCAAGAUACACAUUCCUAAAUCAAUUUCUUUGUUAUCCAUCUUUAUUGUCCUUGAUAAUUUAUUCAUUUCGAGCUAUGCUCAGAGCCAACUCUAUUCUUAUCCAUGAUCUUUUUGCAAGCAUGUUGCAUUAGAAUAAUGGUUAAUAGACUAAUAAAACUUUCACAAGGGAAGUUUUGCAUAUUACUCUAGAAGUUUCUAAAUAAUGCAGGAACCUGAAACAGGACUAUUGUUUAGAAUGCACCAGGUUGGAAAUCUAAUAAGGAAAUGUCUAAAUUCAGACUAUCCCUUUAAAUUUUGUUACCUAAAACAUCGAUUGGACAAAAUGGCAAUGUGUCAUGUUGGUGACAAGGCUUCAAUGAACAAGCAGGCAAUGAUCACCGAAUAACAAGAAGAAGUUGUUCUUGGAGAGGAAUAUUCUUCAUUUGUGCAUGAGAAUUUGGUAUGACACCCUGGGAAUGGUGUAAGGGACCAAAGAGUUUCAUAUCCUGUAUCCUUGAAUUGUGAUAGUAGAGGAUUGAGAAAAGACCAAAUCUUUUUACUCUUGGGUUACAACGGGAGAAAGAUGGUAUAAAUUUUGCAUCCCAAUGGAUCAAACUUGGAGGUUUACAGUGGGGGGCAAUCUGGUCAAGAGUUUCUUUUGAGACGCCAGCUGAGCAAGAGGGUGCUAUAGCACAUUAGCGAUGAAACUUUAAAUAAACUUUGAGUAAUGAUAACCUAAGUGAAAAUGAGGGAUCAUUCUCGAAAAAAUGACAUUCUGCAUUCAUUCAAAUGUCAUUCAUACACGCCUAGUUAGGAGCAUUUGAUUCAUUUGAUCAUGACAUCCUAAUCAUUUGGCAUAGUUAGGUUCAUAAAGUGAAUUAUACAGGUCAUGUUCCCCAGAGAACAGAUCGGUGAAAUCAUAAAGCCUUAUCUUCCUGAACAACAGUGGAGCAGGUUGAAAAGCAGCAGAUCUUGUCUUCAUGUACUGGCGUGAAGUAGAUCAAAGAUAACAGAUCUCGCCUUCCCAUGCUGGUGGCGAAGCAGAUCGAAGGAAUACAGAUCUUGUCUUCAUGUACUGGCGUGAAGUAGAUCAAAUAUACAGAUCUCGCAUUCCCAUACUGGUGGCGAAGCAGAUCGAAAAAAAGUAGAUAUUGUCUUCAUGUAUCAGCGUGAAGUAGAUCAAAGUCAACAGAUCUUGUCUCCCCAUACUGGUGGUGGAGUAGAUAAAAGAAAGCAAAUCUUGUCUUCAUGUAUCGGCGUGAAGUAGAUCAAAGUCAACAGAUCUUGUCUUCCCAUAUUGGUGGCGUAGCAGAUCAAAGAAAGCAGAUCUUGUCUUCAUGUACUGGCGUGAAGUAGAUCAAAGAAACAGAUCUUGUCUCCCCAUACUGGUGGUGGAGUAGGUUGAAGAAAAUAGAUCGUGUCUUCAUGUACUGGCGUGAAAGAGAUCAAAGAUAGUAGGUCAUGUCUUCCUAUAUUGGUAGCGAAGUGGAUCGAAUAUACAUAUUUUAUCUUCCCAUACCGGCGGCGAAGUAGAUUGAAGAUUACAGAUCUUGCCUCCCUAAGCAGUAGUGAAGCAGAUCGAAGAUGGCGGAUUUUACCUCCCUGAAGUUGCAGUGGAGUAUAUUGAAGCCAGUAAUUCUACCUCCCCGGUCGGCAGUGGAAUCGAUUGAAAAAGCAGAUCCCGUCUUCAUGUACUGGCAUGAAGGAGAUCAAAGUUAGUAGGUCCUGUCUUCCUGUAUUGGUAGCAAAGUGGAUCAAAUAUACAUAUUUUAUCUUCCCAUACCGGCGGCGAAGUAGAUUGAAGAUUACAGAUCUUGCCUCCCUAAGCAGUAGUGGAGCAGAUCGAAGAUGGCGGAUUUUACCUCCCUGAAGUUACAGUGGAGUAUAUUGAAGCCAGCAAUUCUACCUCCCCGGUCGGCAGUGGAAUCGAUUGAAAAAGCAGAUCUUGUCUUCAUGUAUUGGCGUGAAGUAUAUCGAAGAAAGCAGAUAUUGUCUUCCCAUACUGGUGGUGAACUAUUUGAAGCUACAAGUCUUACCUCCCUGAAGUUGCAGUGGAGCAGACAAAAGUAACCAAUCCUAUCUCCUUGAAGUUGCGAUGGAGUGGAUUAAAACCGCAGAUCUCAUCUCUCUGAAGUUGCAGUAGAGCAGAUCGCGUCAGAUUUACCCUUAAGUUGUAGCUGAACAAAUUAAAGCUACAGGUCUUAUCUCCCUGAAGUUGCAGUGGAGCAGAUUAAAGUUAGCAAAUUUAGUUCUUUUGAGAAGCUACAACAUACGAAUCCUAUCUCCCUAACAUACAUUGCAGUGGAGUAGAUUGAAGCACCAGUUCUUAUACCUCUGAAGAUGCAGUAGGAGGGAAUGAGACUAUUUGAAGUAAAAAAGUACUAAAGAAGUCGAGCCUCAAUAAGGCCGGGCACAAUUGGCUUUUAGUCUUUACUCUGUUCCCGUUACACGACAACGAGCAAAGAGGGGCAGCUGUAGAGCCCAAAUAUGCCCGGGCCCAAUAAAAUUAAAACCCAAGAUCCAAACAUCAGGCCCAAAAAUACCAACAGCCCAGCAAGCCCAAAGCUUAACAAAAUUUCAGCCAAAUCAAAAAUCAAAACCCUAGCCGCAUAGCAGCCACCAGCAAGACCCCAGCCAUCGCACGUCUUGGGACUGACCUCCUCUAUGCGCGCCGUUUUCCCCCACGUUCGCCUAUAAAACGGACUCAAGGAGUCCCAUAGAGAGAAAACAGUAAAGAAUAAUAGCAAAAUCGGGAUAAAAGUUUGAUUUUUUUUUGCUAUAUAAAGGCUGAUUCUUAUUGUAAAAAUGGGGGGAUGGAAAUUUUUGUUUUUUCAGUGUGAGAGAUAUACAAGAAAUAAAAAGAAAUAAUGAGGAAAAAAUUUCUUGAAGGUGAAUUGGGUUUUUACAUUUUCUAUUCUGUUUAUUAUUAUUUUAUUUUGUUUUCUAAAGAAACAGUACAAAAGAGAAGAGGGAUAAUACCUUCGAGGAUUGGCCGUUGAACCACGUUCACCUUGCUCAGAUCGGAGUUUGGCGGUGCGCUGGGAAUUGGCUCGCCUGAGAAUGGCGGCAGUGGGGGUUGGGGGUUAAAAAAACCCUAGCAAAGAACUUUUUUUUCUCUGCUGCAAAUGCUCUGUUUUUUUUAGAAAAAAAACUGCUUUAAGUAAAGACACCGAAACGGUGUCGUUCGGCUGAGGCAGGCCCGCGCGGUGACCCGACCCGGAGGGGAGGAUCCGUGCGUCUUGGGCCUAGAUGGUACAUUUGCGCGUUUGGUCCCUGAGUUUUUAAAAGUGUGUUUAAAUCAAUUUCUUUGUUUCUCUUAAAUUUGGCCACGCGCUUUAUUUCCGUUUCAUUUGGAUCCCCAUUGAAACGCAACAUUUUAGGGAAAAGGGUUAAUAUCCCAUUUGAUCCCCCUCUGUUCUGUGCGUGUUCAAUAGGGUUCCUAUAUUUGUAUUUAUUCCAAAUUUGCUCUUAAAUUUUCUUGAGUUUCAAAUUAGUCAUUCUGUUAUUAUUAUUAUUAUUAUUAUUAUUAUUAUUAUUAUUAUUAUUAUCAACAUGUAUAUUUUUAAAUGCCCAGCCUCAUUAUAUGUACAUGUAUGCAUUUUUAAUAUAUAUAUAUUUUUUAAGUUUUAUACGCAGGCAUAUAUUUCGUUCUUACAUUUUCAAAAUUUCUUUUGUAUAGUUUUUUUUUGUUUCUUUUUUUUGUUUCAUAUGUUUUAUAUGUUAUACAUACUUACACAUUUCUUUAUUUUGUAAAUAUAGAUAUACAUAACUUUAUAUAUAUAUAUUUCACAUGUACAUAUUAUAUUUUAUUUGUUAUUAUUUUAUUUUCACCAUUCUCAUAUCUUAUAAUGCAUAUACAUUUUAUAAUUUAAAGUUCACAUAUAUUUUCUAUAAUAUAUUUACGUAUACGUUUUUCCUUUAAAAUCAUUAAAUAUUUUAUUGUUUCUAUAAUCUGCUAUUUUAUGUACAUAUACAUGUAAUUUUUGUAAAAUAAACAUACAUAUUUUCUUAGAAGUUAUUAUGGGUUUUACAUAUUUCAUUGUUUUUAUAAGUAUACCUAUAUGUAAGUGUUCUAUUAUGCAUACACGUAUUUCCAAAUUUACUUACAUGUUGUACGUAUUUAUGUAUAUAUACAUUUGUUGUAUAUAUAUAUAUAUAUUUAGCUCAUGUUAAAGUAUUUGUUUUAUGAGGUAUAUUAACUUUUUAUCAUUUUUUCUAAAAAAGGGAAAAUAUAUUUGGUUUUGUCAAUACAUCAAAAUUAUUUUCUCUCGAUUCAAAGUUUUUUUUGAAUAAAAGCAUUAUUCGAAGUUUGGGGUUUUCAAGGGAAAUUGAGCCCUAACGUAUUGGGCUCUGAUUUUCUUUGUUAAUCUUAAAUAACCGAAGAUAUUCUUUAUUCAAAAUGCAUGAGCAUAAAAAUCAUUUUUGGGAAUUUAACCUGUUGUGCCCUAACGUAUUGGGUGUGGCAUGUUACUUUCUCAAAGUGAAGAUUUUCGUAUAAAAUAAAAGUGAUAUUCAAGUUUGGGGAUUAUGAGGAUUUGUACCCUAACGUAUUGGGACUCGAUUUCUUUACAUGACUUGAACAAUUGAUUAUCCUUUUGUCAAUUUCACCAUUCAAGCUUAUUUUAAUAUCUUUUUUAACUUUCGACACAAAGACAUUAAAUAGUCAAUUUGGUACCGAUUUUUGGGCGUUACGAGGGUGCUAACCCUUCCUCGUGCGUAACUGACUCCCGAACCUGUUUUCAAAAUUCGCAGACCAAAAUGAUUUUUGAGGUGGGCCGGUCACACCUUAAUAAAGGAUCGGUGGCGACUCCAGUUUUAUUUUUUAACGUCGACAACUUAAAUUUUUGUUUUCAAAAAAAAAGUUUCGACACAUAUGUUUUAAGAAGGAUAUUUGAUUAUUUAAGUCAAUCGAGAAAUCAGAAUCCAGUAAGUUAGGGUUCAAUUUCUCGAAAUUCCUAAACAUCAAAUAUUGCCUUUAUUUUAAAAUCGAGAUAACAAAAUGUCAUAUCUAGUAAGUUAGGAUCCAAUAUUUUGAAAUCUUAAGAACUUUAUUUUAAAAAUUGUAUGGUCUUAAUAAAAUGAACACUUGAUUAUCUAAAUUCAUCGAGAAGAAUUGAAGCCCAGUAAGUUAUGGCACAAUUCUCUCGAGAACUUAUGAACACCAAGCUUUUUUUAGGAAUUAUGAAAUAAAAUGAUUAUAGUGCUUUAAUAAAUACAACUCUUACAAAUGGAACAUGAUUGAAUAACAAUACAUAUAAUGUAAAGAUAAAUAACAAUCUCAACUUAAACUAGAAGCAAUCAAGCAAGUAAUAGGCAAAUACAAACAUUGACUUUAAUCAUAUCAUACAAGCUUCAAUAUUAAUAAUUAAGCAACCCAUAAAUUAAUAAUCAAUUAAAAAAAAUACUUCAAGACAAUGAGAAAAAGAAAAAACAAUAAUAACAAUAAAUAAUAUGAAUAUUUGAUACAAUUUGGUAAUAGAACUAAAAAAUAAAUAAAAGGUUUGAAUGAAUUUUAAUGAAAGAUUUAUAAAAAAAAUAAAAAAUAAAAUAAUGAAAUAAAAUAAAAGUGAAUAACUUAAAAUUAAAACCUACACUUUGAUUUAUAUAAAUAAAACCUAGUAUAAAUAAUAGUAUAUACAUAGUAAUAAUACAUAUAAAAGUUAAAAUAAAUAAAAUAACAAAUUUAAAAGGAAUAAGGCUUCCGUGCAUAAAAAAAUAUCACUUGAAAUUAAUAAUAUAUUAUAUAUAUACAUAUGUAUACUAAAAAAAUAUAUUAUAUAUUUAUAUAUAUAAAAAAUAUGAGAUAUUAUUAUUAAAAAAGAUUUGAAGUUAAUUAUAUAUAUAUACAUGAACAAAAAACGUAUGUAUAAAUUAUGCUAAGAUAGUAUAAAAAAAUAUUUAUAAAAUUAAGUUAUGAAUACAUAAAAUAAUAUUAUAUAAUAAAAGAAUUUAUAGUAAAAUUAGGUUAACUAAUAUAUAUAUAUAACUAUUAAAUAUAAUAACAACAAAUAAAAUUAAUAAUAGUAAACCACUUAAUUUAAUAAAAAUGGAUCUAUUUUGAAUUCAAACAAAAUUCUAAGGGUUGAUUUGAGAUAAAUGAGCAAACGUCCGCAUUGAAAACCACUGAAAAUCACAGGGAUUACUAUAGCAAUUUAAUGCAAAAAUUUAGAAUAAUCAAAAUCAAACGUAGAAAACGACACCGUUUAGGCUUGGAUCUAAGUGAAAACAAAGUCAAAUAUGCGGUACAAAUUUUAAAAAAUAAAAGAAAUCAGAUUGAAACUAUUUGAAACAAAAAAAGGACCUGAUGAUUAAAUAGACCAAUCGAUCCAUAAUACGCGGAUCCUACCCGAAUCGAGUCACCAUUCAGAUCGGGUCCUCAAAACAAUGCCGCUUCAGAGCCAUUGCGACUCCAAAUGGCGGCGUUUUAUUCCCGCUUAAAGGCCAAAAAUCUAAAAAUCCUUUUCAUUUUCUUAAAAAAACCUAAAUAGAAUCAGAUGAGUUCUGCGCCGCUCUGUGUACUGAGGGUAUUCGAAUGGUUUCCGAUCCAAGCCCGUUCUCCGAUGACGACGGAGAGGGCCAGAAUCUCGUCACCAGGUACGUUCUCUCUUUUCUUUUUAUUGUUUCCUUCCUUAACAAACGAUUGACGAACACAAAAUAAAAGAAAGAAAAAAACUAACCUGCAAAUGAAAAAGCAAAAGAAACUCAGAAAUCACCUCUUAGUAUUUCGAUUUUUUUUUGUAUUCACUUUCUCGAAUGCGUUGUAUAACCGGUUACAAAUUUCAAUCGAUCCUCUUUAUAGCCAAACCGAGAAAAAGAAAAAAAUAAAAUAAAAUUUUCUCUAUUUUUUUACACUUUCUUCCUAUUUACUGCUAGUAUUUGCUGUCAAUAUGUUAUUGUUGCCCCUCUCUUUGCUGUUGCUAUCUGUUUUGCUGCUUGUUUCUUUGUCCUUCUUACAGGUACGGCGUACGGAGGGUGAACGUGGCGUGUGGAGGCGUCGCGUGCAUGCAAUGGAGAGCAGAGAGGUGCUACUGCUGCAGCGCUAGGAGCCAUUGCUGCUAGGGUUUUUUUGAAACUGUUUUGGGUUGUAUUGGGCUGAGUUGGUUUGCUGGGCUUAGAAUCGGGUUUAGGGAAGGUUUUGGGCUUUGUUGAUUCGGGCCGAUGUAAUUGGACUAUUUAUUUGUAAAUGAACUUUUAAUAUUUUUUGUUUUUGUUAUCUAUAUUGGGUCGGGCAAUAUUGGGCCAUUAUAGUGAUUAUACACAAAAACUGUAAUAGAAGAAGCAUGCUAAACUAAACUCUUAACAUGAGAUGUUUUACCAACAUCUUUCAAAAUUAAAUUGAUAGAAGGUGCUGCACAUGGUGACCAAAAGAUGUUAGGAUACUUCUCAUUAAAAAUUUUCCUAUUAGCUUUGUAAUUUGCAGCAUUAUAUGUAAUUAGCUAGACCACAUUGCUUAAUCCAACAAUCUUUACAAUCUUCGCAAACAAAUUGCAAAGAGUAUCAACAUCUAAAAUCAUGUCUGAUGCAUUAUCAAAUUUGAUAAAGCAUAAUCUUUUAGGAAAAUACACUAGAAAAUUGGUUGAUGACUUUUGUCUCUAUCUUUCUACCCUCUCCCAUUAUAGUGCAUCCACAUUCCACCAAAAUGUUGUAAAUCCCUUUUUGAGUAUUCUAGUAUAUUGGUUCACAAUGUAUGAUAUGAUGGAGCUUUGUAUCCCAAUCCUAUAGAUGCUAUGGCAUCAAGGUACAGUAGAAACUUGUCAAUCCCUCGACGCUAUUUGUGGAAUCUAAAAACUCCACUAGCAAUAUAUCAAAUAAAUUCUUUUAUUUUUUUAAUAUUUUACUAUACCCCUAGAGAACACUUAUCAAUCUCCUGACCUUACUUGUAGAGUCUAAAAACUUUAUUGGUAAUGUACCAAAUGAUAUUCCAAAUAAAAAAGCAUUAAUUUUACAGUUUACUUUUUUUAUUCCUCAAGCAUCCUUAAAAAAUUGACAUUUUCAUUUUUUUUAAUAUCUAUUUUUUAAAUAUUUUCUAUACUCCUAGAAGACAUUUGUCCGCCCUAAUCAUGCUUAUAAAGUCUAAAAACUUUGCUAAUUGUGUAUAAAAUAUUUUCCUUAAUUUUGAAAUGUAAUUUUUAUUUAGUUCCAAUAUUGUUUAUGUACAAGCCCAAUUUUAGCCCGGGCCUAAGACCCAAUUACAAACCCAAAUUAAACCUAACCAAGCCCAAUCCUAAACAAAACCUAAACGACCCAAAAUGGCCCAACACAAAAAAGAAACAGGAAACCCUAAGCCUUAGUUUGCAGCCGCGCCUAGCUAGCGUCUAGCCGCCACUGUCCACGCCACUUGCUCUGCCAUCGUCGGACCUAACUUCUGUCAUCGCCGUACCUAACCCCUUCCCACUGUCACGUCGACCACCCCACUUGCGCCGUCACCUGUAAGACACGCAAUAGGAACAGAAACAAUAGCAAAGUAAUGAAUCGGCUAUAAAAGAGCCAGAAAAAGUUUGUAUUUUGUUUGGAGACUAUCGAACACAAAGAAAAUUUCAAUCAAAAAAAUCAAAAAAGGUUUACUCCCAUUUUAAUUCUUGUUUCAUUAUUAUUAUGUCUUGCUAUUUUAUUUUUCAUAUCUUUACACACGAAAAUAAAGCAAAAAAAAAAGAAAAAAAGAAAUGGGAGAAGAACCUACCGGAGUCGAUCUACGUCUUUGUCGUCGGAGGCUCCUUCUCCGGUGACAGAAUCGGCUAUAGGGAAACGUUGAUGGCCCUUUUGUUUUUUUUUUAGUGUUUUGAGAUCGAAUUUGGGCUAAAGGGGGUUAAGAUCUAGAAAAUAGGUCUUUUUGCCUUCGCCGGCCACCGUGCGCGGCAGCGCCGAUGCCGACGACGGGAGUCCGGCAUGGUGAUCGUCAGUCGGAGCAUGGACCGGAGGAAGGGGGAUUUUGAGAGAGAUUUCAGGUUUUUUUUAAGGAAUGGCAGAAAAUGAAAUUUUAAGGGAAAAAUUUGAUUUAUAUUGGCAUUUAGAACGGCGCCGUUUUGCUAUUAACGGUUAGGUGCCAAAACGACGAUGUUUGGCCUUGAUCCGCGCGGUGACCCUACCCAGGGGAAAGGAUCUGCGUGUUUUGCUUUAGCGGGAUAUUUGCACAAACGGUCCCUCCUCUUUUGCAGUAAGAUGCAAUCGAGUCUUUCUAUUUUUUAUAUUUUGACCUCGAAAAUUUUGUACUUGUUCCAAUUCGUUCCCGCGCGAAAUGCUGCGCACAAGGGGGCUAGAAUAUUUGUUCAUUCGCCCCCUAGUGUUUCAAGCGCAUUACGGAUCAGACCUUUAUCCUAUAUUUUAUUAUUUCGAAUGCUUACCUUGAAAUAUUAUUUAGUUUCCAAUUUAAUACAUAUAUCCCACAUGUUUUAUAAUCCAUAUAUAUACAUACGUCUUUUAUAUUUUAUAAUUUUAAAAUAUGUACAUGCAUACGUUUCUUUUUAUAAUAUAUACAUAAUUUAUAAUUCAUAUAUAUAUUUUAUAUUUAUAAUUUCUAUAUGCGUGUAGGUAUAUAUAUAUCUACAUAUGUAUUUUUUAUUUUUUUUUCAAAUAUAUACAUACUUAUAUAUUUUUCAUAAUUUUUAUGUACAUAUAUAUAUGCAUACUUUUAUAUUCAAUAAUAUAUUUUUCAUAUUUUCAUAAAUUUAUGUACAUACAUAUACAUAUAUAUCUUUUUACAUUUUUAUAAUUUUAUUCCUUUUCUUUACUUAUUUCUUUGUUUACAUUUUUAUUAUUAUUUUAAAAGAAUGUUUUAAUCUUAUUUGCCUAUGUGCUUGAUAUUUUGUAUGCUAUUGAUUUAUCCUUUUUAUUUAACUUAUUUUUGUUGCUAUUGCUCGUAUUAUUUAUGUUUAUGUCAUUGUAUCCAUUUUUAUUUCGUUACUUAUAUUGAUACCGUAUUUUAUUUCAACUAUUUCGAGUUAGAUUAAUUUUAUUUAAUACAUAAAUUAUGAUUUUUGAAUAAACAAAAUUUCGUAUUUAGAUUUGACAAAGUCGUAUCCUAACUUACUGGGUUUUGAUUUUCACAAUAAAUCUAAAUACACGUAUCUUUUCAAACUCAAGUUUUAAAUGAUCUCGGGAAUUAAGAAAAGAUCGUGUCCUAACUUACUGGGCAUGAUCCCCUUUUUUAAUUCGAGAUAGCUAAAUGUCUCUUAAAUAAGUAAAUUUUCGGCAUUCAUUCGCGCAUCUGGAAUUCAAGAUAUUGUGUCCUAACUUAUUGAAUAUAAUUCUCUUUCUCGAUUAACGUGAAAUAUGUUAUUUUCCUACAAAUUUUCAACAUUUCAAUAAAGGAUCGUAUUUUAAAUUUCUUUAAAGUUUUCAAUCUUCGACACUAAGACAUUAAUUAAUCAACUAGGUACCAAUUUUGGGCGUUACGAGGGUGCUUGUCCUUCCUCGUACGUAACCGACUCCUGAACCCAUUUUUCUGAAUUUUGUGGACCAAAAUCGUUGUUUUAAUAAAAUUAAAUUGUUUAUUAGAAACAACCACUUUACGAGGUGAGCCGAUCACACCUCAUCAAAAAGGAUCGGUGGCGACUCCCAUAUUCGUUUUCAUUUUCAAAUCCAAGUCAACCCCAUUUUAUCAAAAAAAUGGUGUCAACAGCUUGGCGACUCUACUGGGGAUCAAAAUAAGUGAGCCAAACCACGAGUUGAUUACUUUUUGCUUUUUUGUCGAAAAUUGAAAACUUGGUUUAAAUAUACGAUCCUUUCGUUGCAUUUCAUUGGUCUUUAUUACGAUCUUCAUCAUUGUGGUUUAUAAUUGUUGUGUUAGUUUAAGUUUUAGUAUCUUUCUGCACAUUGCAUUGCAUGACCGUUGGUCACACCCUUUUAAGUGGGAGUGAGAAACUACGCCUUCGUGAGGUUUUCACCUCCGUAUGGGAUAGUGAAUCGAUUUCGGGAUACAUCCGUACCAAUGUCUUCAUGAGAUUUUCAUCUCCGCAUAGCCAUAGGGAAAUGUAUUCCCCUGAACUGAACUCGGUCCAUAUGAGCAUAUAAUGGGUGAUGAUUGAGGAAUUUACCAGUUCGGGUACCUCAACUUUAGAACCAAACCACAUAUAGUGAACCUUAGGAACCUACCUAGGUAGAACUAUGCCAAACCCCUAGUGGUCACCCAAAUAGGCGCUUUAUGUAUUUCUUUCCUGCUUGCUUUUCAUUUGCACUAACCUAUUUUCUUUUGUUUUGGUUAUAAUUGCAUUGCAUUUUCAUCAUAGAAAAGAGGUGUUGAUUCACGUUCAGUAUCUAAAUAGAGAGCUUGUCAUAAGAAAAUGAGUUUCUUGAUAAAAUGAAAGAUAAUGCGGUCGUCCGACUACGGUCCGAGAAAACGUAAUAAGGCAAAGGUGAUAGUCUGAUUAAUGAAUACAUAACUUUACUUCGUGACCUGAGGAUUCAAGCUGAAAAAGAUUAUUUAUAAAGCCGUCGCACUUUCUUAAAAAAGCUAACGAGCAUCACGAAGAUGACUGAGCGAUGAGCUGCAGCCCGGAUCAAGCAAAAAGGAGCUAGUAGAGACAUCUACUAAAAAUUCGCGAGAUUUAUCCUAGCAUCCGGAUGAGGAAAAGAUCGAUGUCUUCGCCUGGAGUAUGAGGGAAAGGCCGUAUAAGUAUCCAUUUUAUGUAAAAAGAUUCGUUUUCUAGAAAAGUUGUUCUAAUAGAAUUAAAUCAAAAUUAACGCCUCUCCUCUUUUGCAUUCAUAGCAUUUAUUGCAUUCAUGCAUUAGCUUUGCAUUGCAUCAUACACAUUAAAUAUCACAAAAUAACCCUAAAAUUUUGGUAGUUAUCCUAGAAUAUCGGUACACGAGGAAAAACCAAAGUAAUGGACCAAAGAUUGGAAAGACUUGAACAACUCCAAAGGUAGAGGUAGGACCAGCUACUGCUGCAAGAGCGUUAGCUAAGGUCCAACAAAAUAUGAUGGACAAUAAAAAAAUGAAGUUCUGUGAAUGAGUUAAAAGAAAUGUUCACAUCAAUGCCAUACAUGAAGGUAAUUGAAAAUGGACCUUGUUAGAUAUCCACUCUUAUAAACUUAGGAGUGUUCUAAAUAAAUCAGACUGUAGAAAAAAUCUCUAUAGUAUUUAGAGUUUACUUAGAGUAAUGUUCAGAACACACUUUUUGCAUUCAACCUAGAGGCAAUAAGAACUCCUUUAUGAAAUAGGCUCAUGUCUGAACGUCAUUAUUUUAAUACAUCUUUGUGAUCAUUUUUAAGUCAAUAUUCUUUCACCCUUUUUAAAAAAUCAUUUUUGAUUCUUUUGGAUUUUGUUCCAAAUCAUUCUUUCAUUCAUUCAUAGUCAUAUUGUACAAAUAAUUAUUCAUAAUUUUAUACAUUUUUUUGUAUUUGUACCCACAAUAGGUCUCUAGAUAUCAAUGACAUGAGUGACGCUGAUACAGACUUAGAAUCUCUUUUUGAGUGAGACAAGUGUUUAGGGAGAUCUCAUAAAUUUGAAGAUGACAUAGAUUGUAGCCUAUUUUCAGACAUGUUAAGGAUGGUAGAACAAGUUAAGAAACAGAUCAUGCCUUACAAGGAAUCAAGUGGAAAUUGUAAGCUUAGGAAAAGAGAAAGAGGUGAAGACCGGAGCCUGUAUCACUAUAGAGACAAAGCGAGACGGCAUUAAGUUACUUUAAAAAUUCAAAGAUGUUUUCGCAUGAUUGUACCAAGAUAUGCCUGAACUACUAAGACGUAUGGAUGUUAUUAAGGCUAAGAAAAUCUUGAAAGUGGUCUAUAAGGGUGUUUGAGGAACACAUAAUAAUGGUUUUACAAUGGCCAAGCAAAUCAUGAUAUUCGGGUACUGCUGGUCCACCAUAGAAGGGGAUUGCAUCAGUUGUACCAAGAAAUGUCAUAAGUACCAAAUUUAUGAGACAAGAUUUAUGUGCCUCCUUCAUCCCUUCAUGUUAUGACUUUUCCAUAGACUUUCUCUAUGUGGGGCAUAGAUGUUAGUGGGUCAAUCUCAACUAAAGCUUCUGACGGUCAUCGAUUCAUCUAUCUGGUCAUCGAUUACUUUACUAAGUGGGUGGAAGCUGCUUCAUAUGCCAAUGUCACGAAGUCGACAGUCAGCAAAUCCUCGAAAAAUCAUAUCUUUUUAUGGAAUGCCAAAAGGAUCAUAUUUGACAAUACACCAAAUUUGAACAGCGGCACGAUAGCGAAAGUUUGUAGUCUAUUCAAGAAUAGCACCAUGCCGCUCUAAAGUGAACAGUGCAAUAAAAAGUCGAAACAAAAGAAAAAGAAAAACUCUGCUGGGGCAAUGCCUUUCACCUAGGCUUAUCGCGGUUUUUCCUAUUAAAGACAAGAUUCUUUCUUUCUGAGUUUUUUUGAAUCUAACCCGAUUGAAGAGGAAUGUUCAAAGUUAUAUGCCAUGGUCAAAUAUGCAAAAAGCAAAUAAUACGAGCAAAAAAAUUUUGCCCUAGAGGGUUCCAUGAGAGGGACCUGGUAUUGAAGAAUAUCCUUCCCAUACAAAAAGAACUUUAUAAGAAAGUGGAUGCCAAACUGGAAAGGACCUUAUGUGGAAGGCCUUAUCUAGGAAAGCAUUAAUUUUGAUCAGAAGGGAUAUCAAGGACAUGCCUAAUCCUAUGAAUUUAGAUUCAAUCAAAAAAAUAUGUCCAAAAAAAUGAAGAUGAUGAAAAAUAAAAGAAAAGAAAAAGAAAAAAGAGAAUGAAAAAGUCAAAAGGAGAGGCCAAGGUGAAAACCCGCAAGGGUGCCUUGAGACCAAAGGGGAUUUAAGUUGAAAACCCAAAAAGAGCGGCUCAAUUUUUUUAUCAGAAUGGGGCAUGAGGUGAUCAUAGCAGCUCAAAUUUUGAUCAGAAUGGGUCAUGUGGUGGUAUUGACAUACCUGAAUCAGCAGGAAAGGGGUGUGCAACAUCUUGAGGCACCAACAAAGUCCUGUAGAUCUCCUAAACACGUGUCAAACUCAGAAUGAUCUUCAGAAAGUUUGUACAGAGAAGUUCAAGCUGCAAUAUCUGGGGCACCUAGUCUUCAAACUAUUUAUAUUGAAUUUUUUAUUCUUGGAAUACUUCAUUCUCUUUCAAGAUACGUGUUCCCAAUCAAUUUCUUUUUUAUUCUUGCUAUCCUUGAUAAUUUAUUUCAAGCGAUGCUCCCAAAUCAAUUUUAUUUUUUUUCGUCAUAAUAUUUUCCAAGCAUGUUGCAUUGGAAUAAUGAUUAAUGGACUAAUAAUACUUUUACAAAGGAAGUUUUGCAUAUUACUCUAGAAGUUUCUAAAUAAUAUAGGAACCUGAAAUAGGACUACUGUUUAGAAAUCACCAAGUUUAAAGGUUGAAAUAUCUAAGAAGAAAAAGUCUAAUUUAAUAUAAUCCUUUUGGAUUUUGUCGUCAAAACAUUGAUUGAACAAAAUAACAAGAUGUCAGAGCUUCAAUGAACAAACAAGCAAUGUUCACCAAGCAAUAGGAAGAGGUUUUCUAGAGAAGAAAAUUUUACAAUUGUGCAUAAACAUUUGGUACGACACCUUGGGAAUGGUGUAAGGCUAAAGAGAUUCAAGUCUUGUAUCCUUGAAUUACAGUGGGAAGAGGAUGGUUCGAAUUUUAUGUCCCAAAAUUACAAUGGACUUAACCUUAAAGAUUACAGCUGAUUGAACUUUGAAGAUUACAGUGGGGACAAUCCGGUUACGUAAGAGAUGAGUGUUACCAGCCGAACAAGAUAGCAUUCUGACGUGUUGGCAAUAAAGCCUUAUUGAACAAUAAGCAAUAACAACUCGAACAUUGAGGGAUCAUUUCUCAUGACAUUUUUACAUUCAUGCAAAUAUCAUUCAUACACAUCUAGUGAGGAGUAUUUGAUUCAUUUUGAUCAUGACAUCCUAAUCACUAGGCAUAAAUAGGUCUAUGAAAUGGAUUCUACAGGUCAUGUUCCUCAGAGAAUAGAUAAAUGAAGUUACCUAUACUCCUGGCAGUGUAGUGGAGUAGGUUGAAGCUACAACGGUGAAUCUUACUUCCCUGACUUUGCAAUUAAAAAGAUUGAAGCCAUAACAGCAAAUCUUACUUCCCUGACGAUGCAGUGGAACAGAUUAAAGCUACAACGAUGAAUCUUGCUUCCCCGACAUUGCAAUUAAAAAUAUUGAAGCCACAACGACGAAUCUUACUUCCCUGGCAGUGCAGUGGAAUAUAUUGAAGCUAAACGGUGAAUCUUGCUUCCCCGACAUUGCAAUUAAAAAGAUUGAAGCCACAAUAGCGAAUCUUACUUCUCUAGCGGCGCAAUAGAAUAGAUUGAAGUACAACGACGAAUCUUGUUUCCCUGACAUUGUAGUUAAUCAGACUGAAGAUAACGAUCUUACUUCCCUGAAGUUGUAGUGGAACAAAUUGAAGCUAUAAAUUACCGAUCUCAUCCCCUAAAGUUGCAGUGGAGUAGACAAAAGAAACCAAUCCUAUCUCCUUGAAAUUGCAGUAGAGCAGAUCGCAUCUAAUCUUAUCUCCCUGAAGUUGCAGUGGAGCAGAUUGAAGAAAUCAAUCCUAUCUUCCUGAAGUUAUAGUGAAACGGAUUAAAAUGAUGGAUCUUAUCUCUCUGAAGUUGCAGUAGAGCAGAUCGCAUCAGACUUUAUUUUCUUAAAGAUGCAGUAAAACAAGUUGAAGCUACAAGUCUUAUCUCACUGAGGAUGCAGUGUAGCAGACUGAAGAUAGCAAAUGUUUCCUCGAAGAGCCACAGAUCUUAUCUCUCUGAAGUUACAGUAUAGCGGAUCACACCACAACAAGUCUUAUCUCCCUAAAGUUGCAGUGAAGCAGACUGAAGAUAUCAAACCUUAUCUCCCUGAAGCUGCAGUGGAGCAAGUUGAAGCAACAAGUCUUAUCUCCCUGACGUUAUAGUGGAAUAGACUAAAACUAGGAAUCUUGCCCCCUAAAGUUACAACAGAGUGGAUUGAAGCUACAAGUCAUAUCUCUCUGAAGUGCAGUAGAAUGGAUCGAAGCAACAAGACACAGUGGACUGGAAUGAAGCUAUUGAAAGAAGAUGAACACUAGAAUAAGUCAAGAUUCGACGAGACCGGGAAAAAUUGGUCUUUUUUAGUCUUUGCUCUGUUCUCGUUACACGACAACGAGCAAAGAGGGACAGCUGUACAUGCCCAAUUUUAGCUAGGGCCUAAGACCCAAUUACAAAUCCAAAUUAAACCUAUCCCAAACCCAAUCCAAAACAAAGCCUAAACGGCCCAAAAUGGCCCAACACAAAAAAGAAACAGGAAACCUUAAGCCCUAGUUUGCAGUCGCGCCUAGCUAGCGUCUAGCCGCCACUGUCCACGCCACUUGCUCUGCCAUCGCCGCACCUAACUUCUGUCAUCGUCGCACCUAACCCCUGCCUACUGUCACGUCGACCACCCCAUUUGUGCUGUCACCUGCAAGACACGCAAUAGCAACAGAAACAAUAGCAAAGUAAUGAAUCGGCUAUAAAAGAGCCAAAAAAAGUUUGUAUUUUUUUUGGAGACUAUCAGAUACAAAGAAAAUUUCAAUAAAAAAUAUCAAAAAAGGUUUACUCCCAUUUUAAUUCCUGUUUCAUUAUUAUUCUGUCUCGCUAUUUUAUUUUUCAUGUCUUUACACACAAAAAUAAAGCAAAAAAAAAAGGAAAAGGGAGAAGAACCUACCGGAGUCGAUCUACAUCUUUGUCAUCGGAGGCUCCUUCUCCGGUGACGAAAUGGCUGUAAGGAAAUGCUGAUGGCCCUUUUUCUUUUUUCUUUUUUGGUAUUUUGAGACCAGAUUUGGGCCAAAGGGGGUUGAGAUCUAGAAAAUAGGUCUUUUUGCCAUCGCCAGCCACCGCAUGCAGUAGCGCCGACACCGGCGACAGGAGUCCGACACGGUGACCGUCGAUCGGAGCAUGGAUCGGAGGAAGGGGAUUUUUGAGAGAGAUUUCAGGUUUUUUUAAGAAGGGCAAAAAAUGAAAUUUUAAGGAAAAAAUUUGAUUUAUAUAGGCAUUUAAAACAAUAUCGUUUUGCUAUUAAGGGUCAGGUGCCAAAACGACGCUGUUUGGUCCUAACCCGCGCUGUGACCUAACCCAGGAGGAAGGAUCCACAUGUUUUGCUUUAGCGGGAUAUUUGCACAAACGGUCCCUCCGCUUUUGCAGUAAGAUGCAAUCGGGUCUCUCUGUUUUUUAUAUUUUGACUCCGAAAAUUUUGUACUUGUUCCAACUCGAUCUCGCACGAAAUGCUGCGCACAAAGGGGCUGGAAUAUUUGUUCAUUCACCCCUAGUGUUUCCAGCGUAUUACGAAUCGGUCCUUUAUCCUAUAUUUUAUUGUUUCGAAUGCUUACCUUGAAAUAUUAUUUAGUUUCCAAUUUAAUACAUAUAUCCCACAUGUUUUAUAAUCCAUAUAUAUACAUACGUCUUUUAUAUUUUAUAAUUUUAAAAUAUGUACAUGCAUACGUUUUUUUAUAAUAUAUACAUAUUUUAUAAUUCAUAUAUAUAUUUUAUAUUUUAUAAUUUCUAUAUGCGUGUAGGUAUAUAUAUAUCUACAUAUGUAUUUUUUUUUAAUUUUUUUUUCAAAUAUAUACAUACUUAUAUAUUUUUCAUAAUUUUUAUGUACAUAUAUAUAUGCAUACUUACAUAUACUUUUAUAUUCAAUAAUAUAUUUUUCAUAUUUUCAUAAAUUUAUGUACAUACAUAUACAUAUAUAUCUUUUUACAUUUUUAUAAUUUUAUUCCUUUACUUUACUUAUUUCUUUGUUUACAUUUUUAUCAUUAUUUUAAAAGAAUGUUUUAAUCUUAUAUGCCUAUGUACUUGAUAUUUUGUAUGCUAUUGAUUUUUUCUUUUUAUUUAACUUAUUUUUGUUGCUAUUGCUCGUAUUAUUUAUGCUUAUGUCAUUGUAUUCAUUUUUAUUUCAUUACUUAUAUUGAUACCGUAUUUUAUUUCUACUAUUUCGAGUUAGAUUAAUUUUAUUUAAUACAUAAAUUAUGAUUUUUGAAUAAAAAAAUUUUCGUAUUUAGAUUUGAGAAAGUCGUACCCUAACUUACUAGGUUUCGAUUUUCAUAAUAAAUCUAAAUACACGUAUCUUUUCAAACUCAAGUUUUAAACAAUCUCGGGAAUUAAGAAAAGAUCGUGUCCUAACUUACUGGGCAUGAUCCCCUUUUUUAAUCCGAGAUAGCUAAAUAUCUUUUAAAUAAGUAAAUUUUCGGCAUUCAUUCGCAUAUCGAGAAUUCAAGACAUUGUGUCCUAACUUACGGGAUAUAAUUCUCUUUCUCGAUUAACGUGAAAUAUGUCAUUUUCCCGCAAAUUUUCAACAUUUCAAUAAAAAAUCGUAUUUUAAAUUUCUUUAAAGUUUUCAAUCUUUGACACUAAGACAUUAAUUAAUCAACUAUGUACCAAUUUUGGGUGUUACGAGGGUGAUGAUCCUUUCUCGUACGUAACUGACUCCCGAACCAAUUUUUCUGAAUUUCGUGGACCAAAAUCGUUUGUCGAAACCACUUUUUGAAAAAAAAUGUAGUUGUCGACUUUAAAAACAAAAAACUGGAGUCGCCAUCGAUCCUUUAUUAAGGUUUGAUCGGCUCACCAUAAAAACUAUUUUGGUCUACGAAACUUGAGAAAACGGGUUUGAGAGUCAGUUACGCACGAGGAAGGGUUAGCACCCUCGUAAUGCCCAAAACUCGGUACCAAAUUGAUUAUCUAAUGUCUUAAUGUCGAGGAUUAAAAAGAUUUUUUAAAAACACUCAAAUGAUGAAAUCUAAAAAGGAUAAUCAAUUGUUCAAGUCAUAUAAAGCAAUCGAGUCCCAAUACGUUAGGGUACGAUUUCUCAAAAUCCCUGAACUUUGAAUAUCGCUUUUAUUUCAUGCGAAAAUAUUCAUUUUGAGAAAGCAAUAUGCCAUGCCCAAUACAUUAGGACACAACAAGUUAAGUUCCCAAAAAUGAUUUUUAUACUCAUGCAUUUUGAAUAAAGAAUAUUCUCGGUCAUUUAAAAUUAACGAAGAAAAUCAGAACCCAAUGCGUUAGGGCUCAAUUUCCUUGAAAAUCUCAAACUUUGAAUAUUGCUUUUAUUCAAAAAGCUUCGAAUCAAGAGAAAAUGAUUUUGAUAUAUUGACAAAACCAAAAUAUAUUUCUCAAAGGGUAUGUUUAAAGUUAGUGUACAAUAUGAAAUAAAUACUUUAAUUUAAAAUGUACAUGUAUUCAAAGCAACGAUCACAAAAAACGUAAAAAUUAUCAAAAACUAAAAUCAAACUAACCUUGAAUUGAAAUCCCUAAGAUGGUCGAAUGCUAAAGCUUGAAGAACAAAGUUUCUUGCUUUUAUUUUCAGUGGAAAAAGGUGAAGAAAAUGACUUUAUUUUAUAAUAUUUAUGAUAUAAUAUACAUUAUUAUUCUUUUACUAUUUUCACCUUUGUAAAAUAAUAUUGAAAACAUAUAAUGCUUGGAUUUUUAGCCAUCUUGCCGUCCACUAUCUUUUAAAUGGGCUUAUUGCCCUUUUUAGGACUUCAAGUUAAAAAGCCAUUACCAAAUAGGUAUUUUACACUUUAACUAACAACUUUUACUUUUUAUACAAUUUAGUACUUUUAUCAAAUUAAACACAAAAACGGCCAAAUAAAUUUACGAAAUUUUCACACAAUCAAAUUCAAAUAUCACAGACACAGAAAAUAAUAUUAAAAUAUUUUUUAGACUCGGAUUUAUGGUCUCAAAACUACUAUUCUGAUUAGGGUUAAAACCAGGUUGUUACAACUCUUCCCCCUCAGGGAUUUUCGUCCCCGAAAAUCUUACCAGUGAAUAGGUUGGGAUAACGUUCUUUCAUCGAGUCUUCUAAUUCCCAAGUUGCUUCCUUAACCCCGUACUUUUGCCACAAUACUUUGACUAACGAAAUUUUCUUAUUUCGUAAUUCUUUGAUCUCACGAGCCAGAAUGCUAAUCGGUUCUUCUUCAUAUGACAUAUCAGGGUUAAUUUCAAUCUCGGUCGGGGUAAUCAGAUGUGAAGGAUCGGAUCUGUAUCUACGAAGUAUCGAAACAUAAAAUACAUUAUGAAUCUUUUCUAACUCAGAUGGCAACAACAAUUUAUAAGCAACCGGCCCGAUAUGUUCUAUAAUCUCAUAUGGUCCAAUAAAUCUCGAGCUUAAUUUACCUUUGUGACCAAAUCUGAGUACUUUCUUCCACAGUGAGACUUUCAAAAACACUUUGUCCCGAUUUGAAAUUCUAUAUCCUUUCUUUUCAAGUCCGCAUAAGAUUUCUAACGAUCCAAUGCUGAUUUCAAACUAUCCCGAAUUACUUUCACUUUUUGUUCAGUCUCUUUAAUCAAAUCGACCCCGUGUAUCUUAUUUCACUAAGCUCGGUCCAAUACAAUGGUGUACGACAUUUACGACCGUACAAAGCCUCGUAAGGUGCCAUUUUGAUACUAGAUUGAAAGCUAUUAUUAUAUGCAAAUUCAAUCAGAGGUAAGUAUCGUUCCCACGUACCUUCAAACUCAAGAAUGAAACAUCUCAACAUAUCCUCAAGUAUCUGAAUGAUUCACUCAGAUUGACCAUCUAUUUGUGGAUGAAAAGCUAUGCUAAAAUGUAAUUUCGUACCUAAAGCAUCUUGUAGUUUCUUCCAAAAUCGUGAUGUGAACCUCGGGUCUCUGUCCGAAACAAUAGAAAUAGGCACACCAUGCAACCUCACAAUUUGAGAAAUAUACAAUUUGGCAAGUUUAUCGAGUGGGAAAUCUGUGCGGAUCGGAAUAAAGUGUGUCGAUUGUGUCAACCUAUCAACAAUAACCCAGAUUGCAUCUUUCUUACUAGGUGUCAACGGUAAAUCAGAUACAAAAUCUGUCGUGACUCGGUCCCAUUUCCACUCGGGAAUCAUAAUCGACUGAAGUAAUCCAAAUGGUACUUGAUACUCAGCUUUAACUUGCUGACAAAUUAAACAUUUUGAAACAAAUUUAGAAAUAUCUCGUUUCAUACCAUGCCACCAAUAGUUCUGUUUCAGAUCGUUAUACAUUUUCGUACUACCCGGAUGAAUAGAAAAUAGACUAUUAUGAACUUCAUUAAAAAUCAUCUGAAUUAACUUUAAAUUUCUCAGAACACAUAAUCUGUUUUUGAAUCUCAAACAAUCCUCAGCAUCAACUAGAAACUCCGAAUCAACAUUUAAGUCACACUGAGCUCGUUUUGCAAUUAAAUCAUCAUCGACUUUAUGAGCUUCACAAAUCUGCUGAACAAAUAACAGUUUUGCUUUUAACUUAGUUAUUAUCACACCAGCAUCAGACAUAGCCAUAUGCGCUUUCAUUGCAUGCAAAGCAAACAAUGAUUUUCGACUUAAGGCAUCAACGACAACAUUAGCCUUUCCCGAAUGAUAGUCAAUCAAAAGCUCGUAAUUUUUUAGCGAUUCUAACCAUCAGUGCUGUCUCAAAUUCAGAUCUUUCUAAGUCAUCAAAUACUUUAGGCUUUUAUGAUCGGAAUAAACAUGAUAUUUUUCGCCAAACAGGUACUGGCACCAUAUUUUCAAUGUAAACACAAUAGCGGCCAAUUUCAGAUCGUGCGUCGGAUAGUUCUUUUCGUGCGGCUUUAACUUUCUCAAGGCAUAGGCUACAACUUUGCCUUCCUGCAUCAAAACACAACCCAAACCAUUUAAAGAUGCAUUACUAUAGAUAACAGACUCUUUACCCAAUUAUGGCUGAACUAAUACUGGAGCUUCGGUCAAAAGAACCUUCAACUGAUCGAAACAUUUCUGGCACUUUUCUGACCACUCAAACUUAACGUCUUUUUGUAGUAGCUUUUUCAUCAGGGUUGCAAUCAUAGAGAACCCUUUCACGAACCGUCUAUAAUAACCAGUAAGUCCCAGAAAACUUUGAACUUUUGAAACAUUUCUCGGAGGUUUCCAAUCAAGUAUAGCUGAAAUCUUACUCGGAUCAACCCGAAUACCUGAUGCUGAUAUAGCAUGGCCCAAGAAACUAACUUCGCUUAACAAAAACUCACAUUUACUGAAAUUUGCAUACAACAGUUUAUCUCGUAAAGUUUGUAACACAAGUUUCAAAUGUUCGGUAUGCUCUGCCUCAUUACGGGAGUAGAUCAGAAUGUCAUCUAUGAAUGCUAUCACAAAUCGAUCCAGAUACUGUCUAAAAAUUUGAUUCAUCAAAUCCAUGAAAAUAGCAUGUACACUAGUAAGUCCAAAAGACAUAACAAGAAACUCAUAAUGUCCGUACCUCGUUCGAAAAACAGUCUUUGACACAUCAGAGUCUUUAACUCGUAACAGAUAGCAGCCUGAUCUCAAAUCUAUCUUCGAAAACACAAUAGCCCCUUUUAACUGAUCGAAUAAAUCAGCAAUCCAUGGUAAUGGAUACUUAUUCUUUAUUGUCACCUUAUUGAGCUGUCGGUAAUCAAUGCACAUUCUCAUCGUUCUGUCUUUCUUUCUCACGAAUAGAACUAGAGCACCCCAAGGAGAGAAACUCUGUCGUGCGAAACUUUUAUCAGUCAACUCUUGCAACUGUGCUAUCAAUUCUUUUAAUUCAGUCGGUGCCAUACGGUAAGGAGCUAUCAAAAUUAGAGUCGUCCCCGGUAUUAACUCAAUACCAAACUCUACCUCUCGAAUAGGUGGCAAACUCGAUAAUUCUUCGAGAAACAGGCCUGAAUACUCACAUACAAUUGGCAUGGAUUCAAUCUUCUUUUCGGUCACUUUACUAUCAAGAACAAAUGCAAGGUAAGCUUCACAACCUUUUUUCACAUACUUCUGAGCCAACAUCGAGGAUAUUACUGCUGGUAAACCAUUCAGAUCAUUAGAUUCAAUCCAAAUAAUCUCAUCAUUUUAACAUCGUAGAUCAAUAGUUUUUCGUUUGUAGUUUACAAUAGCAUCAUGCAAAGUUAACCAAUCCAUACCCAAAAUUAUAUCAAACUCGUCGAAUGGCAGCAACAUCAAAUCAUCCAGAAAACAUAAAUCUCGAAUCAUCAGCAGAUAAUUCUUACACACUUUGUCAACCAAAACACACCGGCUCAGGGGGUUUGAUACUUUAAUUACAAAUUCAGUAGACUCAACAGGCAAAGUCUUGCUGAAUACUAAAGUCUCACAUACAUAAGAAUGAGUCAAACUAGGAUCAAUCAAUGCAAUAUCACUAGUAUCAUAAAGAGUGAAAAUACCAGUAAUAACGUCUAGGGAUGACGCCUCAUCACGUGCUCGAAUGGCAUAAGCUUUGGUAGGUGCGCGAGCUUCAGAUCUAACAGAUGUAUCUUUAGUACCUCUCUGACUACCACUCACAUUACCCAUAUUCCUGGGUGAUUUACCUCGAGCUGCUGUGUUGCCUAAUCUCGUAUUCUGAGCCAAAUUUCGAUCCACAAACUCUGGGCACUCCCGAAUAAAAUGAUCUUCCGAUCUACAUUUAUAACAAACUCAAUUAUUGUACUUGCCCCAACACUCACCAACAUGUCUCCUACCACACUAUUGGCACUCAGGUUUAUUCGGUCGGGUAUUACCAACACUAACAACUGAGGUGGCUCUUGAACUCAUUGGUGGUCGUUCUUGUAUAGAAAGCCCAGUAGUAUCCUUAGAUUGGCUACUAACAUCUCUGAACUUCUUUGUUGUCAUCUGAAAAGUUUUAUUCGCUGAUUUCUUGCGGAAAUCACUUGCUUCAAACUCAGCUUUUCUUUUCUAUUUGCUGAAUUCUUCAGCCUUGCAAGCUCGCUCGACGAGUACUACAAACUCUUUUAUUUUGAGUAUGCCGACAAGCAAUUUUAUGUCUUUAUUCAACCCUUCCUCGAAUCUUUUACACAUAGCAGUCUCGGUCGCAACACGCUAUCGGGCAUAUCAGUUGAGUCUCACAAACUCACGCUCAUAAUCAAAUACAGUCAUACGAUCCUAUUUUAGCUCAAGAAAUUCUUUGCAUUUUUGAUCAAUGAAUCGCUAACUGAUAUACUUUUUGCGAAAUUCUGUCUGAAAGAAAUCUCAUGUGACACGCUCUUUCGGAACAAUCGAAACUAGAGUGUUCCAUCAAUAGUAAGUCGAAUCCCAUAACAAGGAUAUAGCACAUUUCAGGCACUCAUCAGGUGUACAGGAUAGUUCAUCGAAGACACGAAUGGUAUUAUUGAGCCAAAAUCCAGCCCGUUCAGCAUUAUCACUAGCUGUGGCCCUAAAUUCUUCAGCUCCGUAUUUUCUUAUUUUAUCAAUAAGAGGCUUAUUCAAUCUCAUAGGAUUGAUAGUUGGAGGUACCACAGGCAUCGAAAGUGGGUUAAUCGGGGUCGAAAGUUGUUGAAUAGCCAGAUUUGUCUGGAUAUAUUGAGUAAACCAUUCAUUCAUCAUAGUAUAGAAAACUUGUUUAGCCUCAUCACCAUGGUUAUUCGUAUUCGGUCGAGAAUCAACCGGCUCCAUCCCUUGCACGAGAGCAGGCGCUAUACUCUCGACAUCAUCUACUACAAUUCGAUCGGGAUCAGGAUCCAUUCACUAUAUGAAAAACACUUUUUUUAUUGUCAGAAGUCGUUAAACUAUCACAGUAUAAUAAAUGGCAUGUAUAGCUAAACUCAUACACGCUACUUUAGUCCUAGAAUUGACUAAAUCGUAGCUCUGAUACCAAUAAAAUGUAACACCCUUAACCCGUAUCCGUCGCUGAACUAGGGUUAUUAGGUAUUACAGGACAUAACAUGACUCGGAAUAGUCACAAAUUAAUUUUUUUUCAUUUAUGCACAAUAGUUGAACACAUAAUAAAACCAAACAAAUAAACCAAACAUAUUUAUUAUCUAUAAUUCUUAGUCGAAUUCAUCCUUAACAUGGUAAGAUAUUUAUUAACAUUAUAAUAAAACAUAUCAACCAAACUAAUUAUACACUUCACGAUUUAAAUUUUUAUGCACAUAAUAUGCCAUGACCAAAUUAUUAUAGUUCUAACAUUAUGAGCACAUGAUUAAAUCUAAUAUUACAUACAACUUUCAUACACCUGUACUAUUAUUCAUAAAUACUAAACUCAAAUUAACCUAUGUAUAAAUCAUCAUAUCAUAGCCAAUUAGAUUGUAUAUAUAUAUGUCAUUUUUAUCAAAUCCAACUUAUACACAAUCACUUAAUUUCAUUCAAUACAUACACAUUUAGCAUGUAUUUUACCUUAAAAUCAAGUCAACCACUCUAACAUCACAUGUUAUAUCCAUAAUCCAAAUAAUUAAGCCGAACAUACAAUUUACUUAAUCAUCUCCAUCCAAUAUGUCAAAAACAAGAAAACAAAAUAUAACAUAUUAACAAUCAUACCAUAGUAGAAUAUAUGUCAUACCAAAAUCCAACAAACUAUGCACAAAAUAACAUGAACAUAUACUAUAUCUUAGGCCAUUAAAGCAUAUGUAAUAAUACCAAAUUCAAACCAAAAGAGAUAAGUCAUUUUCACAUGGCUAUUAAUUACACCUGUAUACAUUGGUUCCAAAAUCAACAUUUCAACCACGCUAUACAUGCCAUUUAUUCAAAUACGACUUAGUAAAGUACCAAAUUAUGGAUGAUAGUGUGACAAGCUUUACAGACGAUCCCCGAACACGUAGCGAUCACCGAAAUCUAUACAUCAAAACAAUUAUCCAACACAUUGUAAGCUAAUUUAGCUUAGUAAGUUACAAGCAAAUAAACUCUACAAUUUAACUUGAUAUCUCGAAUAAUAUUUAACCAUUUCAUACUACUAAAUCAUCUUACCUUUAGCUUACCAUAUCAUAAGAUAAUUAUUAACUUAAUACUAUGAUUUAACUAAAAUUAAUAUAAUUACUCAACCAUAAGCAUUUCUUUAAAUUUAAAUACAAGGCCAAAUACAUUAUGCAUCUCAUCAUCAUGUAAUAUAAAGAAUCAUCUUAUAUAUAUUUGAUUCUAAAUAUAAUCACCACAUGGUUUAAUACUUACAAAGCUCAACCUUGAAUACAACCAUAACAGUUAUUACUCAGGAACUCCAAGUAUUUACUCAUUUUACUAAUCAUGAUUACUCAAUAAGUCAAAUACUCAAUGCUAAUAGUUAUUCGAAAAUAUUUAAUAAGUUCGCACACUUAGUGCUUAAUAAUCAAACUCGCACACUUAGUGCUUCACAAUUAAACUCGUACACUUAGUGCUAAUUUUUUUAUCAUAAAUUUUUAUACCCGCACAUUUAGUGCCAAAAGUCAACAACUCAAUACAACUUAUUUUAAUAAUUUAUCACUACGUGUAUAUGGUAUAUAUAUAUACCAUUCAAUUCAGCCUAAUUACAUAGAUACUAAGAUGUUUUAAAAUGAUACAAAAUAUAUGCUUAAUAACUUACCUCAGAUUUCGUCGACUAAUAGAUCGGCUACUCAACUACUUUCGAUUUCCCCCGAUCUAAAUCCGAUUUCUUGGUUUCUUGAUCUAAACAUAUUCAAAUAAAUCUCAUUUAAACAUAUUUUCAUUCAAUUUAGUGUAAGAACACAUAAAUAGGAAAAUUACAUUUUUACCCCUAAUAUUUCACAUUUUUACAAUUUAGUCGUCAUUGCACAAAACACAAAAUACACAAAAUUUGGCCACACUCCCUAAGGGCCGGAUCUUCCUAGUACCCAUAUAAGUCCAUACAUUUCAUUUAUUUCACAUUUUAGUCCUUUAAAAUUUUAUUUUUGCAAUUUAGCCCUAAUUACUCAAAAUCACCAAAAACUCCAAUACAAAACAUAUUAAUCUUUAACAUAUCUUUCAUUUUUCAUCAACAACUAUCAAAAAGCUCAAGCACUCAUCAAUGGCAAAACACAAAAUCAACAUCAAUUCAGAAAAUUAAUACAUGGGUUUUGAAGUAUUCAAAGUAACGAUCAUAAAAAUGUAAAAAUUAUCAAAAACUAAAAUCAAACUAAACAUAAAUUGAAAUCCCUAAGAUGGCCGAAUGCUAAAGCUUGAAGAAAAAAAGUUUCUUUCUUUUGUUUUCGGUGGAAAAAGGUGAAUAAAAUGACUUUAUUUUAUAAUAUUUAUGAUAUAAUAUACAUUAUUAUUCUUUUACUAUUUUGACCUUUGUAAAAUAAUAUUUAAAACAUAUAAUGCAUGGCUUUUUAGCCAUCUUGCCAUCCACUAUCUUUUAAAUGGGCUUAUUGCCCUUUUUAGGACUUCAAGUUAAAAAGCCAUUACCACAUAGGUGCUUUACACUUUAACUAACAACUUUUACAUUUUACGCAAUUUAGUACUUUUAUCAAAUUAAACACAAAAACGGCCAAAUAAAUUUACAAAAUUUUCACACAAUCAAAUUCAAAUAUCACAGACACAGAAAAUAAUAUUAAAAUAUUUUUCAGACUCAGAUUUAUUAUCCCGAAACCACUGUUCCAAUUAGGGUCAAAAUCGGGUUGCUACAAAGUUAGCAGCUAAUGUUCUUGAUUUUCAACAGCAAAUCCAACAGUAAACUCUUAAUUUCCAAAAAGAGAUGAAGGAUUUCUAACAGAAAACUGAGGCGUCCAUCAGACCACAUCGAUCGAGAAAUUGACCUCUCAAGGAAAGCUGCCGUCACAAACAGAACCAAACCCUAGACAAAAUGCGAAUAUAGUGACGUUGCGAAGUGGAAAGGUACUAGAACCGAUUCCUGACAAGAAUCUUGGCUAAAAAAUUUCCCAAGAAAAACCCGAGAAAGACGAACAAGUCCAACCGAAGCCUCUAUUGCCUAAAAUUCAACCUCCAUUUCCAGCACUAUUCAACCAGUGUUGAAGAGGUAAAGAGGACAAGGAAAUCCUCAAAACAUUUAGGAAUGUCAAGAUCAACAUUCUGCUGUUGGAUGCCAUCAAGGAAAUACCGCGAUAUGCUAAAUUUCUUAAAGAGCUUUGCACCAACAAGCGAGAAUUAAUAGGUAAUGAAAGCAUGAAUGUUGGUAAGAAUGUAUCUGCAAUGUUACAACAAAAAAUGCUAGAAAAAUGCAAGGAUAGGGGUAUGUUUGCAAUACCAUGCAAAAUAGGCCAUCUGGGAAUUAAAAAGGCUAUGUGUGACCUAGGGGCUUCUAUAAAUGUAAUGCCAUAUUCUAUUUAUGAAUCACUUAACGCGGGUUUUUUUAACAAAAACAAGUGUUAUCAUUCAAUUAGCGGACAAGUCUAUUGUGCAUCCAGAAGGAGUCCUUAAGGAUGUUCUGGUAAAAGUUAACAAGUUUAUUUUCCCUGUAGAUUUUUAUGUGAUCAAAAUAGAUAAGGAUAGCACUCCUGGAUCUUCAAAUCUUCUGCUAGGUCAAUCGUUCCUUAGUACAGCUAGUACUAAAAUCGACAUUCGAAGUGGAACUCUCACGAUGGAGUUUGAUGGGGAGAUCGUAAAGUUUAAUGUCUACGACGCCAUUGCCAUACAAGGGAAAUCUUGAGCGUAAAUUGUAUCAACAUAAUUGACACUUUAGUGGAAGAGAAUUUUGAGUCAAUUUAUGGAGAUAAUUCUGAACUUGAUGAAUUUGAAUUUGAAUUUGUUAAUGAGUUAUUAUCUUCAAAUACUAAACUGUCACAUUCUGUUCUACAGGCACCAGAGUUGGAGUUGAAACCGCUUCCUGAGCAUCUGAAAUAUGCAUUUUUAGGGAAGGGUAAUACCCUACCAGUCAUAGUCUCCAAUAGACUCUCCAUAGAUGAAGAGGAAAUUUUGGUUCAUGUACUAAAAAUUCAUAAGGAGGCGAUUGGCUAGACCAUUGCAAACUUAAAAGGGAUAAACCCUUUGACAUGCACACACAGGAUCUACUUGCAAGAAGACACGAAACUGAGGUGAGAGGCGCAAAGACAGCUAAAUACAAAUAUGAUGGAGGUAGUAAAAAAGGAAAUAAUCAAGCUUCUAGAUGAUGACGUAAUUUACCCUAUUUCUGACAGUAGGUGGGUAAGUCCAGUACAAGUCAUGCCCAAGAAAACGGGUGCGACAAUAAAGAAAAAUGUUGAAGGUGACUUGGUACCUUCUACAUUGAUUAUAGAAAGUUUAAUUCAUACAGUAGAAAAGAUCAUUUCCCUCUUCCUUUUAUAGAUCAAAUGCUUGAAAGAUUAGCCGAAAAAACUCACUUUUGUUAUCUUGAUGGAUACUCAGGUUUCUUUCAAAUUCCAGUCGCACCGGAGGACCAAGAAAAGAUCACUUUUACAUGCCUAUUUGGUACAUUUACGUACAGAAGGAUGCCAUUUGGUCUUUGCAAUGUGUCGGCCAUCUUUUAGAGAUGCAUGAUAAGUAUAUUUUUUGAAUAUGUGGAAAAAAUUAUCAAAAUUUUUAUAGAUGAUUUUACUGUAUAUGGGAGUUGUUUUGAUAAAUGCCUUAAAAACCGAACGAUAAUUUUGAGUAGGUGCAUAGAAUUUAAUCUUGUCUUGAAUUAUAAAAGUGUCAUUUUAUGGUAGACAAGUCUGGGUCAUGUUGUUUCAUCUAAAGGAAUUGAGGUUGAUAAGGCUAAAAUUGACAUUACAAAUUCUUUGCCUUAUCCCUCCACUGUGAAGGAAAUUCUUCUUUCAUUGGCCAUGUAGGGUUCUACAGGCGCUUCAUAAAGAACUUCUUGAAGGUAGCUGAACCACUGUGUGAGUUGUUGCAGAAGGAUAAGAUAUUUGAGUUUGGCCCAAAAUGUAAGGAGACAUUUGAUACACUCACGUAAAAGUUAGUCUUCGCUCCUAUAUUGCAACCGCCAGAUUGGAAAUACCCGUUUGAAAUUAUGCGCGAUGCCAGCAAGCACAGUGUAGGAGCCGUGUUAGGGCAAAGGAUAGACAAAGAACCACAUGUCAUAUGUUAUGCCUCGAAAACUUUAGAUACUGCGCAGAGCAACUACACCACUACGGAAAAAGAACUCUUAGUCAUUGUAUUUGCUUUAGAUAAAUUUUGACCUUACUUAUUGGGAUCUAAAGUAAUUAUUUUUUCUAAUUAUGGAACCCUCAGGUACUUGAUCGCGAAGAAUGAAGUAAAACUGAGGCUCAUUAGGUGGAUUUUGCUUAUCUAAGAAUUUGACAUCGAGAUUCGAGACAAAAGGGAAUGCUAGAAUUUAAUGUUUGACAACUUAAGCAGAAUAAAAGUACCUUUUGACGACAUCCCUAUAAAGGAAGAAUUCCCUGAUGAGAGCCUAUUUUCGACUGAAGAAUGUCUCUCAUGGUAUGCAGAUAUAGUAAACUUUCUAGCCACAGGAUCAUUACCCACUGAGUUAGCCUAUUCCGUGAGGGACAAGCUUAGACGCGACCCUCGAUAUUACAUUUGGGAUGACCCAUACUUGUGGGAACACUAUUCAGACCAGAUAAUAAGAAGAUGUGUUCUAGAAACUGAGGUAACUUCUAUCCUUAAUUUUUGUCAUACUAAAGCUUGCGGAGGUCACUUUGGCCCUAAGUGGACCGUUCAUAAGGUGUUAGAAUGUGGGCUAUAUUGACCGUUCAUAGGUCACUUUGGCCCUAAGUCUUGCGAUAGGUGCCAACAUACAGGUAACAUCACUAAACAAAAUCAAAUGCCCUUUUCCCUGAUUCAUGUAUGCAAAAUCUUUGAUGUAUGAGGCAUCGAUUUCAUGGGCCCAUUUAUUUCUUCAUUUAGCAAUGUAUAUAUAAUUCUUGCAAUAGACUAUAUUUCUAAGUGGAUAGAAGCAAAGCCUACUCAAAAUGAUAAUGCCAAAACUGCUGUGGAGUUUCUAAAACGAAAUAUUUUUUUCCAGGUUUGGCAUACCUCGAGCCCUAAUCAAUGAUCGUGGCACCCACUUUUGCAAUAAGGUUAUAGAGGCAUUGUUGGCAAAAUACAGAGUCCACCACCGUAUAGCUAUGGCUUACCAUCCCCAAACGAACGGUCAAGUUGAGGUCUCGAACAGGGAAAUCAAGACUAUUUUGGAGAAAAUAGUUCGUCCUAACCGAAAGGAUUAGAGCCUUCGGCUAAAUGAUGCACUUUGGGCCUAACGAACUACGUAUAAAUGACCGAUUUGUAUGACCCCGUAUCGACUUGUUUUUGGUAAAGCUUGCUGCCUUUAUGUUGAAUUGGAACAUAAAGCCUAUUUUGUCGUUCGACAAUGUAACAUGGAGUUAGAACCCACAGGAAAGGCAACGAAAUUAGACAUCCAAGAGUUAGAAGAAAUUCGCAAUGAUGCCUACGAGAAUGCUCGUAUUUAUAAAGACAAGACAAAGUUGUUUCACGAUAAGAGAAUAGCUCAGAAGCAUUUUUCGGUAGGAUAAAAAGUUUUACUUUAUAACUCUGUGUUAAAGUUAUUCCCAGGUAAGCUUCGAUCAUGAUGGCAAAGACCUUUCAUUAUUACUGAAGUGUUCAUACAUGGAGCGAUUGAAAUAGAUAGUGAAGAAUCUGGAAAGCGGUUCGUAGUCAAUAGCCAGUGGUUGAAGCUAUUUUAUGAGAAUUUUCAAGCCCACACGAUUGAGAAAAUCCAUUUGGAACCACCAUAGAACCAAUAACGACGUCGAGCUAACGAUGUUAAACAAGCGCUUGUUGGGAGGCAACCCAAUUUUUAUUUAUUUUAUUUUAUUUACUUUAUUUAUUACUUUAUUUUAUUUUAUUAUUUUACAACUUAUUUGGAUAUUAAUAAAUUUCUCUUCUUUUGCUUAGAUAAAACAGAGCAAAAAUAUGAAGAAAAAGAAAAAACUAGAAAAAUAUAACCAAAAAGCCCUGUUCAUGGUAUCAAACAACCUCUAUUCCAGAUACUAGUCUAGCCCAGAAUGCCUGCAGCCAAACUACCCUAUUCCUGUAGCCAACCACCUUUAUCCAUGCACCCAAACACUACCUCUCAGUAUAAAUUAACCCCCCAACCCUAAAAUUUUAAAACAUUUUUUUCCAUUUUCCCACAAAACCACCAUAGCCGCCGCUCUUCCCUCUACCAUUCUCCCCCAUGCCGAACGACCCUACCAAUAAAGGCGCCCACACCUCAUCAGCCUCGACAACAGCCGUCCAAACCCUCGGCCAAACCUCCGCCAUCCUCCGCUCCUCCGUCUUCUGACCCGACUUGAAACCUUUGGCCAGCAACUGAGUGAGCUCAUUGAUAUCAUAUACGAUUGACAGUAAAUAACAUAGGGAGUUUUUCUAAACUUUUCUCCCUAUUUAUUUCUUUUCGUCCACAUUGAGGACAAUGUGCUUUCAGUAAGGGAGGUACUUUUAGCUAUUACUGUCAUUUUUUGCUAUGAUUUUGGUUGUUGUUGCUAUUACUGUGAUUAUUUUUGGCUUGUGUUGCUGUUUGAGGCUCCAUUUUGUCCAUAUUUAUUUUUUAGGAUCUCUUGCCUCUUUUCAUGCCCAAGAUUUUUACCAAUAAUUGCCUAUUGUUUGACCUACAAACAUGAUUCUUAUUUUAUGAGAAAAUUAUAGAUUUUCCAUAAUUGAUGUCAUUUCCAGUGAUGCCAUUUCCAAUGUUUUAUUCUUAUUAGGCUAAAAAUAAUUGUGAUUCAUAGAGUUAACUUUAUCUUGUUUUUCUUAAAAUUGAUCAAGUUUAAUACAAAGUGGACACUUAAUAUGUUUGCAUGCUAAAAUAUGUUCAUGACUGUUAAGGUAAUUACUGAAACUUAUUUUUGACACUUGAUUGUUUUUUUUCUCUAAAGUCCUCAUAAAAAAGUUAUUAUUAAAAUGUCAUUUAAUGUUUCCAUGGUUAUGAGUGCAGCUUAAAAACGUGACUGAUUGAGUAAUCGGGGUAGGGUGCUUGGGUUGUCAUCCUAUUUCGCAUCAAAAGGUUGUGUGACGUGUUAGGUAAAACUCUGCUAACCGAAAUUAAUUUUUAACAUGUUGGAACCGGGGUGGGGUGAUUGACUGUUAUCUCUCUUCGCGUCAAAACGUUCGAUGUGUUCUUAAGAAAAAUUAUAAAAAAUUAAGAGUUUGCUAGGCUGAGUAACCGGGGUGGGGUGCUUGGUUGUUAUCUCUCUUCGCGUCAAAAGGUUCAGUAUAUUCCUAAAGCAUAAAAAAUAUAAAUAAUAAAUCAAAAUCAAAAUAAAUAAAAAAGAAAAAAAGAAAAAGAAAAAAAUAUAAUUUAGGGACUAAAAGAGGAAACAAAUAGUUUGUCUUGGUAGGUUUGGUAAUUUACCUAAUUUUCAUUAAAUAAUUCAAGUCGAUUCUAAUUUUUGUGUGUAUUAAUUGGAAAACUUUUUCUGUUUUACUUAAAGCAAGCUUAGGGUUCUCUUUAUUUUUCAUAUGCAUUUUUGACUGAUUUUUAUAAAACUUUGGAGUGGUAUUUCUUUUAUGGCAGAAUCUAACUUUCACAGUAGAUAGGAACCAUAUUUGAGGGCAAGCAUGGGCUAAGUAGGGGGAAUUUGAUAACACUAUAGAAUAACAUAUUUUUAUGUAUUUAUUCUGAGUAUGAUCCUACUAAUUUGAGCUAUUUAUGCUCUUUUAUCUCAUAGGGACUAAAUUUGAGGCAAAAACAAAAUUAAGGGCCAAAAGCGUGAAUUUAGAGAUAAAAUAGGUCAAUGUGCGACACAAGGAAAAGUUGGUGCCAAAAGUGCAAGCAUGGAGGACACAAGGGUUGAAAUGCAAAAAGAAGAGAUUUUAUUAUAUCAGACUCUAUUUUAAUUAUAUUAGGAUAAUUAAUAUUAAGAUAAUUAUUAACGAUUAUUUAAUUUUAGGAUUUUAUUUUAUUUAUCUUUAUUUACCUUCAAUUAAAUGUAUUUAUCUGUUGGGAGUUUAAUAGGAUUAGACAAUCUCCCCUAGCAAUAUAAAUAGGGGGUGAUGUGAUCAAAAGGGAUCCAUCUUUUUCUGAAAACACUCUCUCCCCAAAAGUCUAGGCUUUUGUUCUUCUCAUAUUUCCUUUCAAUAAAAUCUCCAUUUUUAUUAUAUUUAUUUUCUUUUCCACCACAACCAUGAGCCACUGAACCCAUCUAGCCAACAGUUGUCGAUAUUCCCCAAAAAGGGUUCUUGAGACUUAGAGUCUGUACCUAGCUUCCUCGUUGAGUAUUCAUCGUUUCUCCGCACUACAAGGCUGAAGCUUCCGUCCAUGUCCCUUAAGAAGUAAGCUUUUCAAUGUAUGCAAAGGUGACCGCUUUGUAUGUUUUGGAAAGCUUGCACAGUCGGUUCGUUAGCUUACUGCAUUAGAGGCUGGCGAGCCCAAGAGACAAAAUGGCGUGGGAUUCACCAUUGAGAAGUGUUGAUCUAGCAUAAGAUGAUCCCACAGAAGUGAUUGUUGGCUAGAGUCAGGUUCCACGAAAUCGUAAGUCUAAAUCCUUGGAGUUGGUGGUCGUAGGCGUCCUCUUCCACUAUAACUGUCUUAUUCGGUUUGAGAAGGAUCAUCUAAAAGCCAAGAAUUAAACCCAAGGCGGAACUAGACAACUGGAGCCUGGAACCUCCCACAAGAAUUUCCUUUCUCUCAACUCUAUUUUUAAUUUCUCGAAUUUUCAAUUCAAUAUUCUUAAUUCUGUUUUUAUUUUAUUUUUCAUUUCCAGAUUCAAACCUUUAAUUCUAUUUUUUUUUUGUUUUUUUCAGGAACGCAGGUUUUCUUGGGCAAGAUUUUAUCUGGGAUUUCACGGAACAAGAUAUUGUGCAAAUCCAGUCCCUGAGAAUUUGACCUUACUUCCCUUUUACUAUUCUUUUUCAUUAUUUAUUAGGGAUAGGAUAUUUUUGGUGCUUUCAACGACCGCAUCAAUUCUAGUAGAUUGGUUCACAAUGUAUGAUAUGAUAGAGCUUUGUAUCUCAAUCCCAUAGAUGCUAUAGCAUCAAGGCACAAUCGAAACUUGUCAAUCUUUGAUCCUAUUUGUGGAGUCUAAAAACUCCAUUGGCAAUAUACAAAAUAAAUUAUUUUAUUUUUUUACUAUUUUACUAUACCCCUAGAGAACACUUGUCAAUCUCUUGACGUUGCUUAUAGAGACUAAAAACUUUAUUGGUAAUGUACCAAAUAAUAUUCCAAAUAAAAAAGCAUUAACUUGAUAGUGUAAUUUUUUUAUUCCACAAGCAUUCUUAAAAAAUUAACAUUUUUUUAAUUUUUAUUUGUUUAAUAUUUCACUAUACUCCUACAGGACAUUUGUCCACCCCUGAUCAUGCUUAUAAAGUCUAAAAAUUCUAUUAAUUGUGUCUUGUUAUAAAAUAAAGAAAGAUGGAGAGAAUAAAGAACAAAGAAAAUAUGAAAGCAAUAGAGAAUGUACUUUAUUGAUCAAUUGGGAUGAUUACAAUGCUUCAUGAGAGUAUCUAUUUAUAGACAUAAGAAGUAUAAAAGAAGUAGAGAUCUAAUUCUAAUAACUAUUAGAACUUAAAGUACAUUAAAACUUUAUCUUGAUCAUGAUGGACAUCCACUUAAUAAAAUAUUCAUAACACUCCCCCUUGGAUGUCCAUUGGUAGAUAAUGUACCUCGUUAAAACCUUAUUAAGAAAAACCCUAUGGAAUAAAAACCUAAUGAAGGAAAAAGAGUACGCGAUCUAUAAUACGCAUAAUAUGCUGCCUUAUUAAAAACCAUACUAAGAAAACCCAAUUAGACAAAACCUCGGUUAAGGGAAAAAGAGUACAACGUGUAUUUACUCGCCCUCAUGAAAACAUCACAUACUUUCUGAUAUUCUACAUAUUCAAUCUUGAAUACUAUUUUUUCAAAUGACUAUUUGAAUGUAUCGCUAAUCAUUUAUAUCACCAUUCUUUUAAAAGUCAUGAGUGAGGGAAAUUUGGGGAAAUAUAUUUUGAUCUCUUCAGGAGAUUCAACAAUAAUCAUAACAAAAUUUAACCAUUUCUUUUAUAAAAACAAAAAUAGGUAUUUUGGAUCAUUUUAUAAUCCUCCUUCAACUACUAUUCACUAAGUCAAAUUUACCACAUAAAUUCAAAUUAUUUCAAUUCAUAUAAAUGAACAAUUUCUUGAGAAUUUCAAUAUGCUUCUAGUAUCCUAAAUCCUUAAAAGAUUUUAUUAUAAACUUUACUAUAUAGUGAUUCAUAAAAGGUUGUAACAAUAACCAUUAGAUGCAAGUUAAAUAUUUUAAGAAUUUUCAAUUUAAUAAUAUAUCUAAAUAUUAUUUCAUCCACCAUAAAGUAAUAUUAUAUCUUUUCAUAAUCAAUGCUAGGACUUAGUGAAAAACUUCAUAUUUUUAUUCCCUUUUUGUAUAACUACUUCAAUUGAACCCUUACUGGCUUUAUACCUUUAGAUAUUUGGACUAUUGGUCAAAAAAAUCCAGAAAUUUAAUUGUACUUGAGUUACGUCUUUCUAUUUUGAUGAAUUUAUUCCAUAUUUAUAUUUCUCAAUAAAUUUAUUCAAGAUUCUCCUUUUAUCUCAUUAUUUCAAUAGUAAUAUUGCAUGCAAAAUUGUUGUCGACCAAUUUUAUUAUUCAGUUCCACAUUUUCUCGAAUUGACGUAACUUAUCGAGAUCUCUUAUUUUCAUUAUUUUAAAAUUCAGUUUCAAAUACCUGAAUUCCUAGAGCACCCGCCUCCACUAUAUGACCAUUUAGAAGAAUUUUCAUUUUUGGAACUGAUCAAUCUAUUAUUUAUUCUAACUGACUCUCCUACUGGGACUUUGAUUCAAAUUAAAAUACUAGAUGGUAUAUAACACUUGGUUAUUCUCAUUAAGUUUGUAAAUAAUAACACUUGGUUAUUCUCAUUAAGUUUGUAAAUACAUCUAUAAUUAACUUGUAAUGAGCUAUCCUUAUUGAUUUUCUGGUUCAAAUUACUCUCCCCCUAACUCAUUACAAGUUAUUAUUUCUCUCCCCCUAAUGUCUGGAAAAGUAUCAAAUCAAAAUUGUAAUAAAAAAUCAUGUCAUAAUUGAAUCUCGAAUACAUUCAAAACAUCUAAUAAUAUAAAGAAACUUGUAAUUAAUAUAUAUUCUCAUCUUUCUUUGAGGAUUCACUCAUCUCUGUGCGUUGUGGUGGAGCAAUUGGAACAUAUACGCACAUACAGAAAUACAAAGAUGAGAAAUAUUUAGUUCUUGAUCAAAAACCAAUUAUAAUGGGGAGUAUUUAUAACUUAUUGGCUUGAUGCGUACAACACAUAAAUCAACAUAAUCUCAUGUUGAAAUAGAAAGUUUAAUUCUCAUAAGUAAUGAUUUAGACCUUAAUCAAUAGAAUUUAAUCAAUAAUUUCUCUAAACCAUUAUGCACAAACUUUUACAAAAAAAUUUCAAACUCAUGAUCAGAAAUUAAUUAUUUAAAUGAGCAAUCUUGCGAACAGGUUGCAAAUUGAUAACACAUAUGUGAUUAUUUUGUAGAUGCCUGCUGAAAUCAUAUCAUAUUAAAAUCAUCUACAUGGUGGAUGAAUGAACCCGUAUUCAUUAAAUCUCAACUUUAGCUAGUGAGUUUCUAAGAAUCAAUUUUCAUUGAGAACAAGCAAAAAUGAUAUUUUUUUAAAUUAAAGAAUCUCCUGGUUCUUUAAUGGAUGUCCAUAUGAAUUCUCAAUUAAUUUUCGCAUCAUAUAUGAUCUAGGAUGGUCUAACUAAUCAUGCCAAGUAGUAAAUGCAUUUGUAUCAGUAAACUUCUGGUUUACUUUAACAUGUGUUUCAAUUGUACUAAAUUGUAACAAAUUAAUAAUUUCAAUUGUACUUAAUUGUAAUAAACUAAUAAUUUUACUAUCAUUCCUUUUACUUUAUAUCCUCAUGAAAAUGCUAUUGUGACAUUUACUACUAAAAAUGUCUAAAUCAAUGUGAAUAUUAUAAUGUCACUAAAUCAACAAAAUAAAAUAAUUUCCAAAUAAUUAUAUGCAACAUUCGCUUCAAGGAAUAUAGCAAAAUCUUCAAAUGUAGGGAAUUUACUACAUCCACGUUAAAGAUUAUGUCUUUCAAAUUUAUUAUACAUUGCUACAUUCUCUUUAGGGAAUGGUUAGGUUUCAUGUUUAAAAACUUUUUUUCAAUCAUAAGUAAUAUUUCAAGAUAUUGCUACUGUAAGAGCACAUUUGGAUCAUGAAAAGUUGAAUAAGUUCUCUCUUGCAAGGUUCUCAGCAGUAAUAUUUUUCCACGUAAUUUUAGUUGAGAACUUAUUUUGAAUACUGUAAAGUUAUACUCACAGUUUUAAAAUUUUGCAACUUCAAGUGCAUCCAACCAUAACGAGCUUUAGAUAGAAUUACCAUAUUCUACUACUCACAUUUUUCUUUUAAAUUAUUCCAGAAUUGAUUUAGAUCUUUCACAGUCAAAUAUUUUUCUUCCAACCCCUUAAUGGGGAUGAUGACAAAAGAAGAUCACAAAGAUUAUAAAAUAAAUAUAAAUUAAUAACUCAAUCCUCUCUUUUUUAUCCUUUCAAAAUAGACAUCUGAUACCAAUUAUAGGGUAUAAAGGGAAAUGCGAAAGUCUAUUGAUUUAUUUAUUAAAGAAAAUUUUUACAAUGAGAGAAUGGUAAAAGAAAAAGAAAGAUUUCUAAACUAUAUUUCAAUGCCUUCUUUAGGCUUCCUCUUUCUCUAUUUAUAAUUGAAUUCUAAAACUCUAUUUAAUUUUCUUUGAAUCUCACACAGUUUUUUGUUAAGGAUCCUGUCUCAUCAUGAACAUGGUUUCUUCCACGUUACAUUGUCUUGUCAAGUCAUUGAUUUAAUGGUUGCUUCCACUUCAUUGUCUUGUCACAUUAUUGAUUUAAUGUUUGUUUCCACAUUGCAAUCUCUUUUGUUUGCAUCUGGAUGCCUUCUUUUUCAAGUUGUUUCUUGAGUACUUUCUUUCCACUUGUCUGCAUGUUUUCACUUUAUCCCUAUUGGAUAUUAUCUAGAUUCAUUUCUUGUAUGUCAUCUAGAUGUAAUGAAUGUAAUUAAAGUUUUGGUGAUGAAUUCCAAGUCUCCCACAUGCUUUUGAUUUCUUCUAUAAUAUGAUAUAGAAAAUCUUCAAUCUCUAUUUUGACUAUCUUUUUUAAUAAUCUUAUAGAUUCUUCAUCUCUAUUCUUCUAGAUGUUUCUAGUGUCAUAUGCCAAUAUUCUUCUUCCAUCACUCCAAAUUUUAUAAAUUUCUUGCUGAAGCAAAUAAAUUUCUUGAGAGGUUUAUUUACAAAGUUGGUUAACAAGACUAUUACAUAUUGCGAUAGUCAAUGUGUCAUACAUCUCACCAAAGAUCAGAUGCAUCACAAUAGAACAAAGCAUAUAGACAUUUGUAUCAUUUUGUUCAGGAAGUGGUUGCUCAAGGAGAUGUUUAGAUUUACAAAAUCAAUAGAGAAAACAACCCAGUUGAUAUGAUGAUAAAAAUUCUUCCAAUUUUCAAGUUAUAAAAUGCUUGAACUUGGUAAGCAUCUGACAAAGAUCAAGUUAGGCCCAUAACAGGGUUCAAAAAAGAAAGCUUUUUCAAAAAUAUGAGUCAAGGUGGAGAUUUGUGGGGUUUGCCUCGCAUUUCGUCUGAAACAGAGUCUAUGUCGUGAUAAGGAAUAGCCAAUGUCCUACCGGAGCAACAAAUGAUGUCCCGAUGAGAAGAACCCGUCGUCUCGAAGAUGCGACAUGUAACGUCCUGAUGAACCAAUAGCAACAUCACGACAUGGCGACAUGUUCCCUACUAAAUCGGAUUUCUUUUCCUAAUUAAACUCUGAUAUCUUUUCUAGUCGAACUCUAAUAACUCUAGGGAUAUUCUAAUCAAGUUGGCCACAAAUUUUAACCUAUAAAUAGGGCUUUUAAAACACUAGAGAGAUUGAUUCAACAACAAAAGUAAGAGAGAGUUUUUGUGGGAAUUUUUGGAGAACUUUGUAUUUUUUUGGUUCAGGCUUUUUCUUUUCUCCAUCUUGUACUGCUCUUCGGUAAUUUGCCUGUUUAGUGAAGUGUUCUUUGCCCAUGGUGUUUAAUCCUCUUCGAUGGGGGUUUUCCACGUAAAUAUUUGUGUGUAAUUUUCUCAUUUUUUGUUCUUGUUCAUUGCACAAUGUAGGUUUAACCCAACAUGAAUCUUGAUUAUGACAUGGUGGAAGAAGUGCUGGGAAUUGAUUUGAGAGUUUUACAUAUGUAUUGAAAUAUUGACAAGUUUAAAUUGCAGGUGGGUUUGAAUGAAACUAGAGGAGGUGCUAUCGAAAUUUUUGUUAAAAAUAAAAAUUCUAUAUUCUUAAAUUGAUUAAAAAGAAUUAAGUUUGAGUUUCUUCGACAACGGAUUGUGACAUUCUAUAUUUGAAUCUACCAACUAGAUCGAUUGUAGGGUGUCACAAAAGUAAAAACUUUUGAAGAUAUUGAAGAUGCACUUUAGUCAAAAGUAACUAUAAAAAAAUUUGAAAAAGAAAAGAAACAUCAAAACGAGGAGGGGGCAAGCUCAUUGAAUUAUUAGCAAAUUGAGAUGAUCAAGUAAAUAAUCAAUGAACUGAUAAAUCUUGAAACCAGGGAUAGUACUGGGGUAAAUAAUUAAUAUAUAACAAUAUUUAAUUAAUUUAUAAUAAGGUUUUGUUUGUAAAAAAAUCAUAUACAUUAUUUAAAUUACAACUCAUCAAAAUUACAUUUAUAAUUAAUUUAAUAAUUUUAAAUGUAAAUAGUUUAUUUUUAUUAUUUAUUAUGAAAUUAUAUUUUUCUAUAAUUAAACCUUUUUUAAACAUUUUUAUUUACAAUUAAUUAUUUUAGUUAGUCAAUAAAUUAUGAACGAAUCUUAUAUAUUAUAAAUGUAACACCCUUAGCUCAACCUGAUCGCCGGGUCCAAGCUUCGAAAUGCUACAGCCAUUGCAGGAACAACAACGAAUAGUUAACAUCCAUAUUAAAACAUAAAUCAUACAGUCAUAAUCAUUUCAAAACAUAAUCACUUUAUAAGAUCUUUCUCAAGUCUUAUACUAGCAUAAUUAUGCUUUAAAGUUAACCUGGAAUCAAAUUAGGACCAAAAUUUAACAUUGUCAAAAUUCCAACGUGACAUUGCAAUGUGAGGGGGUUCCUCAUUGCAACCUAACAUAAUAACUUGGGCCUCGUUGUGGCGAUAAGGUUCAUCAUCACGCUGUGCCUAAAACCCAAGUCUCAUCGCGAUGGCCUAUGCCCACGUCACGACGUGGACUCUUUUCUUGGCACAAAAUAGGCCUUUUGGUGCUUAAUCCGAAUCAACUACACCAUUAAGACAUUUAGUGCAUUAUUGCACCUUUGUACCUGCACAAAACCAACCAAAAUACAUACCAAUACAUCCAUUUAACCAUUUCACACAAUCAAACAAUACCUCAAUUUGGCAACAAAACAUAUUCAACAACUUGUUUAAAACACAAAUUAGCAUUCAUGCCCUCAAGCCAUUCAAAACAACAUUCAAUCAUGCCAUUUCCAUGUUAAACUCAUACUAUUUGUACAUUCAAAUAAACCAUUCAAACCCUAUACAUAUGGUCCAAACACAUGACCAAAAUCAUGCCUUGAUAUAAGUGUAAGCAUUAACAUCUCAUGAUUUAUAUACUAUCCCAAAUUCAAAUGAAACAUAUAGUUUCAAUCUAACACACUUAUAGCACCCAUGUACAUUCUUACAAUAAUGAGUUACAAAAUUAACAAAAGGCUACCGAGUUGAUAGAGGGAUGGUGUGAGCUUUGUGAAGUCCAAUCAAUAAGUUCCGCAAACCAACUAUCUACAGAGAAAGAAAAACAACUAGAUAAACCUUUCUAAUGCUUAGUAAGUUCGAAGGUAAGAAAAUGGUAAACUUAUCUCGAUUUAUAAAAUAACAUAUCAAACUAAAUAAUUUGGUAAAGAUGACCUAACAUAACAAAUCACAAUAAUAAGGUCAGCUUAAAUACCAAAAUCCAUCACAUAUGUACCAUUUUAUAAUAUAUAUAUAUAUCAAUACCUAGCAUUUGAGUGAUUAUACAAGAAUACUAAAACUUAAUAUUCAAUUCAUACAGUAAUACACGUUUAAUUGUCAAUUAGAUUUCAAAUCAUUUAUAUUUCCCAUUACUUAUUUCCCAUAUUACUUGAUGAAACUCAAUAAACAAGCUCAAAUACAUAGGUACAAAUCACAUCGGAGGCUCAUUUGAGCUAAACAUAUAAUCGUGUCAGGUUACCAGUUCGGGCUAAAUCUUUAUAUCGACAUAUCAGAGAGCUUGGCCAGAGCUAUAUAUAUCGAUACGGGAUUCAAGAGGAAUAAGCGGAUCAGGAUUGAAUUCAAGUUGUUUAACUCAAGAAGGAAAGAUUUGGAUAUAGUCUGAAAAGAAAAAAUAAACAUAUUUAGUAAUAAAGAAAUCGAAAAUAGUAAAGAAGAAAUUUGAGAAUAAAAAAAAUAAAAAGCAUAAAUAAAUAAGAAAUAGAAAUUAAAAAAAGAACAAAGUGGAAGAUGGACGAGUAAAUCGAUGGAUAUGAUGGAUAGAAGGAUAAACGUCCAAUUGAACCCUUUGAGAUAUAAAUCCCAAUAAACUCAAUUAAUGGCUCUAAUCAACCCUCUAAGAAUUAAUCCUUGAAGAAUGAAUUGAAGGAUGAAGAAUGAAUUCCCACGACUUCUUCAAGAAAAUCAAGAAUAAAACUACUUCUAAAAAUCACAAGAAAGAAAUCUUGCAUAAAAAAAAAUCUCAGAGUUGAAAUCUUUAUUAAUGAAAACAAUUGUCUCCUUAAUAAAAAAUGAAGAAGCCUUUAUAUAAUCUAGCUAAGUACAUCCAAAUAAAACUCUAAAGUAUACUGAAACUCUAAUUAAUCUAAAGAAAAAGUAGUUUUAAACAAAACUUUCUUAUUAACAUAAAACUCCUAAAUAACUUAAAAUACUUAAUAGUUAUAAAAAAAUUGUAAUAAUCAAAUAAUAAGAGAUGAUAAAUACAAUAUUGGACUCAUAUAUAAUAAAAAUUAAGCAAAAAAUCCGAACCAAAUAUGAUUUAAACUUGAGUUAAAAGCACAAAACUCAUAAUUCCCGUCAUAAUCCUGUCCAAAAAUUCUACUCCUGCAGUCUUCACUAAAAUGGUCAUAAUUUGAGCUCCCAGACUCGAAAUCGAGUGAUUCAAAGUGUGUUUUGAAGCUAAGAGAUAGAACUUCAAACGCCAUGAAAUCUCAACCUGAAAAUGCCUAGAUCCCAUUCAAAAAGUCGAUGCAAGUAUGCUAAUUUCCAAAACUUAAAAAUUGACAGUUUGGGUGAAUGGAAUUUAAUAAAUUUCUCCCCAUCCGUGCAUGUAUCACAUAUACAUAUCAGGUUAUUCGUUUGAGCUAAACCUUUAAAACAAAAUCAGGUUACCAAUCCAAGCUAAACUUGUGUCACAUGUAUCUUCAAGUCCGCAACAAAUGUUGGAUUCUUGAAAUUAUCUGAAAUCAACCUGUAACCAUGUGUAUGAUACAUUUACAAAGUUUCAUCAAUGUAAUUUGCAUCAUGCAAGUUUAUAUUUAUUCUUUUUUUUUUCAAUUUAGUCCAAAUCUCACACUUUAGUACUAAAUUACAAAUAAUUCAAAGUUUAAUAAAACAUACAUGUAUUCACAAUAUUGCAUACAUAAAGGGUUUAAACAUAAUUGCACCAUAUGAACUUACUUGGAAAAAUGACAGUAAACACAAUAUCGAGGACUAUUCUGUAAUUUUCUCUUUCCCACAACUAUCCUCCGACUGGUUGAAAUCUCGAUCUAUAUCAUAAUUUAAUUCAAAUAUCAAUUCCAAACUUCAUUUAACAACCUACUAUAACUAUGUAUCAAUUCAAUUUCAUCUAUCCAUGUUUUUUAUUUUAUUUAGUUUAGUCCCUAAAAUUAGAAUUGUCAUAACUUUCAAAUUAGAGCCUCGAUUUUGAAACUCAAUCUCGAUUUCAUCUUUCUACAGUCCUAUACUAUCUAUAUUUACAAAAAAAAAAUUCAUGUUAAUUUCAAAAUAUUCACCCUUUAGUCCUUAUGUUCAAAACUAACAAUUUUCACGUUACAAACUAGUCUUUUGUUUCAUAUCUAAGCUUAGAAUCUAACAAUUUAACACCAAAAGUUUCAAGAUUCAACAAUAGAAACUUUUAAAAACUUUACAUUUUUGCAAAUUGGUACACAGGUAGCUCCCAAAACCUCAAAAACAUAAAAACUACAAUAAAAUGACUAAAUUAAGCUUACCAAUCAAGGAUCGAAAGUCUUUUAAAGCCAAACCCUAUCUCGCUCGUUUUCAUGAGAAAGAAGAUGAUGAAUGAAGAAUAAUAAAAAUUUUAGCUUUUGUUUAAUUAAUUUUAAUAUAUAACAUAAUUUAAUUAAAAAUUUUAACAUAUAUUCACUUAAAAGAAAACAUCAACCAUCCACCACUAUUUAAAAAUGGCCUAAUUGUCACUUUCAACCGUGGUUCAAUAUUAUGUAGCCUUUUUAUUAAUAAAAAUCAAUAGUGAUUAAUUUUUACCGCUUUAUAAUUUAGUAUUUGUACCUAAUUAGUCACCAAAUCGGUGAAAUUACCUAUCCAAAAUUCAAUUCACUUAUACAAUAACUCCAUAAAUAUUUAAUAAAAAUAUUUAAGGGUUCGAUUUACAGAAAUGAGGUCCCAAUACCUCAUUUUUCAACACCACUGAUUUAAGGGUUGGAACACUUGUACUUUAACUAACUAUUCAAUUAACAAAUUUUUCAAACCAAAAUUUAAUAUAAUAUUAUAAUCUUGAUCAUCAGAGAACGGGGUUCUAAAACCACCAUUUCCAGCACCACUAAAAAAUAGAUUCCUACAAUAAACAGCAAUUAAAUUAUUAUUUUUGUAUGUAUAGUUAUUAUUAUGUCAAAUUUUUAUUUUAAACUUAUGGUCAAUUAAUUAUUUAGAUUUAAAAUAUCCUUCAAAUGAUAGCAUUUUUUACUUUGGCAUAAUGAUAAAAAAUUAACCCCUAAAAGUUACUGCUUUUGUCACUUUUGUUUUUAUUCUUUUUCUUUUUUUGAUCACUUUGGCCCGUAGCGUUCAAAUUUUAGUCAAACUGCAUUUCUUUAGGUGAAAAAAUUAGUUGAACUAUUAAAAUUUUAAUGGUAUCAACAUGACAAUUUGCAUGUUCUUCAUAAAAAUUUAAAAAAUUAUUAAAAUUAUUAAAAUUUUGAUAAAGUUUAAAAAAUUCAGUAAUUUAUACUCUAAAAAGAAGUACAAGUAAACUAUUAUGUAGGGUACAACAUUAGUAUCAUUAAAAUUUUGAUAGUUCAACCAGUUUUCCAUCCACAAAAAAUAAUUUGACUAAAGAUUGAAGGUUGAUGACCAAGGUGAUCCAAAAAAAUAAGGUUAAAGUAACAAAAUGGAUACACAUUAGGGGUUAAAUUUAUCAUUAUGCCUUAAACUUUUUAAAAUAAAGAUAAAAUUAUUUUAGUAUGUAGUGAUUUAAAAUUUUAUAAAUUAUAUGAAUUCUUUUAUGUGUUUUACCAUAAAAUUAUUUUAUAUUAUUAAAUAUUGCUAAUAAUAAAUAUAUUAUAUAAUAUACACAGUAAUAUCUUUCACCUGCAACAUACGUGAGUUAAAACUACUUCCAAUUUUCGCAAAAAUGAGACAUGUCCAAAGCAAUUCAAUUAUUUAAUCAUUUGAAACUUGAGUCUUCACCCACUUUGAGACAUUUUGAGGAAACAAAUUAGUUAUAGAAAUAAUUAUAAAAUGCAUAAAUAAAAUAAAACAAGAUGUCAAGAAAUAAAUUGAAACAACGCAUAUAGAUUAAGCUCCAUCUAUUGUAAUUUAACACUAUAUUACUCUCGAAACUAGGAAAUUUAGAAGCAAACUAUUUAAAAUCAUACACCAUCGAGCUGCUUUAGGUUCAAAUGAUAAUCUGAUUACAUGCUUAGCGAGCACCUUCUUCAAGUUCAAAUGUGAUUUUGUUAUUUAUGCUAUCAUACCCCAUCCCUAUCCAGCUGCUUGUUACACCAUCAUCGUAAGUGCUGGGAAACUUACCAAGCAAGUAUUCGGAUUCUUCGCUUACUAAAUUACUUUUACUCCAAGGAUGUUUAGCCAUUGCUUGCAGUCCUGCUAAUUCAUGGGCAACUUCCUUCAUUGUUGGCCUUUCCUCUCCCUUCACUCUCACACAUCUCCUAGCUAAAGUUGCUACUUCCAUAAGCUGCUCAACAUUUUCAUCAUUAAGCACUCGAGGAUCGAGAAUGUCGAGCAAACGGUCUUCUUUCAUCAAAGAAGUGAAGUACAUUGGCAAAACUCGAUUUUCCGGUCUUUUGAAACAUACCACUUUUUGUCCUGUUAACAACUCCAUAAGCACAACCCCGAAGCUGUAGACAUCACUUUUUUCAGUAAGAAGGCUUGAAAGCAUGUAUUCAGGAUCCAAGUAACCGAAAGUUCCUUGCACAAUUGUAGUUAUUUGUGCUUGGUCAGAUGGGAUCAAUCUGGAAGCCCAAAAUCAGAAACUUUUGCGGUGUAAUUGUCAUCUAACAGUAUGUUCGCCAACUUGUUGUCUCGGUGAAUGAUUGGAAUGGAAGCUGCAGAGUGCAAAUAAGAAAGGGCUUCUGCUGUUUCAGUGACUAUUCUCAAACAGGUCUCCCAUGAAAGAUAAGAGGUAGCAUCAUCAUUAUGCAAAUGGUGAAAAUGGGUUCUGUUGGUGAUAUAUUCAUAAACUAACAGCGGAACUUGGGUCUCCAAACAACAUCCUAGGAGUUCGACAACAUUCCUAUGGUUGAUUUGGUAGAGCACCAUUAUUUCAUUGAUGAAUUGUUCAACUUGGCUAGGAUCUCCAAUUAUUGACUUUUUGAUGGCAACUAUUUGAUUAUCAGCCAAUGUUCCCUUGUACACUGUCCCUUGCCCUCCCUGUCCUAAAAUUCUGCGUUCAUUGUAAUUGUUUGUUGCCUUCUCGAGUUCCUCAGUUGUAAAUACUUUAACAUCUUCACGGUACCCUUGUUUUGAAAGUUGUUCCCGCAACAAAAUGCCACCAUUUUGCUAAAAGUAAGGUUCUUUUAAUUUUCACCAAAUUAAAGUUCAUGUAUACAAUUGUACAUGAAACCAAAGUUCAUGUAUAAUUUUGAGAUUUAUCUCUUUUUGAUUUUAAUGAUUUAUAUUUCUCAUCAGCUCACUGGAGUUGACAACUAUAAUAUUUGCAGUCGUGCGAUGCGAAUUGCGUUGAUUGCCAAAAAUAAAUUGGGUUUCAUUAAUGGUACUUGUUCCAAAGAUUUAUUGGCAGAAGAUUUGUACUCAUAGUGGGAGCGAUGCAAAGCUAUCGUGUUAUCUUGGAUAUUGUACACGGUAAGCAAAGAGCUCUCUACAGGUAUCGUUUUUGCUUCAAGUGCAACAGCAGUUUGGCAGGAUCUUAGCAAGCGAUUUAACAAGACUAAUGGUUCAAGAGUCUACUUCUUGCAUUGAGAAAUUUCUUCUCAUCUUCAAGGAAUUUCUUUGAUUUCAACCUAUUUCACAAAGCUUAGGUUGUGAUGGGAAGAGUAUGAUUCCCUAGUUCUCGUUUCUUCUUGUGGUUGUGUGCAAACUAAACAGGUUAUUGAUCACAUUGCGCAGCAGCGUUUGUUUCAAUUUUUGAUGGGUUCAAAUGAAACUGAUAGUGUUGUUUGGAGUCAAAUUUUAUUGAUGAGCCCCUUGCCUAUGGUCAAUCAAACAUAUUCCAUGCUCGUGCAAGAAGAGUCACAAAGGCAGCAUGUAUCAGGUCUAGUUGUUGCUGAUCCUACCUCUUUAUAUUCAGCAAAUGUCAAUCCAUACAUAAAUCGAUUUAAUGGUGUGUGUGAUCAUUGUAAAGUUUAGGGCCAUAAGAGAGAAAAUUGUUAUAGACUAAUUGGAUAUCCACUUGAUUUCAAGUUCACUAAUAAGCGUUUUAUGUCCGGGGCUAGUGCAAACAACGUGGUAGCAAACGAAGGGACAGUGGUUGAUAGCAGUGUGCCCAACAGCAACAUUCGAAGCUCUCUUGGUGUGUUUCAAUCUCUUGGGUUCACACAGGAACAAUAUUAGAAAAUAUUAAGCUUGUUGAACAAAGAAUCUUUGGUCGAGACGACUACAAAUAUGGCAAUUGGGGCAAAUUUAGCAGGUAUGAGUACAUCUUGUGAAUGGAUUUUAGAUACUGGUGCUCCUAAUCACAUGCUUUCUAGCUUCCAACACCUUGAAUUUCCUAUUGCAUGCACUUCUAAUUCACCAAGUGUUCGUUUACCAAAUGACUCCUCCACACCCAUAACACAUACAGGAUCGUAUACCCUCUAUCUCGGUGCCACUCUUAAAAAUGUGUUAUAUAUACCUGAUUUUCAAUACAAUCUCGUUUUUGUUUCAAAACUUACCAAGGAUUUGCAUUGUUUUGUUACAUUUUACUCACACUUUUGUAUUUUCCAAGACCUCUCAAGUGGCAUGAUGAAGGGGAUUGGUAGGGAACAUGGCGGCCUCUAUAUUCUUCAUUCUUCCCUAGCUAUAGUAUCUUCAACUCAUGUACCUUCUUCAACAGCUAAUUCUUUUCAUACAACUCUCGGUAGUUCUUUUAUCUGGUAUGUGCGACUCGGCCAUGCUCCUUUGUCAAGGUAUUUAGUUCGAUGCUUAAUUUUGUAGCGUGUAUUUCCAGAGUUUUUUUAAGUUUUGAAAACCAAAUUCUAAUUUGUCAAAUUCAAAUAAUUUUGCAGUUUACAUUAAGAACACCCAAAAAUUGACGAAUCAAACAAAACCCAAAAGCAAAAACAAAUCCGAAAACUUAGUCCAAAAAUCUUAAUUUCUCAACCAAAACAAACCAUUUUAUGUGAAAACCAAUCUGAACUCCUGCACGCCGUCCGGUCCUAAGCCUGACGAUCAUUUGAAACAUACUAAACAAACGAGUAAGCUAGAUUGUUGCAUAUUGUGACUCGGAUUGGGGAACAUAUCUGAUGACUAGAAAGUCGAUUACAGGGUACUGCAUCAAACUAAGAGAUCCGCUCAUUUCGUGGAAGUCCAAGAAGCAAAACACAAUCUCUCGGUCAUCUACGGCAGCAGAAUAUCGAAGCAUGGCAUUGACAGUUGCAGAUAUAAUUUGGUGAAGUGGUCUGUUGGGAGAAGUUAGUCUCGACAAAUUGGAACCAACAAAAUUGUUUUAUGAUAGUUGUUGCGGAAAGGAUCGAUUCGAGAACUCCGAUAUGACUACAAGUAAAUUGACCGAAACGAAAAAUAAAGUGAACACAAGGAUUUACGUGGUUCGGCUUUAAUGCCUACGUCCACGGGCAGAGGCGAAAAGAAAUUUCACUAUAACAAGAUGAAGAUUACAAGUGUUUUACACUCAAGACACAACCCGAGAACCUCACAACUCUCAACCCCUAUAGAAAACCCGAAAGCUAAAAUCCUAGCUUUCAAAGAACAAGCUUUGCUCUCUCUUGGUUUGGGAUGAUCAAUAUGGCUAAUGAACCUCUCUAUUUAUAAGAGAGUUCAAGGACAUAAUUGUCCAAAACUUUGGCAAAGAUUUGUGGUUGAAAAUGGACACCAACAACCAUCCACUAAUCCACUACCACCAACAACCCACUACCAACAACAACAAUCCACUACCAAUUUUAAGCCAUUUCUUAACAAAUCUCCACCUUGGCUUGAAAUUUACCAAGCUGAACAUCAUAGUGAACUGGAUCACCUCUUCCAAACGCCUCUCUGGCGCUAAUCAAUCCCGAAUACCUAUCAAGUCCAAGCAAUGCUUGAACUUAUAUGCAGGGAUCACCUUAGUUAACAUAUCUGUAGGAUUCUUCUCGGUAGCAACCUUGCUGAUAACAAUGUCACCUUGCGUAACAUGUUCCCGAACAAAAUGAUAUCUGACAUCAAUGUGUUUGGUCCGUUCAUGAAACAUCUGAUUUUUAGUCAGAUGUAUGGCACUCUGGCUAUCGCAAAAUACAACAGUGAAAUCCUGUUGUAAACCCAAACUGCUUACUAGACCUUUCAUCCACAAUGCUUCUUUCACUGCUUCUGCUAACGCCAUAUAUUCCGCCUCAGUCGUAGAUAAGGCUACGGUAGACUGUAACACAGCUUUCCAACUAAUGGCUCCUCCAGAAUAAGUGAAAACAUAACCCGUCAGAGAUCUUCUUUUGUCCAGAUCUCCAGCAUAAUCAGAGUCCGCAUAGCCCGUGACACUGCUAGUGCAGUCACUCUGAUCAUAUACCAAGCAUAAAUCUGCAGAACCUCUCAAGUACCUGAGAAUCCAUUUCACGGCCUGCCAGUGUUCCUUGCCAGGACAACUCAUGUAUCUGCUGACCACACUAACUGCAUGUGAAAUGUCUGGACGAGUGCAAACCAUUGCAUACAUCACGCUUCCAACUGCACUCGAGUAUGGAAUGUGAGACAUUUGCUGCUUUUCUUCCUCAGAUUGUGGUGACAACUCUGCAGAGAGUUUGAAAUGUGGUGCCAACGGAGUACUCACAGUUUUCGCUUUAUCCAUGCCGAAGCGUUGAAGAACCUUUUCAAUGUAGUUCUUCUGCGACACACGAAGCUUGCCCGCCUUGCGAUCUCUGUGAAUAUCCAUGCCCAAAAUUUUCUUGGCAGCACCCAGAUCCUUCAUCUCGAACUCACCACUCAACUGCGACUUUAACUUGUUGAUUUCCGACAUGUUUUUGGAAGCAAUUAACAUGUCAUCAACAUACAGCAACAAAUAAAUGUGCGAACCAUCUGAGAGCUUCCGAUGAUAGACACAAGCAUCAUAGUCACAUCUUGUGUAACCAUGCUGAAUCAUGAAGCUAUCAAACCGCUUGUACCACUGCCUUGGGGAUUGUUUCAAUCCAUAUAAAGACUUCUUUAAUAGACAGACAUGGUCUUCUUUACCAGGAACUGUAAAACCCUCUGGUUGACGCAUGUAGAUUGUUUCCUCGAGCUCACCAUGCAAGAACGCCGUUUUUACGUCAAGCUGCUCAAGUUCUAGAUCAGACUUGGCCACCAUGGCAAGUAAUAUACGAAUGGAAGAAUGCUUUACGACUGGGGAGAAAACUUCAUUGUAGUCAAUCCCCUCUUUCUGAGUGAAGCCUUUAGCAACCAAUCGUGCCUUGAAUCUAGUUGCUUCAACCCCUAGGAUGCCUUCCUUUUUCUUGAAGACCCAUUUGCAACCAACUAUCUUCUGGUUACUUGGCGGCUUAACCAACUCCCAAGUAUGGUUCUUGUGAAGAGAUUCUAUCUCCUCACUCAUAGCAAUUGCCCACUGUGCCGACUCAUCACACGUGACAGCCUCAUUAUAACUGGAAGGUUCUAUACCAAUGGACUCCGCCACACUGAGCGCGAAAGACACCAGAUUAGCGUAACGCGGAUUUGGUUUGAUUUGUCUCUUCGUUCUUCCAGUGGCAAUGCUAUAUGGUUUUUCUUGAGGUGACUCAUCUUCAUCGGAAUCUUGCACCUCAACUUGAUCAUCCUGGACUGAAGUACCUUCCGUAGGAAUUGGAGCGUCCACCUGACACUCCACCUGCUUCUCAACACCGUGAUCUCCCAUUCUAUCUGACUCCUCCUUUUCCCGGGAAUUUGUGGUGGAUCGAAGCAUGGAUGACUCAUCAAAAGUCACAUCUCUGCUGAUGAUGAACUUGGACGAAACCGGAUCAGGACACCACAACCUGUAUCCUUUCACCCCUUGGCCGUAUCCAAGAAAUAUGCAUUUCUUCGCCCUCGGUUUGAGUUUUCCCUCAUUUACAUGAGCAUACGCAGGGCAGCCAAACACUCUUAAACCAGAGUAAUCAGCAGGAGAACCAGACCAUACUUCCUCAGGAGUCUUCAGCUCAAUAGCUGUUGACGGAGAUCUGUUAACCAAAUAACAAGCAGUAUUAACAGCUUCAGCCCAAAAUUCUUCACCGAGCCCAGCAUUUGAUCGCAUGCAACGAGCUCGCUCCAAGAGAGUUCUAUUCAUGCGUUCUGCAACUCCAUUUUGUUGUGGUGUUCGACGAACAGUGCGGUGUCUCACUAUUCCUUCAUUCUUGCAGAACUCAUUGAAUUCACCUGAGCAAAACUCCAAGCCAUUAUCCGUCCGGAAUCGCUUGAUCUUCUUUCCUGUUUGAUUUUCGAUCAAAGCUUUAAAUUGCUUGAAGUUGAUGAGAACCUCAUACUUGCUCUUCAGAAAAUACACCCAAACCUUUCUCGAGUAAUCAUCGAUAAAGGUAAGCAGAUAUCUGUAACCACCUUUAGAAAUUGUCGGAGAAGGCCCCCAAAGGUCAGAAUGGAAGUAAUCCACUGUGCCUUUUGUCUUGUGAAUCCCAGUGCUGAACUUUACCCGAGUCUGCUUACCGAAGACGCAGUGCUCACAGAAAUUCAACUUUCCUGUACACUGCCCAGACAAUAAUCCUCGUUUGCUUAGCACCGAUAAGCCUCUCUCGCUCAUAUGCCCGAGCCGCAUAUGCCAUAACUUCGUGGUGUCAGAAUCUAGAUCAUCUGAUGAUGACACUCCCGCAACACCUGUAACCGAGGAACCAUCGAGGAAGUAAAGGCCCCGCUCCAAAUUACCACGUAUCACAGUCAAAGCACCCGAGAAUACCUUGAGAACUCCACCUUCAGCAGAGUACCGAAAGCCUUUCUUGUCCAACGUACUCAAAGAGAUCAAAUUUUUCUUCAUUUCUGGAAUGUGCCGAACAUCAGUUAGAGUUCUAACAAUACCGUCAAACAUCUUUAUACAAACUGUGCCAAUCCCCAUGACUUGACAUGCGUGGUCAUUUCCCAUUAGUACUGAACCAGAAUGCUUCUCGUAUGUUGAGAAUGCAUCUUUCGAAGUACUUAUAUGAAAUGUAGCUCCCGUAUCAAGAAUCCAUCUCCCACCAGCGUAAGAGUCGGAUACUGCAAGAACGAUCUCGGCAUCACUUGAAGAAUCUGCAUCAGCUACAUUCGCACGAUCAUUUUGUUGCUCCUGUGAUUCUGAUUUCUCCUUCCUUUUCGGACAAUCUACCUUCAUGUGCCCGUACUUCUUACAGUAGUAGCACUGUAUUCUCUUCUUGGACUGCGAUCUAGGAUGGCUUUUACUUGAACUUCCACCCUUUGCCUUGGAUCUUCCUCGAGCAACCAAGCCUUCGCCUUCAUUGUUUUCGACCACCUUACCAGUGAUUUUCUUCCUCAACUCACUGGAACUUAAGGCAUUUUUCACCUCCUCUAGAGUCAGGUCAUCACGACCGUACAUCAUUGUAUCAACAAAAUUCUCAUACGAGGGAGGCAAAGAACACAAAACAAUUAUUGCUUGGUCCUCAUCAUCGAUUUUGUUAUCGAUAUUAUUCAAAUCCAUGAUAAUGGAAUUGAAUUUAUCCAGGUGCUGGGAAACAGGUGUACCUUCCUCCAUCUUCAGGGCAUAGAGUCUUUGCUUGAGGUAGAGCCGGUUCGUCAAUGACUUCGUCAUGUACUUGCUUUCUAACCGGAGCCACAAACCGGACGCGGUUUUCUCAUCCGCUACUUCUCGUAGCACUUCAUCUCCUAGACAUAGCAGAAUAGCACUAUGUGCUCUUUCUAGCAUGUCAUCCUUUUGCUCUUCCGAAAGCGUGCUUGGUAAUUUAUCUUUACCAGACAAUGCUUUUAGCAAUCCUUGUUGAACCAGCACUGCCCGCAUCUUGAUGCGCCAUAAACUGAAACUAUUUUUCCCGGUAAAUUUCUCGACAUCAUACUUAGUCGAUGAAACACUUGUAGCCAUAAUUUGGAACCUUUGAAUGAAUGAUAAUAUUUUCUUCCUGAUGUGAAAGAUCAGACAAAGCUGCAGUCACAGGGCAAUUCAGAAAAUAUUAUCACUCCUUCAACUACGCUCUGAUACCAAUUUGUUGCGGAAAGGAUCGAUUCGAGAACUCCGAUAUGACUACAAGUAAAUUGACCGAAACGAAAAAUAAAGUGAACACAAGGAUUUACGUGGUUCGGCUUUAAUGCCUACGUCCACGGGCAGAGGCGAAAAGAAAUUUCACUAUAACAAGAUGAAGAUUACAAGUGUUUUACACUCAAGACACAACCCGAGAACCUCACAACUCUCAACCCCUAUAGAAAACCCGAAAGCUAAAAUCCUAGCUUUCAAAGAACAAGCUUUGCUCUCUCUUGGUUUGGGAUGAUCAAUAUGGCUAAUGAACCUCUCUAUUUAUAAGAGAGUUCAAGGACAUAAUUGUCCAAAACUUUGGCAAAGAUUUGUGGUUGAAAAUGGACACCAACAACCAUCCACUAAUCCACUACCACCAACAACCCACUACCAACAACAACAAUCCACUACCAAUUUUAAGCCAUUUCUUAACAAUAGUCAAGUAGCCCUUCAGAGAGUAGCCAAUGUAUUCCAUGAACAAACUAAGCACAUAAAAACUGAUUGUCACUUUGUUCGGGAGAAAAUCAAAGGGGGGUUGGUUAAAACACAACACAUAUGCAUCAGUGAGCAAAUAGCAGGCUUAAUGACAAAGGCCCUCGGUGUGCAUCAGCAUGAGUAUUUGCUGUCCAAGUUGGGAGUCAAAGAUCUUUAUCACCCUCCAACUUGAGGGGAAGUGUUAAAGAUACUGGUAAUUGGGUGAAUAAUAGAAAAAUCUUUGUAGUAGUUAGAUUAGUUACUAGUUAAUAGUUAGUUGAACAUAUGCUAUAAAACAUCUUACUAUUGUAAUUUAAGAAUGAAGCAGUAUACUUUUCAUUCAGAUACAAUACUGGUCUAACUUGUAGUUCAUCAUUGUUGGACAUCUCCGACACUUUCAAUAUAUAUAUUUGUAAUUAUAUUCAAUUUUUUUAAAAAGAAAAACUGGUAUUGGAUAUUUGGUUUGCCAAAGUAAGAAUAUACUAUCAAGUUAUUUUGCUGGUAUUUUGUAAGGCUUAGCAAUCAAAUAUAGUAGCUUACUAAUAAAACCCGUUGAAAUCAUUAAACUGGAAUUUGGAACUCAUGCAAGCUUUGGAUAGCAAAUGAAAAAAAUUACCUCUAAUCUCAUUAAUGCAUGAAACAGGAUAAUGUUGAUGAUUAAUUUAACAACUAGGAUUUAUUUUAUUAUGAACGUCUUCCACGUAGUUUUUUAAUUUUUAUUUAAUUACUUAUAAUUUUACUUAAUUGUCGGUAUCACAGAUAAAGAAAUAUCAAUUUAAUUUGAGAAUUUUAUUUAGAAUUCGAAUGGAUUUUUUAUUUGGUAAAUAAAUUUUAAAAGAAAAUUUAAAAAAGAAAAACUAACAACCGAAAAUUCCAUCCAACCAAAUUGAAGAAUUUUAAUUCAAUUAAUUUGAUUUUAACAAUAAAUUAAUUGGAUUAAUAAGUUUUAAUGACUUAUUCAAUUUAGAUUUUUGAAAGAAUUUAUUAAAUUAUUUAUAUAUAAAAAAGGAAUUGACGAACCCACCCAAUAUACGCUUUCAAGUUUCACUCUCCCUUUCAUCUAGAGUUCACAGUUCUAGAGGUGCUCAUGGGCCGGGCCGAGUCCAGAAAAUUUUUUUGGCCCGUGUCCUAGGCCCAGGCCCGGUCCAAGAAAAAUUCCUAAGCCUAAGCCCGGCCUGACCCGACCCGACCUAUAUUUUAAUAAACACCAAUUUCUUUUAAAAAAUAAAAAUAUUUUAAAAAUAUUUUAAAAAUAAAAAAAGUAUUUUAAAAAUAAAAAAUAAAAAUAUAUAUUUAUUAUAUUCGGGCUGGGCCGGGCCCAGGCCAAAAAAGUGGUGCCCGAGGCCCGGCCAAUUUUCUAAACGGGCUUCAUUUUUUCCCAAACCCAUAUUUCGGGCCUAUAUUUUUACCCGAACUCUCUCAUAUUUCGAGCGGGCCGUCGGACCGGGCCAGGUCGCCCGGCCAUGAGCACCUCUAGUUCACACUAGCAAUGCCUCUAUUAGAGAAUAGGAGUUGUUAGUUAGUUAGUGAGUCUAGUAUGGUUGUUGCUCAAUUCAGAGUAGUCACUAAAGUCUAUAAAUACUGUACAUUAAGAAUUCAGAAGCAAGCAAGUUUGAAUAAACAAACAAGAAGUUUAUUCUAUUAUUUUCUCCAUUUCACUCUCUGUCUGGAUAGAUAUUUCUUCCUUUUUAUCUAGUUCUUUCAUGGUAUCAUUCGCCAAUUGAUUCUAGUUAUUGUUUCUCAUGGCUUCUGCUGAUUCCGCAUUUGGUGAACCUAGCUCUAGUGUGUUUGCUGCCGAUCGAGUCACAACCGUUCUUCCUCGACAUGAAGUGGUCAAACUCGAUGAAGGUACUUAUCUUCAAUGGCGUAAACAGGUAAAACUGAUUGUUAAUGGCUAUGGACUCAUAGGUUUCUUAGAUGGCACUGUUGCUCCGCCAUCACGAUUCGUUAUUCUAUCCGAUGGCUCUCGUGCUCCAAAUCCGACGGCUCAGGUGUUUACGCAGCAAGAUCAGCUGCUGAUGUCCUGGCUUUUGUCUACUGUAACUUCCUCUCAUCAAUCCUCCUUUGAUGAUACUUGCACGGCGUGCGACAUAUGGAGUAUGGCCAUUAAUCUUUUUGCAGUUGAUACGGGCGCCAAGUAGUCGAGGAUUCGGCAUGAGCUUCACUCGUAGAAGAAAGGUAAUCUUUCUAUUAAGGCAUAUGUUGCUCGGAUUAAAGAUUUGUGUGCUAUGUUAGAUGCUUUUGGCUCUCGUAUCUCCGAUGAAGAGAAGAUUAAAGUGGUGCUUGCGGGUUUACCGUCGAACUUUGAGGCAGUUAUCUCCUCUGCUCGAUUGUCGCCUGGAGUUUUUCCGUUACAACGUUUGGUGGAUGCGUUAGUCGAUUGUGAGAAUCGCCAAGAUCGAGUGUUGCAGGAGGUAAGUUUGAACGCGAAUCUUGUUCAAAAUGAGCCGUCGAUGGAAGGGGCCGGUCGUGAAGGCCGUGCGUCUGUUCGUGGUCGUGGUCAAUUCUUCAAAUCUCGUGUUCAAUGCCAGAUCUACAGUCGAUUCGGUCAUGUGGGUUAGAAAUACUAUUAUCGGUAUCACCGAGACUCGAAUGAAUCAUCUGGUGUUGAAGGUUCUGAUUCUGGAGUUUUUGUGCAAAAUGGUGAAGACCAGGUGGUGGCUCCUUAUCAGAAAAGUCAAAGAGUUUUUUAUGGUCAAGGGAGUCAUGGUGGUCAAAAUAGAUAUGCUAGUCAAAAUGUGUGUGCUGGCAUGCAAAAUAGGUCAUUGGCACGUGGGCCACAUGUGUCUAAUGCACAACAUUAUGCCUACAAGCCCAAUUUGUGCAAAUUCGGUCAUGAUGAAGGGCAAGGAUAUAAUGGAGACACGUCACAUGGUUUUACUACUGGAAAUGGACAGUGGCAAGGUUAUAAUGGAAACAAGUCACAUGGGCCAAAUAUUCAACAUUCCUCUCAUGGGCCGCAUGUUCAAUUUAAUGCUGGGCCGAAUAUUGUACCAUCCUCUAAUUUUGUUCAAGUUGAUCAAUAUGAUCCUGGCUCACCUGAACCGAUUGGUGAUGGACUAGGUAUUGGUGGUCCGGUUCUGCGAUUUACCAAACCGCGUGCUCAGGCCUAUACUGGGUCUGACUCAUGUAUUGGGCUUCCUCAGCUAUGGGACUUACAUGCGUCUGAUUAUUCUGAUCCUUCAGUAUCAGGCUCUCAUGUUAAUACUGCUCAACUUGGAUCUAGUACUGGUAAUGAUGAUUCGUGCAUUCUAGUGUGCGGUGGCACCACAUCUUGGUAUCCUGACUCGGGAGCGAGUCAUCAUGUCUGUCGCGAUGUGUCAAUUUUACGUGAUGUCACGCCAUAUUCAGGUAAGUCAUCUUUUUUAAUGGGCGAUGGUACUCUUGCGGUAAUUUCGUCAAUUGGUACUGCUAUUUUACCUACUCAAUAUAAAUCGUUACGGUUAUCAAAUGUUUUAUGUGUGCCAAGUAUACGGAAAAACCUCUUAUCCGUCUCACAGUUUGCUCGUGAUAAUGGUGUGUUUUUUGAGUUUCACCCUACCUAUUGUGUUAUUAAGGAUACGGUGACUCAGGAGAUAUUGCUGACAGGCCGUAUUCAUGAUGGUCUAUAUCAGUUUUCUCUGCCAGUGGUUUCUACUUCGCCUACGACUGCUCCAUUUGUUCCUCAUUCGCAAGUUCCACAUACAGUUUCGACUACUUCUGUGUUUGCUUUAUGGCAUAAUCAUUUAGGCCACCCGUCGACUUCUGUGGUCAAAAAUAUUCUAAAUAAAUGUAAUGUUGUUUCAAAUAAAACUAGUUUGGAUGGUAUAUGUAUUGCAUGUCAAAAAGGCAGGUCACAUAAGUUGCCUUUCUCCCCUUCGACUAGUAGCUAUCGUCCUUUUGAGUUGGUUGUGUCUGAUCUUUGGGGUCCUACACCUGUUGCUUGUGGUGAUAAGAGAUAUUAUGUUUCAUUUAUUGAUAUGUGUACUAGGUUUACUUGGGUUUAUCUUUUACGUUAAAAAGCUCAAGCACUAGAAUGCUUUACUCAAUUUUAACAAUUGAUUACAACACAGUUUGGCAAGUCUAUUAAGCAGUUCCAAAGCGAUUGGGGAGGUGAAUACCGUGGUUUUACGUCUGUCUUAGAAUCUCAAGGGAUCAUACAUCGACUGACCUGUCCGUGUACUUCAGAACAAAAUGGAGUAGAUGAGCGUAAACAUCGUCACAUUGUUGAAAUGGGUAUUACAUUGUUGGCUCAUACAAAUUUGCCUAUGGAAUACUGGGGGUAUGCGUUUUGUUGUGCGGUUCAUCUUAUAAAUCGACUUCCUACUGUUUUACUUCAUGAUAGUUCUCCGUUUAAGGCACUAUAUGGAAGUGACCUGACCUAUGAACAUCUUCGAGUGUUUGGCUGCUGUUGUUAUCCUUACUUACGUCCGUUUGUAGGUCAUAAGUUGGAAUUUCAGUCUCAGUCGUCUACGUUUUUAGGCUACAGUCCUCAUCACAAAGGGUAUCAAUGUCUUUUACCAGAUGGUAAGGUUAUAAUUUCAAGGCAUGUGGUCUUUGAUGAGCAAAGAUUUUUGUUUGCUGAGACUAGUCCAGACAAGUCUGUAUCGACAACCAGUCAGACUAGUUCGACGGUUGUUCCUCUCGUGUGGCCAUCCUAUUCCUCAAAUCUUGAGCCUUGCAUGAUGACACCGUCUUUACAAGGGUUGCAGUCUCAGUCCACUGAUCCUGUAUUAGAUGUUAAUUUGGAGCAUCCCCAGUCUCAUGAUUCUUCAGCUGAUGUUGGGACUGGGUCGGGUAAUCUUCCAGCAGUGCAUGGCUCAGGAUCAUCAAGUGAUACCAAUGCUCACUCCCAUUCUACUAUGAGAAUGUCUACAGGUGUUUCGUCGGCAUCUGAUAGUCAGAUUAGUCGGACACCUGUAGGCAAACUCACCCAAUGGUCACUCGAGCUAAAGAGGGAGUUUACAAGCCUAGGGUUUUAAAUGUUGAAGCUGUUGAACUGACUACAAUUGAAGAAGCCUUGGCUACUAUUGAGUGGCGUGCUGCUGCGCAAGAUAAGUAUGAUGCUCUUAUGCAUAAUUCCACAUGGGAGCUAGUUCCUGCUCCGUCUAAUCGUAAGGUCAUUGGGUGCAAAUGGUUGUUCUGAAUCAAGAAGAAUUCUGAUGGUACUAUUGCUCGACAUAAGGCUCGAUUAGUUGCAAAAGGCUACUCUCAAGUUCCAGGUUGUGAUUUUAAGGAAACGUUUAGUCCAGUGGUCAAACCGGCUACUAUCAGAGUUAUUUUGUCUAUUGUUGUGUCUAGAGGGUGGUCGCUUCGGCAAGUGGAUGUGAAUAAUGCGUUUCUAAAUGGCGAUCUUGACACUGAAGUUUUUAUGCAUCAACCUCCCGGUUAUGUUUAAUAUGGCUCAGAUGGCAGACCUUUGGUGUGCCGUCUGAAGAAAGCGUUGUAUGGUCUUCGUUAGGCUCCUCAUGCCUGGUUUGAGAAGCUAAAAGGAUUUCUAGUCUCUGUGGGGUUUGUGGUUUCAAAGUCUGAUGCUUCCUUAUUUGUUCGAGUUGUGCCAGCUUCAACAUUGUAUGUUCUUGUGUACGUUGAUGAUAUUAUUAUUACUGGUGAUGUACCUUCUCUUAUAGAGUGGUUUGUUAAAUUGCUGAAUAGUGAGUUCUCGCUUAAGGACAUGGGUGAUCUCUAUUAUUUUCUUGGGAUAGAAGUUAUUUGUUCUUCGUUAGGUUGCCUUCAUCUUUGUCAGAAGAAGUAUAUACGUGAUAUUCUUAUACGUUGUUUGAUGGAAAAUGCGAAGAGUGUUCAUACACCGAUGGUUAGUUCCUCUAUUAUGACUAGAGAUGGUGGUGAGCAGUUAGAGGAUCCGACUGAAUACAGGAGUCUUGUAGGAGCAUUACAGUAUGUCACUCUUACGUGGCCUAAUGUUGCCUAUGCUUUAAAUAGAAUAUGUCAGAUUAUACAUUGUCCUACUUCCAUUCAUAUGACCGCUCUGAAGCGCAUUUUGAGAUAUCUAGGUGGAACGAUUGAUUUUGGGAUUGUGUUUCGUCUGUCCACCGUUUUGUCCUUAGAUGGAUAUGCUGAUACAAACUGGGGAUUAGAUUUUGAUGACCGGAGAUCCACUACUGGAUACUGUGUUUAUUUCGGACAUACACCUGUGUCGUGGUGUACGAAGAAACAACAGGUUGUUGCUCGGUUUACUGUUGAGGCAGAAUAUCGAAGACUUGUCGCAGUUACUAGUGAGGUUACGUGGCUUUUAUCGUUACUUCAAGAAUUACAUGUUCAGUCUAAUAGUAUUCCCAAUAUUUGGUGUGACAGUUCUGGGGCAGUUGCGGUUGCUGCUAUCCUGUUCUCCAUUCAAAGUUUAAGCAUGUUGAGUUAGAUUUAUUUUUUGUUCGUGAGAAGGUUGCUGAUGGUCCUGUUGCCAUUGGCGAGGUUCCAGCGUGUGAUCAGGUAGCUGAUGUUCUCACUAAGCCACUUUCCCUAUCGAGUUUUACUCAUUUUCGGAGUUUUCUACGGGUCUUGCCUGUGGAGAAGAUGGAUGAAUAUUAGAGAAUAGGAGUUGUUAGUUAGUUAGUGAGUCUGGUAAGGUUGUUGCUCAAUUCAGAGUAGUCACUAAAGUCUAUAAAUGCUGUACAUUAAGAAUUCUGAAGCAAGCAAGUUUGAAUAAACAAACAAGAAGUUUAUUCUAUUAUUUUUCUCCAUUUCACUCUCUGUUUGGAUAGAUAUUUCUUCCUUUUUACCUAGUUCUUUCAGCCUCAAAUGCACCUUUUUUUUUCAAUUGAUAUUAGUUAAAUUACCGUGAGACUAUCUAAAAAUAGAAGUUUUAAAUAAAACUUAUAAAUCUUAUCAUAUUGUGAAACAAAAAUUAGAAUAUAAAUAUAACGUAUUUACUAGAAAUGACAGGUAUAACAAAUCAAAUAUCUGUAUUUCCUGGAUUAUAUAAAUGUAAAUCCAUAAAUCUAUUAUUCGCAAAUUAUUCGGGUAUUAUUAUUUAAAUACAAAUCUAGAUCAUAUAUACUAUUGUAAUAUAAUGUUACAAAAAAUUAAUAAUAAUUGUAAUGCCUAAAUUUUGCCCGGGUACAAAUAAUAAAAGGGCCCCAAAUAAAGACACAGUCCAAUUACAACAAAAUGGGGCCCAAACCAAAAUAAAACACAGGCCCAAUGUGCGGUGGCCCAAAAUCGCCAGAAACCCUAGGGUUUCUAAUCUUCAACAGCACCGCAACUCCAAUCUAGGCCGAAUCUCCAUGGAUUCACCUGCAUAGCAAGAAACAGAGAAAAAGGAAAGAAAUCAAAGAUUUCGAACCAGGAGUGAUUAGUUUCUUUAUUUUUAUUUUAUUAUGGCUAUAAGAAGCCGGUAAACAUAUUGUAAUAAGGAUUGAAAAAUCAAAUAAAAAUCGAGGCUUUUACUUUCGCAAUACAGAGAGAGCAUAGUCGAUUAAAGGUUGAUACUUGCAUUUCUAUUGUAUUUUUCCGUUAUAUCUAUUUGUUUUUAUUAUUUAUGUAAAUAAUAUAAAUAUAAAAGGAAGGAAAAAACCUGUAUUAGAGCCCUAACUGCCGCAGAUGGCCGAGGAAGUCGUCACCGAGAAUUGACGACCGGAAGCCGAAAGGUUUCUCUGUUUUUAGGGGCCCUUUCGUUAAUAUUUUGCGAGAUUUGAGAUCGGAUCUAGGCUCAGGGGUCGAGAAGGUUAAAAGGGGAAUUUUCCCCUUUCCCGGCCACCGCGGACGGUGGUGCCGGUGCCGGAGAUCGGCGACCGGUGCCGUGGCCGGUGAAGGGCCGAUGACCAACCGAUGGCCGAAGGACGGACUGAGGGGAGAGUGUUGCUUUAAAGUUUUUUUGUUUUUUUUUAAAAAGGGUUUCAUAUGAUUUUUUUUUUAGGAUUGGGAUAUUUAUAGGGCACCAAAACGGCGUCGUUUUGGAGAGCCCCCAGACGCCCAAAACGGCGUCGUUUUUAGGGAAGCCGACCCGGCUCCGACCCGACCCGGCAUAGGAUCCGCGUGUUUUUUUAACGGAGGGGUAAAUUGCACUUUCAACCCCUCCGCCUUUUAAUGUUUUCUGCAAUUAAAUUUUUUUAUUUUAUUAAGUUACCCAUUAAUUUAUUAUCGUUUUCAAUUUGGUCCUAAUGUGAAUGAUGUCGUUUAGAGGAGAAUGGAAAAUUGCCCUUCCAGCCCCUUUGUAUUAUCUGCGCGUUCAAUGUGGUCCCUUUGGCUUUAUUUAUUUGUGGAUUUACCUUAAUUUUUUUUAUUUGAAAUUCAAUUUAGUUCUCUUUUAUAUCUUUCUUAAAAUUGGUUGAUUUUUAGGAUGUAAUUAUUAUUUUUAUGUAAUUAUUAUUUAUAUAUAUAUGUAUAUUUAUUGUUUCCUUAUAAACAUAUUUAUUUUCUUUCAACUAAUAUUUUUUUAUUUAUAUAUUCCUACUUUUUUUAUGUAAAUGUUAAUUAAUCCUUUUUUAAUAAAUUUUACAUGUAUACAUACAUAUAUUUUUUUGAAUAUUCUAUUAUAUUUUCAUAUAUCUACGUACAUUUUUUAUUUUCGAAAAUACUAAAAUACAUGUUUUUUUUACACAUAUAUUUAUAUAUAUUUGUUUUUCUUUAUUUUCAUAAGAGCAUUAUAUGAAUUUUAUAAUUAAAAUUUUAUAUGUAAAUUAUGUACUUUAUUUCUCAUAAUUCCAAUGUGUAUAUUAUGCGAUGUUUAUCCUUUAUUGUUUCUUUCAUUUGUUUAUUGACCUUUUUUUAUUUUAUAUUUUGUUCAUUUAUUUAAUAUUCUUGUAUGUCAAAGAUUAUUUCUUUUAUGAAUGUUAGUUUCCUUUAUUUAUAUGUUUAUAUUGUUUCUAUGCCAUUGUGAUAAUUAUUAUUGCAUUGUAUAUUUAAUGUAGCAUCACAUCAUUUUUUACUCGAUUUCAAACUUCUCAAAAUUGAGAUAAUGCUUGUAUUUUGGAUUUUCAAGGAAAUUGAGCCCUAAUGUAUUGGGUUCCGAUUUUCUUCGUUAAAUCUAAGAAUCGAGCAUUUCUCUUUAAUCAAAAAAAAAAAGAACUCAUUAUUGGGAAUUCAACACGUUGUGUCCUAACGUAUUGGAUGUGACGCAUUGAUUUCUCGAAAUAAAUAUUUUUUAAAAAAAUAAUAAAGGAAAUAUUCCGAGUUUGGGAUUCUAGAGGAAUUGUGCCCUAACGUAUUGGGCCGCGAUUUCUUAAAUCUUGAAUAAAUGGAUAUUCUUUUACAUUUUUUAUUGCACUAGUAUUUUGCCCUAAUUCAUUUUUGGGGAAAAUUAGAAUGUCGUGCCCUAACGUAUUGGGUGUGGUAUUUUCUUUCUCUGAAAUGAUAAGGGUCUUAAUACGUAACGUUUUUAAGUUUUUUGCUAAGGAUUAUAUUAUUCAAAUUUUUGACAUUAAAACAUUAAUUAAUUAACUAGGUACCAAUUUUUGGACGUAAUGAGGGUGCUAAUCCUUCCUCAUACGUAACCAACUCCCGGACCCGUUUUUCUAAAAAUCGUAGACCAAAAUCGUUUUUAGGUGACCCAAUCACACCUCAAUAAAAGAUUGGUGGCGACUCCCAAUUUUCAUUUUUUAAAGUCGACAAUCUAAAAUUUUUGUUUUUUUUUCAAAAACAAAAAAUGGUUUCGACAGCUUGGCGACUCCACUGGGGACACAUACGAGAGUCGAGCCACAAAGUUGAUUAAUUUCUGUCUUAUUGUCGAGAAAAUAAAUUUUUAAAAAACUCAUGAUAUCCUUUCGCAUUCAUUAUCUUAUUGCUUAAAUAUUGUUUGCAUUAUACAUUUCAUGAGUUGAACAAUUUUACCCUUUUAAGUGGGAGUGAGAAGCUAUGCCUUCAUGAGGUUUUCACCUCCGUGUAGGGUAGUGGAUUGCUUCCGGGAUACAUCCGUACCUAUUUCUUCGUGAGAUUUUCGUCUCAGUACAACCAUAGGGAAAUGUAUUCCACUGAACCGAACUUGAUCCAUUGAGCCUAUAAUGGGUGAGGAUUGAGGAAUCUGCUGGUUCGGGUACCUUUACCCUAGAAGUCAAACUUCAUAUAAUGAACCUUAGGAAUCCACCCUAGGUAGAACUAUACUAAACCCUAGUAGAUAUCCAAUUAGGAAUUUUACUAUUUCUUAAUUAUAUAUUAUGUUUUAUGAGAUACUGACUUUUUGUGUUUUAUUUUGAUUGCAUGACAUGGCAUUUCAUUUCAUCAUAAAAGGCGUCAGUCUAUAUUCAGUUGCUAGAUAGAAGGCUUAUCAUGGAAAGAGGGUUUCUUGAUAAAGAGGAGGACAAUGCGGCUGUCCGAACUUGGUCUAAAACAACACAGGAAGAAAAGGGUGAUAGUUUGGCUGACGGGCAUGUAUCGGAUGUAUGGGACUUUACGCAUAUCAGUGUAACUCAAAACAAUUUGCAAGAAUUGAAGGAAAUCUGGGGUUAGUGGAGUGAUGAGGUUAGACAGCUCUUUUAUAAUGAUUAUGGGGAUCUACCUUAUUUGCUUGAUGUGAAGGUAGACAAGUGUUUGUUUCAAGCCCUCGCCCAAUUCUGGAAUCAUGCUUACAGCUGCUUUACGUUUGGGAAGGUUGAUUUUGUAUCUACGAUAGAGGAGUAUAUGGAUUUACUCCGUUGUUCAAAGUUUCAAGUGGAUAGGGUCUAUUUAAGAGUGGUAAAUGUGCCAAGAGUGUAACAGGAAUGAGUGAGCAGUGGGUUGUCGCACGAAUUAAGCAAAAGGGGGAUAGUAAGUGCGUUCCUUGGAGAGGCUUGAAAGAUGCAAUUCUCACACACCCAGAUGUAAGGAAAAUGUUAGAUGUUUUUGCUUUAAGUAUAUACGGCUUGGUUGUCUUCCCUAAAGCCUUGGGGUAUGUGGAUGAAGCAGUCACUGAUAUAUUCGAUCGUCUCGAUAAGAAGGUUACACCGAUUCCAGCAAUUUUGGCAGAAACUUUCAGUUCAUUGAGUGCAUACCGGAAGACGGGCGAAGGUAGAUUUAUUGGAUGUGCACAGCUUCUACUCGCAUGGUUUCAUAGUCACUUUUGGAAGGUGGAUAAAGUUUCCUAUCGGGUUUUCUCUAAAAAUUAUUCACCACUAAAGGAGAUAGUCGUUACGCCAAGGAGAGACGACAUUUCGAAGGAGAAGUGGAUGGCAAUUCUUCAAAAUCUUCGAGAGGAGGACAUUGAGUGGAGAGCUCAUUGGUUACUUCCAGAUGAGAUCCUGUAUAGGUGUGGUAGUUUUCGUACAAGGAUGAUGGUUAUAGAAAGAAGAUUCAAUAGAUGGCUAGUGCGUGGAAACAAACUCGCCGAAUGAAGAGGCUAGCUGUGGGUCCAAUAACAACUCCUGAGUAUCAUCAAUGGUGGGCUAGAAGGAUUAAUGAUAAUACACCUAAGUUAAAUCAGGAAGACAGUCAGUCAAUCGAAGAGCAUUUGCGAGUCAUUCCUUCUGAGUUAGAAAUCAUAAGGAAAGAUUUUGAGAGGAGAAAUGCGGAUUUAAAGAAAAAGAUAGAGCAAAUGGAGGCGGAAAAGACGAAUUUAAGAUUAGAUAUAAACGUUCAGAAGCUUGAAAAUGAGAAGUUAAAGAAAGAGAAAAACAAGGCUGAGGAAGAGAUGGGUAGUCUAAAGAUGGAUUAUAAAAAAUGCGUUUGUCAAUGAGAAUUACUGGGAUGGGAAAGACUUCAGAACAAUGGUGAGCAGAAAUCCGAGAUGAAAAGGACAAAGCCGAUAGAUGGGAACAGAAAUGUCAGGAGAUGCAGAGACGAACUGAAGAUUUAGAAAAGAGUUUGUCAGAAAGCCAAAAGGAGAAAUGCGAGCUAAAGGAUAGGGUGGUUGUGCUGGAAGGAUGUCUUCGUCAAUAUCGAAAUCGAAAUUUGGCAAAAAAGUUGAAAGCUAGCUUGAACAAGAUUGAAGAAAUGAAGAAAAGAAUCGAAGAGCUAGAAACGGAGCUGCAAAAUUGUGAGAUCUAGAUCAAGCACUUGAAAGCAAACGAGAGUCGUAAUAAUGAACAGCUUCAUCACUUUCAGAGUCAAGUUAGAAGGAGAGAUCAUCUUAUCGAGGAAGCUGUGGUCCAGAUUCGAGAAGUAGCUGAUCAUAUACAGACUUUAGCAGUACAGGCUGACACGCUGAGUGUAAAGUAUGAAUUAGAAUCGGAUCGGGGACAAGAAUUAGCUUUGUUACUUAGAAAGAUUAGAGUUCUAAGUACUAGGGCAGAGUCUUAUUUGUAAUUCACUUUAUGUAAAGGAAUUUAAUUUCUAGUAAAGUUUUCUUAUAUGGAAUUGAAUCAAAAUUGACGCCUUUCUGCAUUCAUUUCAUGCAUUACAUUGUUUCAUAUGCAUUAAGAAAUAUAUUAAGGGAUUCUAAUUAAUUUUAAUCACUCAUCAGUUAAUCUGGAAACCAACCAACCCACCAAGCACCACUACGGUACCCAAUCGAAAACUAAAGAUAUGGAUCAAAAUAUGGAAAUACUAGAACAAUCCCAAAAAGAAAUGCAGGAGCAGCUUCAAAAGCAAAUGAAUGAGCAGCAAAAGAUGGUAGACAAAAUGAUGGAAUCUCAAGGGAGUGUGAUGGCUCAGUUAACUCAGUGGUUCAGCAAAGGAACUGAUAAAGGAAAAGGCUUUGUGCUCAAUAUUGAAGAAGGAGACAAUGAGAGACCUAUCUAUCCUCCGGACUUUACCCUCCAACAAGUUGAGAUAUACCUACGUAGGUCCUCUGUUACCAUUAAUCCUCCAGGUGACGCUACAACGCUAAUGAAUCUCCAAGCAGGAUCAGGCUCUAACCCUAGAGCCAACUUUGUUAAUCCUGCUAUUCCUGAUUUCGAUGAGACGGCUGGAAAGGAGAAAAUGAAUGAUGAAUUGCCAAAACAGCUAGAGGAAAAGUACAAAUGGCUGGAAGAGAAAUUUAGAGUGAUGGAAUGCGCAGAAGGCUACUAUAGGAUGGAUGCUAAAGAAUUGAGUCUGGUUCCGGAUUUAGUGCUCCCUUACAAAUUCAACAUGCCAGAGUUUGAAAAAUAUAAUGGAACCAGUAGCCCCGAAGCUCAUAUCACCAUGUUCUGCAGACGAAUGACCAGUUAUGUCAAUAAUGACUAACUCUUGAUUCAUUGCUUCCAGGAUAGCCUCACAGGGGCAGCAUCCAAGUGGUACAAUCGAUUGAACCGUACCCAGAUUAAUUCAUGGAAAGAUUUGGCACAGGCGUUCAUAAAGUAGUACAGCCAUGUGACUGACAUGGUACCUGAUAGGAUCACUCUGCAGAAUAUGGAAAAGAAACCAGGUGAAAGCGGGAAAAUAAAUGUUGGAGAAAGUAGUAGAAGGGCGGCAUCAAAGAAGAAAGAGAAUGAGGUCAACAACACAAGUUCAUAUUCAAAGACAGUUACAGUGAAUCAGCCGGGAAAAGUGGCUGUUAACCAGCAAGGAUUAUCAAAGCAGAGAUUUCAUACAAGACAAAAUACAGAGAAGAUUCAAUUUACGCCAAUUCCAAUGAUGUAUAGGGAGCUAUAUUAGAAUCUAUUCAAUGCACACGUGGUUUCCCCUUUCCACUUGAAACCUCUGCAGCCCCCAUACCCCAAGUGGUACGAUGCAAAUGCACAGUGCGACUAUCACGCGGGAAUUGAAGGGCAUUCUAUAGAACAUUGUAUGGCGUUCAAGAAGCUGGUGGAAAGACUUAUAAGCCUGGGUGUGGUUAAAUUGGAUGAUUCACCUAGUACAGAAAAUUCGUUACCUAAUCAUAACGGAGUGAACAUGAUAAGUGAGAGUAUGGGUAGAAAAAUCAAGGAAGACAUAGAAGAAGUAAAAAUUCCUUUGAGGUGGGUAUGGAGAAAUAUGGUAAAAAGGGGAUUGAUUGUUCCGAAUUCAGAGGGAAGCUUUGAAAGGAUGGAAAAUUACUGUGAGCUCCAUCACAAGGAGGGACAUGAAAUCCAGGAAUGCACUGAAUUCAGAGCCCUGGUUCAAGGCCUGAUGGAUAAUAAAGAAAUGGAAUUUUGUGAGGAAGUUAGGGAGGAAGGGAGUAUUUGCACAUCCAAAUCCUCGAAGGUUCCAAGAGUAGCGCAGCCUGUGGUCAUCAUCUCACGACCAAAGAAGGAUGAAGUGAGAACGCCAAUGAUGCCAAGAAUCAUAAUAAAGAAACAUGCAACCUUCUUUUACCAGGACAGUAGGAAGGUUCCAUGGAGCUACAUGUGCAAUACAACUGUCCCUGGAAAAGAGACUACAAAGGACCAGUGUGUGAGUGCCAAACUAGAAUCUAUGAAAGGGGUCAUAAUAGGGGAGUAGAAAGGGAAAGUAGUUGAGCCAGUAAAGGAGGAAGAAGCUGUGGAAUUCCUCAAAUUUCUGAAGCAUAGUGAGUAUAAUGUCGUCGAUCAGUUGCAUAAACAACCGGCUCGCAUAUCUGUACUAGCCUUACUCUUGAAUUCAGAAGUACAUCGAAAUGCACUAAUGAAGAUGCUAAAUGAGACUUAUGCGUCCAAGGAUAUUUCUGUCGACAAACUAGAUCGGUUGGUCAAUAAUAUCAGUGCUGAUAAUUUCAUAUUUUUCAAUGAUGAUGAAAUACCUCCUAGGGGCAUAGGAUCUACCAAAGCUUUGCAUAUCACUGCACGAUGCAAGGGGCAUAUUUUGCCAAGAGCACUGAUUGACAACGGAUCAGCUUUGAAUGUAUUGUAGUUAUUCACACUUAAUAGGCUACCCAUAGACAGUUCGCACAUGAAAACAUGUCAAAAUGUAGUUAGGGCGUUUGACGGUACAGAAAAGAAGGUCAUGGGAAGAAUUAAGAUACCCCUACAGAUUGGCCCAACAGUUUAUGAGGUAGAUUUUAUUGUAAUGGACAUCAAACCUUCCUAUAAUUGUUUAUUAGGAAUAUCAUGGAUACAUUCAGCGGGGGCAGUACCGUCAUCAUUACAUCAGAUGUUGAAGUUAGUGUCAAAUGGUCGGCUAGUGACAAUAAAAGCCGAAGAGGAUAUAAUAGCAGCUGUAUCCAAUGAGACGCCAUACAUGGAGACCAAUGACGAGUCAAUAGAAUGCUCAUUUCGAUCUUUGGAGUUUGAAAAUGCGGCAUUUGUUCCCGAAUGGAGUAAAAUUUUGGUGCCAAAAUUAUCCAAAACUACAGAGAUAGGUUUACAGUUGUUGGUGGGAAAAGGAGAUUUACCCGGAAGAGAGGGCUAGGGAGAUAUCUUCAAGGGAGGACUGAGGUUCCAAUGCUGAAAGAAAAGCAGGAUCACUUUGGCUUAGGAUACAAGCCAGAUAGAGGACAAAGAAGGAAGAAGAUAGAAAAAAGGCAGGAAAGGAGAAAGGCGCGUUUAAAUGGGGAGGAAGCUAAGUGGGAGCCAAUGAUAAUCCCCCACAUAUCCAAAACUUUCAUAUCUGGAGGAGUUAUUCAUCAUGAGAGAAAGAAAUCGGUUGAGGAAAGCAUCGAGGAGACGUUGGGAAGUAUGCACAUCAAUGCCAUUCAUGAGCAUGUGAAUGAGGAGAGGAGCUGGUUGGACAUUCGUCCUUAUGAGCCCGAGAAUGUUCCAGAUAAUUGGACUGCGGAAGAAAUACCCAAAGUCUUUAAAAAUGUCUCAGAGUAAUAUUCAGAACAAACUUGUUGUUUUAGCCUAGAAAUAACGAGAACUCUUUUGUGAAAUAGGCUUAUGUUUAAACAUCAUUAUUUUAAUAAAAUACAUCUUUGCAAUUGUUUCGAGUAAAUAUUCUUUCAUUCUUUCCAUACAAGUAAAUAUAUUCUUUCAUUGCACAAAUAAUUGUACAUAAAUUCAUACAUUCUUUUGUAAUCAUAUUAGGUCCUUGUGUAUCAACGAUGUGAAUGACGCCGCUACGAGCUCAGAAUGCCCUUUUGAACGAAACGUGUGUUUGGAAGGAUCGCACGACUUUGAAGGUGAUGAAGAUGGUGGCUUAUCUUUGGACUUGUUGAGGAUGGUGGAACAAGAGGAAAAGAAAAUCCUACCUCACAAAGAAUCAGUAGAAACUGUGAGCUUGGAAGAAAGAAAAGAGGUGAAAAUUAGAAUUGAGAUUUUUGCAAAGACAAGACGAGGCCUCAUUGAAUUACUACAAGAAUUCAAAUAUGGCUUCGCAUGGUCAUACUAGGAUAUGCCCGGAUUGAGUGCUGACAUUGUAGUGCAUCGCCUACCUAUAAAAAAGGAUUGCAAACCAAUGCAACAGAAGCUCAGAAAAAUGAGGCCUGAUAUUGUGCUCAAAAUAAAAGAGGAGGUUAGGAAACAGUUUGAUGCUGGAUUUUUGCAGGAGGUCAAAUAUUCUGAAUGGGUAGUCAACAUCGUUCCAGUCCCUAAAAAGAUGGAAAAGUACGAAUGUGCGUGGAUUACAGUGAUUUGAACAAAGCAAGUCCAAAGGACAAUUUCCUAUUGCCACAUAUUGAUACUCUGGUGGACAAUACGGCGGGAUUUUCAUUGUUUUCUUUCAUGGAUGGGUUCUCAGUAUAUAAUCAGAUAAAGAUGCAUCUGGAAGAUAUGGGAAAGACUAUGUUUAUUACUUUGUGGGGAACAUUUUGCUAUAAGAUGAUGCCAUUCGAAUUAAAGAAUGCGGGAGCAACAUAUCAGAGAGCCAUGGUAGCCUUGUUUCAUGAUAUGAUGCACAAAGAAAUUGAAGUAUCUGUUGAUGAUAUGAUUGCCAAAUCCAGAACAAAGGAAGAACAUGUGCAGGUCCUGAGAAAAUUGUUCGUAAGAUUAAGAAAGUUCCAACUCAAGCUUAAUCCGACAAAAUGCACUUUUGAAGCCAGGUCAAGAAAGUUGUUAGGCUUCGUAGUUAGCAAAAAGAGAAUUGAAAUUGAUCUAGACAAAGUCAAGGCAAUACGAGAUUUAUCGCCACCACGUACCCAGAAAGAAGUUCGAGGCUUAUUAGGAAGACUGAAUUACAUUGCUCGGUUCAUUUCACAGUUGACCGAAAAAUGUGAUCCCAUAUUUCACCUUUUGAAGAAACAUAAUCCUGAUGUUUGGAAUGAAGAAUGCUAGAGUGCCUUUAAGAAGAUAAAGCAAUACUUAACCAAUACUCUAGUUCUGUCACCACCCAGCCCAGAUAGACCCUUGAUUUUGUAUUUAAUGGUGCUCAACAACUCUAUGGGAUGCGUGCUGGGUCAACAUGAUGCGACUGGAAAGAAGGAAAAGGCGAUUUACUAUCUCAGUAAGAAAUUCACUGACUGUGAGAUGAGAUAUUCGCCUAUCGAAAAAUUGUGUUGCACCCUGAUUUGGAUGACCAAGAGGUUGAGGCAAUACUUACUCUAUCAUACGACUUGGUUAAUUUCAAAAUUAGACUCUUUGAAGUAUAUGAUGGAGUCAACAGCAUUGAAUGGAAGAAUGGCUAGAUGGUAAAUCUUGCUCUCUGAGUUUGAUAUCGUAUAUGUAAGUCAGAAGGCCAUCAAGGGGAGUGCGAUAGCAGAUUUCUUGGCUAGCAGAGCUCUGGAAGAUUAUGAGCCUCUAGAUUUUGAUUUCCCGAAUUAAGAUUUGAUGUAUGUGGCAAAUGCUGAAGAGGAUCCCCAAGAGAAUCAUUCUUGGAGAUUAAACUUUGAUGGAGCAUCAAAUGUACUAGGCAAUGGGAUUGGGGCAGUCCUGGUGUCUCCGAAUGGAGAUUAUCAUCCUUUCACCAGUAAAUUAGACUUUGAUUGCACUAAUAACAUGGCUGAGUAUGAAGCUUGCAUCAUGGGUAUACGGGCAGCCAUAGAGCGGAAAAUCAAGACAUUAGAGGUGUACGGAGACUCAACAUUAGUAAUAUACCAACUAAGAGGGGAAUGGGAGACAAGAGACCCUAAAUUGAUCCAUUAUCAGAGAUUAGUUUUGGAAUUGAUCGAAAAGUUUGACAACAUUACCUUCUGUUAUCUCCCACGGGAAGAAAAUCAGAUGGCUGAUGCUCUUGCUACUUUAGCUUCCAUGAUUAAAGUAAAUCAGUUAGAGGACAUGAAGUUCAUUCAAAGUAGUAUUUAUGAGAUCCCAGCCCACUGUUAUAGCAUUGAAGAAGUGGAGAAUGAUAAUAGUCCCUGGUACCAAGAUAUAUUGAUAUAUGUGAAGAAUCACGAAUAUCCUGAUCAGGCAACAGAGAAUGAUAAGAGGACAUUGAGGAGACUAGCUAUUGACUAUGUCUUAGAUGGGGAGAUCCUAUACAAAAGGGGAAAGGAUCGAGUACUGUUGAGAUGCGUGGACGCUAUAGAGGCUAAGGAAAUUUUAGAAGAAGUCCAUGAGGGUGUUUGUGAAUUCACCAUGGCUAGACAGAUUAUGAGAUUCGGGUAUUACUGGUCCACCAUGGAAGGAGAUUGCAUCAAUCAUUCCAAGAAAUGCCAUAAAUGCCAAAUUUAUGGGGAUAAAAUGCACGCGCCUCCUUCUCCUCUUCAUGUUAUGACUUCUCCAUAGCCUUUCUCCAUGUAGGGUAUGGACGUCAUUAGACCAAUAUCACCGAAGGCUUCUAAUGGACAUCGUUUCAUUUUUGUGGUUAUUAACUACUUCACUAAGUGGGUAGAGGCAGCCUCAUAUGCUAAUGUCAUGAAGUCAGCAGUCAGUAACUUUUUGAAGAAAGAGAUCAUAUGUCGAUAUGGAAUGCCUGAAAGGAUCAUAUCUGACAAUGCGCUGAAUUUGAAUAACAGCACAAUUCAAUAUCAGACACCAUAAUUCGUCACUGUAUUGUCCAAAAAUGAAUGGUGCAAUAGAGGCGGCCAACAAAAAUAUUAAGAAGAUUGUGGCGAAAAUGGCUGAAACUUAUAAUGAUUGGCAUGAGAAGUUACCAUUCGCUCUUUUGGCUUACCGAGCAUCGAUCAGGACUUCUAUUGGGGCAACACCUUUUUCGUUGGUUUAUGGAAUGGAGGCAGUUUUACCCAUUGAGGUUGAAAUUCCUUCUCUUCGGGUAUUGGCUGAGUUAAAAUUGGAUGAGGUCGAAUGGAUCCAAUCUCGGUACGAUCAAUUGAACCUGAUUGAAGAUAAAAGAUUAAAAGCCAUUCGUCAUGGUCAAAUGUAUUAGAAGCGAAUGAUGCGAGCUUAUAAUAAGAAGGUUCGUCCUAGAGAAUUUCAUGAAGGGGAUUUGGUUUUGAAAAAGAUCCUACCUUUACAAAAGGAUUUCAGAGGGAAAUAGAUGCCAAAUCGGGAAGGACCUUAUGUUGUGAAAAAGGCUUUUUCUGGAGACGCUUUGAUUUUAAGUGAAAUGGAUGGCAAAAAUCUUCCGAAUCCUGUAAAUUCAGAUUCGGUCAAGAAAUAUUUCACUUGAAGGAAGAGAGGAAUCAAAGUGAAAACCCACAAAAGGCGCUCUGAUUUCCUAAAAAAAAGGAAAAAGGAGAGGCCAAGGUGAAAACCCAAAAAGGGCGCCUUGAGACCAAAGGGGGUUUGAGUUGAAAACCUGAAAAGAGUGGCUCAAACAUUGUCAGAUUGGGGCAUAUGGGGAUCUUUUUUCACUUAAGUCAACAAUAAAAGGAUAUACGACGUCUUAGGGCAUUCACAGAGUACUGUAGAUCCCCUAAACACAUGCUAAAUUCAGAAUGGUUCUUGGCUUGCACGGAGAAGUUCAAGCGGUGAUAUCCAAAGCACCUAGUCUUCAUUUUAUUUGUACCAAAUUUGUUGGUUCUUGUAAAUACUUCAUUCUUUGCUGUUCUUGAAUACUUUUUCUUUUCAGGACACUCACUAUCAAUGAACUCUUGAAUUAAUUCAUCUCUUACUCAGUAUUUUUGAUCUUUGUGUAAGCAUGUCACAUUAGAAUAAUGAUUGAUGGACUAAUAAACUUUCACAAAAGAAGUUUGGUAUAUUACUCUGGGAAUUUCUAAAUAAUUUGGUAACCUGAAACAGGACUAUUGUUUAAAACACCCCGAGUUCAAAAGAUAAAAAGCCUAAGAAGUAAAAAGUUUAAAUUAAGACUACUUUUUCGAAUUUGGUUGUCCAAUAGUGAAUGAGACAGCAAGAAGUCUUGAUAGGGUAGGAAGAAGUCUCCUAUGGAAAGAAAGCUCCUUAUUUAGGCAUAAGCAUUUGAUAAGACACCCUGAGAGAGGUGUAAACAAAUUUCAUAAUCUGUAUCCUUGAAUUACGAUAGGAGAGGACUGAGAAGAGUCAAAUUUUCCUACUCUUAAGUCACGGUGGAAGAAAUAUAGUACAAACUCUGUGUCCUUGAGAAUUGAGCUUUGAAGUGCACAAUGGGGGCAAUUUGAUUUAGUGUUUUUCGAAGAUAUUAGCCAAGUAAAAGGCGCCAGCGACAAAACCUUAAUAAACUUCAAAAAAAAUGAUAAUUCUUGAAAAAUGACAUUCUGCAUUUAUUCAAAUGUCAUUCGUACAUGUCUAGUUGGGAGCCUUUGAUGCAUUUUAUGCCAUCCUAAUCAUUAGGCAUAAUUAGCUUCAUUAUACAGGUCAUGUUCCCCAGAGAGCAGAUCAGUGAAGAUAACAGAUCGAGUCUUAUCUCCCUGAAGUUACAGUGGAGCAGACUAAGUAGGCAAGUCUUAUCCACCUGAAGUUGCAGUGAGGCAGACUGAAGGUGGCAAAUCUUAUCUCCCUGAAGUUACAGUGGAGCAGAUUAAAGCUGGUAAUCCUAUCUCGCUGAAGUUGCAGUGAGCGGAUUAAAACCUUAGAUCUUAUCUCUCUGAAGUUGCAAAGAACAGAUCACAUCUAGUCUUAUCCUCCUGAAGUUGCAGUGAGGCAGACUGAAGAUGGCAAAUCUUAUCUCCCUGAAGUUGCAGUGGAGCAGAUUAAAGCCGGUAAUCCUAUCCCACUGAAGUUGUAGUAGGCGGAUUAAAACCUUAUAUCUUAUCUCUUUGAAGUUGCAGAGAGCAGAUCGCAUCUAGUCUUAUCUCCCUGAAGUUGUAGUGGAACGGACUAAGUAAGCAAAUCUUAUCCUCCUGAAUUUGCUGUGAGGCAGACUGAAGAUGGCAAAUCUUAUCUCCCUGAAGUGGCAGUGGAGCAGAUUAAAGUCGGUAAUCCUAUCCCACUGAAGUUGCAGUAGGCGGAUUAAAACCUUAGAUCUUAUCUCUCUGAAGUUGCAGAGAGCGGAUCGCAUUUAGUCUUAUCUCCCUGAAGUUGCACCAGGAGCAAGUUGAAGCCAUAAAAGUUACAGUAAAGAAGAUUGAAACAUUAGUUCAUAUACCUCUGAAGAUGCAGUAGGAAGGAAUGAGGCUACUUGAAGAAGAAGAAGAGCGCCAAGGUCCAGCAUGACCGGACAAAAUUGGGCAUUUUAAAGUCUUUGCUCUAUUCCUGUUACACGAUAACGAGCAAAGAGGGGCAACUGUAAUGCCUAAAUUUUUCCCGGGUACAAAUAAUAAAAAGGCCCUAAAUAAAGACACAGUCCAAUUACAACAAAAUGGGGCCCAAACCAAAAUAAAAACAGGCCCAAUGUGCGGUGGCCCAAAAUCGCCAGAAACCCUAGGGUUUCUAAUCUUCAACAACGCCAAAACGGAGGCCCAAUGUACGGUGGCUCAAAUGAUUUUUUUAGAGGAUUGGGGAUAUUUAUAGGGCACCAAAACGGCGUCGUUUUAGAGAGCCCCCAGAUGCCCAAAACGGCGUCAUUUUUGGGGAGGCCGACCCGGCUCCGACCCCACCCGGCAUAGGAUCCGCAUGUUUUUUUAGCGGAGGGGUAAAUUACGCUUUCAGCCCCUCCGCCUUUUAAUGUUUUCUGCAAUUAAAUUUUUUUAUUUUAUUAAGUUACCCAGUAAUUUAUUAUCGUUUUCAAUUUGGUCCUAAUGUGAAUGAUGUCGUUUAAAGGAGAAUAGAAAAUUGCCCUUCUAGCCCCUCUGCAUUAUCUGCGCGUUCAAUGUGGUCCCUUUGGCUUUAUUUAUUUGCGGAUUUACCCCAAAUUUUUUUAUUUGAAAUUCAAUUUAGUUCUCUUUUAUAUCUUUCUUAAAAUUGGUUGAUUUUUGGGAUGUAAUUAUUAUUUUUAUAUAUAUGUAUAUUUAUUGUUUCCUUAUGAACAUAUUUAUUUUCUUUCAACUAAUAUUUUUUUUAUUUAUAUAUUCCUACUUUUUUUUAUGUAAAUGUUAAUUAAUCCUUUUUUAAUAUAUUUUACAUGUAUACAUACAUAUAUUUUUUGAAUAUUCUAUUAUAUUUUCAUAUAUCUACGUACAUUUUUUAUUUUCGAAAAUAUUAAAAUACAUGUUUAUUUUUUUACACUUAUAUUUAUAUAUAUAUUUGUUUUUCUUUAUUUUCAUAAGAGCAUUAUAUGAAUUUCAUAAUUAAAAUUUUAUAUGUAAAUUAUGUACUUUAUUUCUCAUCAUUCCAAUGUGUAUAUUAUGCGCUGUUUAUCCUUUAUUGUUUCUUUCAUUUGUUUAUUGACCUUUUUUUAUUUUAUAUCUUGUUCAUUUAUUUAAUAUUCUUGUAUGUCAAAGAUUAUUUCUUUUAUGAAUGUUAGUUUCCUUUAUUUAUAUGUUUAUAUUGUUUCUAUGCCAUUGUGAUAUUUAUUAUUGCAUUGUAUAUUUAAUGUAGCAUCACAUCAUUUUUUUACUCGAUUUCAAACUUCUCAAAAUUGAGAUAAUGCUUGUAUUUAGGAUUUUCAAGGAAAUUGAGCCCUAACAUAUUAGGUUCCGAUUUUCUUCGUUAAAUCUAAGAAUCGAGCAUUUCUCUUUAAUCAAAAAAAAUAAGAACUCAUUAUUGGGAAUUCAACACGUUGUGUCCUAACGUAUUGGAUGUGACGCAUUGAUUUCUCGAAAUGAAUAUUUUUUUAAAAAAUAAUAAAGGAAAUAUUCCGAGUUUGGGAUUCUAGAGGAAUUGUGCCCUAACGUAUUGGGCCACGAUUUCUUAAAUCUUAAAUAAAUGGAAAUUCUUUUACAUUUUUUAUUGCACUAGUAUUUUGCCCUAAUUCAUUUUUGGGGAAAAUUAGAAUGUCGUGCCCUAACGUAUUGGGUGUGGUAUUUUCUUUCUCUGAAAUGAUAAGGGUCUUAAUACGUAACGUUUUUAAGUUUUUUGCUAAGGAUUAUAUUUUUCAAAUUUUCGACAUUAAAACAUUAAUUAAUUAACUAGGUACCAAUUUUUGGGCGUAAUGAGGAUGCUAAUCCUUCCUCAUACGUAACCAACUCCCGGACCCGUUUUUCUAAAAAUCGUAGACCAAAAUCGUUUUUAGGUGACCCAAUCACACCUCAAUAAAAGAUUGGUGGCGACUCCCAAUUUUCAUUUUUUAAAGUCGACAAUCUAAAAUUUUUGUUUUUUUUUCAAAAAUAAAAAAUGGUUUCACCAAUAAUAAAUAAUAAAGAUUUUACAUUUAUUUGAAGCACUUAUUUACAUUUUGAAUAAACUAUUAUUUUAGUCAUUGCCUUUUAAUUCUUAAUUUUUCUUUUAAAUUUUUUUAUAUGUUAAAUUUUAAGUUGAUUUUAAAUAAAUUAUUUCUUUAUUUUAAGAUAUUACUUAAUUAAAUUAACUUUUAAUAUUAUAAUAUUAAAAUUAAUAAUUAUUAAAUUGGUUAACUUAAAAUAUAAUUUUAAAAAAAGACAUAUUGAUAUUAAAUAUAUUUUCAAAUAUAAUAAGAGUUAAUAAUAUUAAUGAUUAAAGUAUAGCAAGUAUAAAUAUAAAAUUACAAAUAUCAAAAUUUAACAAUUUUAACAUUAAAACAAAUUAAUUUAACAAUAUAUAUUGUUGGAAAAAUUAUAUUUUAUGGGAAUUUUGAGGCAUAUUAUCAAUAAGUAAAGGUUGAGAGUUGAAUAAUAAAAUUAUAGUUCCAUAUUCUACUCUAUGAGACAUUUACAACUGUGUAUCAUAUACUCAAAAUGAUUGAGUGAUGAAUGAGAAAUUGAUGCUCAAAUUAAGCUAUUUAAAAAUAUUUGUUGAGGAAAAGUAAAAGCUUAGACCCCACAUUAGUUAAAUACUAAGUGUGAGAUGUGUAUGUAUAUGGAACCCUCUUAAAUAGUAAUUAAAUGACUAAAUUUGGAACCUUGCCUCACGCGAAAGGUUGGUUAUAGGUCCAAACUCAAUGGGGUAGGGGCACCUGCACAACGUGGGCGACGCAAAAUGUCGGGCUCAAAAUGGGCUUGCGAACAUUUUAGUCCAACACGAAAUUAUUUUUCCUCAACAGAUAAAAUUUGUUUAUAUAAAGAUAUUUCUCUUAUUUUAUUUGAUUCCAAUCAAUUUUAUUUAAUUUUUAAUUAAAUUGAUUUGUUGGCUCCUUUAAUAGUAGAUUUGAUAUUUCCAAAACUCCACCAUACUAAAUGCCUAUAAAAUGAUAUGGAUGAAGAAUUUUUCCACAUUGAUAUCCUCUUAGGCCGAAUUUAUUUUGCUGUCAAAAUUCUUCUUUUCCUCUCCGUAUUUUCCAAAGUUCCGGUGAUAGAAAAAGGUAAUGUUUGUUCGUUGAUCGCUGCAGAGACGCUACUGCUUUGAUCAUUAUGUUGUUGUAUUUUGAGAGACAUUCGACCAACAUUUCUCCAAGUACCGUAGGAGCGGCCGAAUCUAUGUUAAGGAAACCGUGUUAAACAUGCCUCAACGUUUAGUAAAUCUCUAUUCUUCCUUUCGAUUUCAACUUAUUGUUACGGUUUUUUUUUAUUUACGUAUUUGACAAUUUAAAUAUAAAUUAUUCUAUUUAUAUUUUAUUUCAUAUAUAAAUAUGUGUUUAUUUAUAUUUCAAUAUUUUAUUCGCUAAUGUGUUUUGUCCAACGUAUAUAUAAAUAAAUAACUUGUAAUAAAUUAUUAAUAAUAUUAUUUAAAUUAUAAUAUAUUAAUAUUAAUAUUUGAAUCAUAAUGAGUUUUUGUAUUAUUCUAAUAUUAAAUAUUAUUAAAAUUAAAUAACAUUAAUAUAAGUGUUUCUAAAAUAAUUGAAUAUUUUAAAAAAUAUUUUGUAGUUACAUUACUUGUCAAUUUAUUAAUAAAUAUUUUGAAUAAAUUCAUUAAUUUUUUUAAAAAUAAUAUUAUAAAUUUAGUGUACACUACCGACCUGUACAUGAUAUGGGAAUACAAGCUAGUUAAAUACUAUUAUCUACUGGAUAUCCAAUCUGCAAAAAGUAAAAAUAAAAAUAAAAGAUUUUCAAUCAGUUUUUAGAUAUCAAAAUUCACAAAAAUCUAAAUCGAAUCUAGUAAAAUUCUUUAUAUACACAAAAUCAAAAUUAAAAGUACUUUGUAAUUAGUGAAUUCAGAUAUUAAAAUCCACAUCUAUUAUUUGAAUAUGCGAUGCAGGUUUAGAUAAUGGACAUUCGAAGUAUCUAUCUGCAUCCGCAAUAGAUAGUAAUUUCAAAUCCGAAUUUCAAUAUUAAUCAAAUCCGCAAAAAAAAAAAAAAAAAAACUAAUUAGAUAUUUAGCUUCAACUUGAAUUAAGUAUUUUAAAUUUAUAUUUAAUUCAAUUAUAUGUUAAUUUUGGGAUGAAUUCAUUAAAUUAUUUAUUUUUAUGUAAAAUUAAUAAUUACCAUUAUUUAGAAUGCUUUAAUGGAAAAAAUAAAAUAUAAAAGUAAAAAGAAAUUUUAAAAAAUUCAUCUCAAAGUUAAUUAUUGUUACUAUAUAUAAUGAAAUUAAAAUUAAUUUUUUAAAAUUUUAACUAUAAAAAUUAUUAAUAUAUAUGAAUGAUAUGUUUGUUUUAUUAAAUGAUGGGUUACUAUAUCACUUCAUUUCUAACAUUUUUUUUUCUUUUAUGUUAGGAUAUUAAAAAUGAUCUUGUUUGAUAAUUGAAAAAUUAAAUAUAAAAAAAAUUAAAUGUUAAGUUUAAGUUAUGAAACUUGUUUAAUAUAUUUAUUAAAAUUAAGUGUAACAUAUGAUUAAAUUAUUUGAUUAAUGUAAUUUUUAAAAUUUUAAAUGUAAAGUUAUUUAAACAAGAAAUAAAGUAAAUUGAAAUGAAUUGAAAAAAAUUCUAAUUAGUGUACUUAUGGGAGGAAAAAGUUUAUUUAUUGCAUAUAUUACUAUAGUUAGAUAUAAAAUAAAAUUAGUAUAUAUUUAAGCUUAAAAUUAGAAAUAUGAGAAAAAAUUCAAGUAAAAAAAUAAAAUCUCUUGAAAAAUAAAUAAAAAGUUUUCCUUCUAUUUUCCAAAAGCAAGCCAUGGAAGUGACUACAAAUUACUAAUUGAAAUUAGUUUAUGGUUAGCUUAUAUACUAAAACAUAGUAAAAAAAUAAUACUCUUACCAAAGGUAGCAUGAGUGAUCAGAAACUCUUCAUCUAUUUAUUAUUUUUCACUUUUUCUCAUUCUAUCAUUUUCUCUUUAUGUUAGAUUAUCAAAGAUGCUUAUAAAUCACUGAAAAUAUUAAUUUUAGAUUAUUUAAUUAUUUUCAAUCAAUUAUCUAAACAGGGAUCAUGUUACUUUGAUGAUAACCUAUUAGGUUUUUUUGUGAAUAAGUACAUUGCAAUAGGGAAUGAGGAAACGGUUUACAAAUAUUGGAAUUGAAUCCCGAACCUCUUGUUAAUUAACUUGAAAUCCGCACAAAUUUAUCGCUGAGUCGGUGGACGGUCCACAAUAAUCAAUUAGUUUUAUCCUUUUAUAGUUUCGUAUGGUAAAUCGAUUGCUGAACAGAAUAGCCAAAAUCGUAGCUGAACUAAAUAUGCACAAUAUCAACACAUAAUUUGUUUGUAAAUUGAAUCACAAUGAUAAACAUUAUAGCAGUUUGUUUUCUAAGAUGGCUUUUCUAGAACUUGCAAUUUCAUUGAAACAUCACCGGAAACUUGAAGAGAACAAAGGCAGAGUAAUAAUUAUUACAGGAAGAUGACAAGUCUGCUUCAUGUAUAUAAAAUAUAGGAUUGUACUGGUCAAAAUGCAUCAGACAUGUCAAAAUGUAUCAGACAUAAGUGGAUGAACAUCUGAUACAGAUGUAAUGAUGGAAUCCCUGUAAAAUCCGUGUGAGAGUGAAGUACCCGAUCUCAGUUGGUUUUGUGACAACAACCUCUGCUUGUUUUGGCUGAGUCGGAAAAAAACCUCGCAAAACUCUAAUUCUCUCCAGUUCCAUGACCACUUCUUUCAUUGUUGGUCUAUCUUUGCCAUCUAAGUUUAAGCAUCUUUUAGCAAGGUAAGCAACUGCAACUAGUUCCUCCUUUUGGCCAUCCUUCAAAACUUGAGGGUCAAGUGUAUCUAGAAAAUGGUUUUGGUCCACCGAGGAGAUGAAAUAGGAGACUAGGCUUUUCUUUUCUUGCGAUCCAGAUGUUAAGACUGGCUUUUGUGCUAUUAAGAGCUCGACCAGAACCACUCCGAAACUAUAAACGUCACUUUUCUCAGUGAAUUGACUUGACUGAAAGUAUUCAGGGUCUAAAUACCCAAAGGUUCCUUGAACUUGAGUUGUCAAGUGAGUUUGAUCAAUGCCGAUUGAUCUCGAUGUUCCGAAAUCUGAUACCUUAGCUCGGAACUUUUCAUCUAGUAGUAUGUUACUAGACUUUAUAUCUCUGUGAUAGAUGGGGACAGAAGCAGAGACGAGUGUAAGUAAGAAAUUGCAUUUGAAACUUCAGCUGCUAUGCGUAAUCGCAUAUCCCAAGAUCUUGGGUAUUCUUCAUUUUGGUCAUGGAUUAGCUGAGAAAGGGUUCCAUUUGGAAUGAAUUCAUAAACGAGUAGAGAGACUUCGGUCUCUAAGCAACAGCCUAAUAAUUUGACAACAUUUCGGUGAUCAAUUUUGGCAAGAAUAACGAUCUCAUUGAUGAAUGGGUCGAGAUGCUCUUGGUCUACUAUUUUGGACUUUUUUACAGCCACAAUUCUCCCAUCAUGCAACUUUCCUUUGUAAACCACGCCUUGGCCACCACGACCCAGGAUUCUGUUCGUUAUAAGUUUGUAACUCUUUGGAAGUGAAGAAUUUAAUAUUCUCCACACCACCUUCCUUAGAAGACUACUUUUUCUCAAGCAGUAGCCCACCAUUUCUUUUAAAAUGCUCUUGCUUGCAUUUUAUAUUUCUCCUUUUCUCUAGUUUACUAUAAAGCCACCAAACUCCAGCAAACAACAAGAACCCUGCAGCUAAGCAAAUACCUGCGAUCAAAAUGAAAGUCAGUCAUCGAUUAACUUCUGACAUUCUUAAUAUCUCCAUUUUAAGCUAAGAUUUGAAAUAAAAUUUUCCAUUUUAAGUUCUAAUGUAAUACUAUCCUAAGAGGAGAGCAAGAAAGCCAAUACUAGUUUCUAACAAUUAAAUGAAUAGGUUAAACUAUUCUCCAGCAAAAACAGAGAUCUAGUAGACUUGACCUAAUCUUUAUGCAGCUUUUCAUGUAAUACAAUAUAAUUAAAUAGAAUGACCUUAUUAUGAACCAUGAAAUUGUUUAUGAGUCAAGCCGACCCUAUUAAAGCUUAGGGCCUGUUCUUCAUUACUUAAAAAAAGAACUUCUGACUUCAAAAACACUUUUAGAAGAAAAGCUAUGCAUAAUAAACUGCUUUUGGCUAAAAAUUUUAGCUUUUCCUCUUCUAAAAGCACUUUUGGUUCUUAAUUACUUUUUCAUCCCUUUAAUAACAUAGUACUUUCCUUUUUUGUUUUUUUUUUGUGCUUAAUUACAAAUGUAUUAAAAUCAUUAAUUAAAAAUAAAAAAAAUAUUUUUUAAAAUAUUAAUUAUAAAUAUUUAAUGGUUAUAUUUAAAUAUUUAAAAUAUAGUUUAUAUAUUCUAAUUAAAUUUUAUUAAUAAUUAAUAUUCAUUGCUUAAAAAUAUUUAAAAUUUAUAUUUUAUAUAUUAAAAUAUUAACAACAAGUUAUAAUAAUUUUUUAUAUUCUUACUAAAAAAUAAUAAUAUUAAUUAAUUUAAAUAUUAUUUAAAUGCAUUUGUUACUUGAUAAUAACAUGUCUAAAAUGAACAUUUUAUUUCUUAAAAGUACUUUUUGACAGCAAAGCUAAACACUCAAAUUUUAAAUCAAACUUUUCAAAAGCACUUCUCAAAAGUACUUUUCCACAACACUUUUCAAAAGCACUUUUCAAAAAAUUACCAAACUAACCCUUAAAAGUGCAAAUAAGCUUUAAUUUCAUAUUUUAUUCAACAUUUAAUUCACUUUCCAAUAUUUUUUGUGAUUUUCCAAAUUGAUACUAUUGCAUGCUGUCCAUACAAUUUUUAUCGUUAAUUUUAUUCAAUCAAAUUUUCUUUGCAUUAAUUCUCACUUACACUCACAUAACACUAAAGUAUAUUCAUAAUUAGUCAUGCCAAAAGCUAUUCAUCAUCAAUUAAUUACAAAUCUUCAUUGUAACACAUUCUCCAUAUCAACUUCACUCAAAUUUGACCACAUAUCGCUCACAUUGCUCACCACAUAUUCACAUUCAUUUGCACUUAAUCAUUUUCUGGUUGAACACUUAGGAAUAUUAUUGGAUACGUCAGAAGUUUGCACAUAAGUGCCACACUUGUAGCAAAAGCUACUUAACAUCAUUUUUCACAUAAAAGCUCAUUCUCGAGCUAUUCACUUUCAUGGGUCUGCUCACACAAGCUGUCAGUCUUUUGUUACUACUCAGUGCUGCUCACAUAAGCUGUCAGGCAUCCGCAACAUAUGCCGGUAUACCCAGCCACUGGUAGAACUUAAGACCAGCACCCGAGUUCACAUUAAUCACAAUUUUGCAUCACGAGCCUGCUCACACAAGCUGUAAGUCAUUCAUUACUACUCAGUGCUGCUCACACAAGUUGUCAAGUAUCCGCAACAUAUACCGGUAUACCCAGCCACUGGUAGAACUUAUGACCAGCACCCGGAUCCACUUUAUUCACACUUUCACAUAGAUCUCUAACGACAUGUCACUUGUAUCCUAUUCUAUUCCUAAGGUUCAACCGAGAAAAUUUCUCACACUUUAUUAUUUCGUAAAUUUUAUUCGAUAUUCAAUCACAUAUAUCAUAAAAUAUAUCUUUCGUCCACAUAUCAUAAAAUAUAUUAAGACAUAAAAUCAUAAAUAAAAAUUUAUGCAUUAUUUACAUAAAAACUUACCUCGGCUCAAAAUAUAGAAAUUUCUGCAGUUUAAUCCACAACUUUUUCCUUUCCCCAUUCGAGGUUGAUUCUGCGUCUUUCUUCAUCUAUAAUAGAAAAUUUAGCUUGUUUAAUAUUCACAUUUAUCAAAACAGUACUCGGUUCAAAUUUUAGAAAAAUUACGAUUUUACCCCUAAAUUUUUACAUAUUUCCAUUUUUGUCUCAAAGCUCGGAAAUUAAAUUUUAUUCCUUAUUCUUGUGUUUUAUAACAUGCUGAACACUUUUCCCUUCUAUAGCAACAUCCAAUUCUCACUCUAAUACUUAUGUACAUUAGGUAUUUUUAUCGAUUAUGUCAUUUUACUCGUUUCUACUUAAAAUCACUUAGCAAAAGUUGUUUAACAUAAUUCUAAGCUUCAUAAUCUAUCAUGAAACAUCAAAAUACACACUUUUCACCUAUGGGUAAUUUUCCAAAUAUAAACCCUACCUCGAAUUAAUGGUAAAAUAAGCUAAAUCGAGCAACGAGAACUUCAAAAACGUAAAGAAUAUUAAAAACAGGGCUAGGAUGUACUUACAAUAAAGCUUGAAAGUGGCCAAAACCCUAGCUAUGGGAGACUUGUGAUAUUUGGCCAAGGUAUGAGGAAGAUGUACACAUUUUGGCCUUAUUUUCCCUUUUUAAUUCAUUUAAUUUCUAAAUGACUAAAAUGCCCCUAAUUAAAAAAAUCUAUUUUUCUAAUUCUAUGUCCAUUUUUGUCUCACAAACUAACCAAUGGUCUAAUUGUUAUAUAAGGACCCCCAAUUUAUAAUUUCAUAACAAUUGAGCAUCUUUAACAUUAAAAUUCAACUUUUUCACUUUUUAUAAUUUAGUCCUUUUGACUAAAUUGAGUGCUCAAACGUCGAAAUUUUUGAACGAAAAUUUCACGUAAUCUUUUCGUGAAAUUGUAGAUCAUAAAAAUAUAAUGAUAAUAAUAUUUUCCUUUAUCGGAUUUGGGGUCCCAAAACCACUAUUCUAAUUAGGCCCUAAAAUCGAGCUGUUACAAAUUGUAAACUCAAAUGAAAUAAAUAAAGUACAACACAUUGAAUAGUUUUUGUUAACAUUCCAAUUCUCUUAAUCAUCACAACUGUACAUGUUGACAAACAAUCUUCACCAUCACCAAGUAAUUACUCCAAAAUUUGUCGAAACUAAUAUUAAAAACAUCCUUUACCUUCCCUAGUUUAAACCCAUUCUAAGCAAUAAACUUCUUGGAAGUGAUCAUGGCUUGCAAAUGACCCUUAUAAUCAUGCAAAUUCUUCAAAGUAAUAAAAGUAAUAGCAAAACAUUUCUCACUAGGAUGACAACCAACCCAAAGUCCAUUUGUGAUUAUACACAAAAAUUGUAAUAGAAGAAGCAUGCUAAAUUAAAAUGAGAUGUUUUACCAACAUCCUUCAAAAUUAAAUUGAUACAAGGUGCUGCACAUGGUGACCAAAAGAUGUUAGGAUACUUCUCAUGACAAAAUUUCCUAACAUCUUUAUAAUUUGAAGCAUUAUAUGUAAUUAGCUAGACCACAUUGCUCAAACCAACAAUUUUUACAAUCUUCGCAAAUAAAUUUUAAACUAAACUUUUCAAAAGCACUUCUCAAAAGUACUUUUCCACAACACUUUUCAAAAGCACUUUUCAAAAAAAUUACCAAACUAACCCUUAAAAUCCUCGGGCUUCGUUUGGUUUUUGAAAAUAUUUUUUAUUUUAAAAAAUUAAAAAAUAUAUGAUAAAUAAAAAUAAAAUUUUGUUUUCAUUAUUGAAAACAUGGUUGAUAACUAUUUUUCUAUAAUAGAAAUACGAAAAUUAAAAAAAAUUACAUUUAUAUGGAUUUAAAUGAUGAUAAUAAAUUUAAUAUAUGAAAAAUUGUUGAAAUUAAAAUAACCCGAUAUUUUUAUAUUUAUUUGGGUUUGAACAAAGGAUAACUCAUUUAAAGUUAAAAAAAAUUAUUUUGAUCAUUUUGAGUUUUACAAAAUAUUUUUAGUGAAUAAUAAAAACAAAUUUUUAUUAUUUUUCUCAUUUUUACAUAUUUUCAUCUGAAAAUUUACUUUUAAAAUUUCAACUAAAUGAAUGUUUUCCAUUUUAAGGAAAUGAAAAUGAAAAUGGCCUCUAUCUAUCCCCUAAAACUAUAUGGAGUCUUAAUUUUUAGGAUCAUUGAUGUAAGAUUCUUCUAUAAUUAUGCAAAAUUUGGGAUGAGCAACAACAAUAAGAUGUCUUGGACUGAUCCUUGUUGGAUAAACUACAAAUUUAGUAAUAAAGAAAUCAAAAAUAGUAAAGAAGAAACUAGAGAAUAAAAAAAUAAAAAUCAUAAAUAAAUAAGAAAUAAAAAGUGAAAGAUGGACGAGGAAACCGAUAGAUAUGAUGGAUAGAAGGAUAAAUGUAUAAUUGAACCCUUUGAAAUAUAAAUCCCAACAAACUCAAUUAAUGACUCUAAUCAACCCUCUAAGAAAUAAUCCUUGAAGAAUGAAUUGAAGGGUGAAGAAUGAAUUCCCACGACUUCUUAAAGAAAAUCAAGAAUAAAACUACUUCUAAAAAUUACAAGAAAGAAAUCUUGCACAAGAAAAAAACUCCCAGAGUUGAAAACUUUAUUAAUGAAAACAAUUGUCUCCUUAAUAAAAAAUGAAGAAGCCUUUAUAUAAGCUAGCUAAGUACAUCCAAAUAAAACUCUAAAGUAUACUGAAACUCUAAUUAAUCUAAAUAAAAAAGUAGUUUUAAACAAAACUUUCUUGGUAACAUAAAACUCCUAAAUAACUUAAAAUACAUAAUAAAUAUAAAAAAUUCGUAAUAAUAAAAUAAUAAGAGAUUAUAAAUGCAAUAUUGGACUCAUAUAUAAUAAAAAUUAAUCCAAAAAUCCGAACCAAAUAUGAUUUAAACUUGAGUUAAAAGCACAAAACUCGUAAUACCUGUCAUAACCCUGUCAAAAAAUUCUGCCCGCGCAGUUUUCACUAAAAUGGUCAUAAUUUGAGCUUCCGGACUCGAAAUCAAGUGAUUCCAUUCAAAAAGUCGACGCAAGUAUGCUGAUUUCCCAAACUUAAAAAUCGACAAUUUUGGUGACUGGAAUUUAAUAAAUUUCACCCCAUCCAUGCAUGUAUCACAUAUACAUAUUAGGUUACCCGUUCGAGUUUAACCUUUAAAACAAAAUCAGGUUACCAAUCCAAGCUAAACUUGCGUCACAUGUAUCUUCAAGUCCGCAACAAAUGUUGGAUUCUUGAAAUUAUCAAAAAUUGACCUGUAACCAUGUGUACGAUACAUUUACAAAGUUUCAUCAGGGUAAUUUGCAUCAUGCAAGUUCAUAUUUAUUCUCUUUUUUUAAUUUAAUCCAAAUCUCACACUUUAGUACUAAAUUGCAAACAAUUCAAAGUUCAAUAAAACAUACAUGUAUUCACAAUAUAGCAUACAUAAGGGUCUAAGCAUAAUUACACCAUAUGAACGUACCUGGCAAAAUGAAAUUAAACACAACAUACUAUUAUGUAGGCUACAACAUUAGUGUCAUUAAAAUUUUAAUGGUUCAACCAGUUUUCCAUCCACAAAAAUAAUUUGACUAAAAAUUGAAAGUUGAUGGCCAAGGUGAUCCAAAAAAAUAAGGUUAAAGUAACAAAAUAGAUACACAGUAGGGGUUAAAUUUAUCAUUAUGCCUUAAGCUUUUUAAAAUAAAGAUAAAAUUAUUUUAAUAUGUAGUGGUUUGAAAUUUUAUAAAUUAUAUGAAUUCUUUUAUGUAUUUUUACCAUAAAAUUAUAUUAUAUUAUUAAAUAUUGCUAAUAAUAAAUAUAUUAUAUAAUAUACACAGUAAUAUCUUUCACCUGAGUUAAAACUAAUUCCAAUUUUCACAAAAUGAGACAUGUCCAAAGCAAUUCAAUUAUUUAAUCAUUUGAAACUUGAGUCUUCAACCUUGCAACUUAGUUAUGCUUCAAUAAAUGAACCCCACUCUGAGAAAUUUUGAGGAAACAAAGUAUUUAUAGAAAUAAUUAUAAAAUGCAUAUUAAAAUAAAACAAGAUGUCAAGAAAUAAAUUGAAACAACGCAUAUAGAUUAAGCUCCAACUAUUGUAAUUUAACAUUAUAUUUCUCUCGAAACUAGGAAAUUUAGAAGCAAACUAUUUAAAAUCAUACACCAUCGAGCUGCUUGAGGUUCAAAUGUGAUUAUGUACAAAUGAUAAUCUGAUUACAUGCUUAGCGAGCACCUUCAAGUUCAAAUGUGAUUUUGUUAUUUAUGCUAUCAUACCCCAUCCCUGUCGAGCUGCUUGUUACACCAUCAUCAUAAGUGCUGGGAAACUUACCAAGCAAGUAUUCAGAUUCUUCGCUUACUAAAUUACUUUUACUCCAAGGAUGUUUAGCCAUUGCUUGCAGUCCUGCUAAUUCAUGGGCAACUUCCUUCAUUGUUGGCCUUUCCUCUCCCUUCACUCUCACACAUCUCCUAGCUAAAGUUGCUACUUCCAUAAGCUGCUCAACAUUUUCAUCAUUAAGCACUCGAGGGUCGAGAAUGUCGAGCAAACGGUCUUCUUUCAUCAAAGAUGUGAAGUACAUUGGCAAAACUCGAUUUUCUUCCGGUCUUUUGAAACAUACCACUUUUUGUCCUGUUAACAACUCCAUAAGCACAACCCCGAAGCUGUAAACAUCACUUUUUUCAGUAAGAAGGCUUGAAAGCAUGUAUUCAGGAUCCAAGUAACCGAAAGUUCCUUGCACAAUUGUAGUUAUUUGUGCUUGGUCAGAUGGGAUCAAUCUGGAAGCCCCAAAAUCAGAAACUUUUGCGGUGUAAUUGUCAUCUAACAGUAUGUUCGCCAACUUGAUGUCUCGGUGAAUGAUUGGAAUGGAAGCUGCAGAGUGCAAAUAAGAAAGGGCUUCUGCUGUUUCAGUGGCUAUUCUCAGACGGGUCUCCCAUGAAAGAUAAGAG